rnacentral:lncRNA from 1 species
AAUUGGCAUGUUUGAUAUUUUUCAACCAAAAUUCCCCUUGAUUGGGAAAAUAAACCAUUUCCUGCUCAUGUUUUUUAAUCCUACUCCAAAAUUCUCAUCUUAUUUGGUGAAAAUUUUAUUUUUGGGAUUUAUACGUGCAACCUAAUCAAGAAGUUGUUGGAAUGUGCUUGUGUAUUAUUUUAAUAAAUCUAUUUUGCAAUAAACCCAAAUAGUCAAAUUCUUAAUUCUCCCGUGCUAUAUAUAUGGUCUGUGGAUAUAUUAAUGUUUGCUUCUUUUAAUUAAUUUAUUUAUCUUUUGCAUAUCAUAACCUCUCAGAUUACUGUCUAACAAGAUUGCCUUUAAGUUUGAAAAUUUUCACAUAAAUUGGACGCGGGUGAUUAUGGUGUCCUUUCAUUUUCUGACGAAUUAAUUUUCACUGUCAAUUUGUAGUUUGGCUAGCUGGAAUGACAGUGGCCUGACUGAAAAAUAUGUUAUCUGGACAAAGCCAUGAACUAGUCUUUUAAAGGACUUAAACUUGUAUUAAUAUUGCUGAUAAAUUCCCUAUAAAUCAAAAGAGCAAACAAAGUUCUUAUAAAAACUGCAAGGAUAGCAGACAGUGAUUUAUUUAUUUAUUUUUUGAUGUUAUCUCAAUUUUAAUAAUCGAUGAUUGAUUGAUUCAAUCUUCUUCUUGUCCAUAAUUAAGAUACCUACUUUCUACUUCCUAAAAAAUCACUAAUCUGUCGAAAUAAGUUUAUACACAUUUGUAGAAAUCAAUAUCUUGGGAUUGUUGCUUGUUAAUUAUAUGUAAGUUAUACCAUUUCUAUGUUUUUUUUAAUCUGCUCGGCAUGUUUGAUAUUUUUCAACCGAAAUCCCCCUUGAUUGGGAAAAUGAACAAUUUCCUGCUCAUAUUUUGAAAUCCUACUCCAAAAUUCUCAUUUUAUUUGGUGAAAAUUUUCUUGAUGUUGAUAAACUUAUGUUAACUGUCAACUAAUGUUAAAUUAAGUCAAUUUGUUUUUCAACUAUCAGAUUUGGUAAUUUCCCCCUUUUUCCAGUGUAUGCAAAUCCACGACAACCACCCUACGCCUCCUUCCCUUAUUUUUCAAGGAAGUAUGUGAUUUUUUAAACUGGGUUUUGAUUGCUGGCAACUGUAAUAUGUUGGACUUCCGUAAUUGGCUUGUUUGUACUGUACAGAUAUAUAUGUAUUAAAAAAAAAAGGAAAAAAAAUGACAAAACCUUAACUUGCGUUUCGAUCAUAUCAGGUCUCAGGAUCCAGAAGCAGGUUCAAAAGAUAAACGAUAUUCUAAAGUGUAUGGUACUGGAACGACGUCGGCCGAUAAAGAACAACCUACAUGCUUAGGUUGCGUUAAAAAUCUUCUAGGUGUCAUACUUCUUUGUGUGGCGCUAUUAUGCUUUAUAAUAUUUGGUGGGACAAUAAUGCUAGUACUUUAUUACCUGUUGAUUACAAUGAUUGUGUUAUAUCAUGAAACCGGUAAAGCGAUAGCGAGAGCAAUACUCAGGAUUAAAACAAUCAAGGAUAAAGAAUAUAUUGAUGGUCUAAUGAAUGUGACUGCAAUGAUCCUUGAUGUGACUGCAAUCAUCCUUGAUCCUUUAUUCUUCUACAUUCUGGUGCUGGAUGAUGAAAAGAAAUGCAUUCACUGGGACAAAACCUUGGGGAUUACAGCUACCGUCAUCCGUUCCGUCCUCGAUUUCCUUAAGCUAGGCCAUUUUAUCUCUCACUCUAAGCUGCAUAUGGCAAAGGGGAACCAAAGAGAAAAAUUUAAGUAUUUGUGGGGGCAGUUAAAAAAUUUCAAGGUGUAAUUUACUUUCGCUAACUAGUUGUUUCUUCAACUUCCAUAAUUUAUAUAAAUAUAGUCUCCGUUAUCUUCUUUGCUCCCUACGAAGUAUUUGCUUUUUUUUUUUUUUUUGCCUUAAAAGGGAGAAGGAGAAGUACCUGAAGAUCCAAUGGGACGAAUGCGGAAGCUCUUCCUCAUUGACUGUUUGGCCAUCCUUCCCAUCCCCCAGGUAAAGGCACUAUCUAAUUUACAAUUACGUAAAUUCUGUUUAUUGACAUAUUAUGUAGUUCAAUCCUUCCCAUCCCCCAUGUGCAUAUCGUAAUAGUCUGCUUGAUUCCUGUCAUAUGUACAUCACAAAGUGGUUUUGAUUGUGAUAAAGAUAGAUCUUCAUACGAUUCAUGUCAAGGAUAAUGAUUUCAAUGUCAUUUUUCCCUUUACUUUGAUUAAAGUUGUAUUUAGACAUACAACCCUAAAUGUUUUGCAUGGAUAUUAGGGGUGGCAAUUUUCGCUAGUGAGUAGUGUUAAAUUUCAGCUAUAGGAAUUCGAUACUUUAUUAAUCUUGUUAAUAAUUUCAAACACCAACUCCACCUGUCUAUUAAUAAUUAUGUCACAUGCUUAAUAUGCUUUGAAAGUAUAUUUUUAAAUUUGACUUGUUUACAAGUUUUUAAUAUAUUUGUUUAAUUAAGAUAUUUAUAGUACUGCCUCUCAAAUUCAAAUCAAUUCUAGUCUUAAUAUAACUAGAUAAUUUUGAAAUAUAUACAAAUAGAAAGUAGUUCAAUUGUAUCCAAAAUCUAGUCGUACAACCAUUAUUAAUCAAAUAGUUAAUUAUGUCAUAAUUACAUAGGCUCACGUGACAGUAACUUAAAACCUGAAGAAGUGAAGAGAACAAAAAAUAUUUGUGUUCCUUUUCACCAACGCGAACAAACUAUUAUUUUCAUGCCAUUGGAAUCAGUUUCGCAGGUCAUUUCAAAAUUUGUCACCCCAGCUAUACCAUCAUUUUGCACAAAAAUAAAUAAUCAAUUUUGUUCAUAUUCAAUAUCCUUCAAAAUAUUUAUUUCCAUUAUUCCAUAUCAACUAAUAGGACAAACCGUCCAGGUUUUGGUGAUUUUUGGAAUAAGAGGCCCAGGAUUUUCGACGGCAAUGACCUUCUUUAUUUUACAAUAUUCGCUAAGGGUUAUUCGAACGUACUUUCUCUUCACACAUGCUACACGGGUUUCAGGGAUACUUGCCGAUGCUACAUGGGCCAUUUUUGCCUUCUAUCUUCUUCUUUAUCUGCAAAGCGGUCAUGUAAGUUCAAAGUAUCAUCAUUUUACCGAAAUAUUUUUUGGGAAAUUACAAUUUUUCCACCAUAUAGAUCGCCAAAUUAAAGGCCAAAAACAUUACAAAAUUUUGAAAUUUACAUUUUUAUUCAAGAAGUUUCCACAAACACCAUUUUUAUAUUAAUUUUUUUGGAAUCAGAAAAGCAUGAACUACGAUAUUCAGUAUUUUGUAAUUUAGAAAAGCAUAUUCUAAUAAAACUAGAAUUUUAGCAACGCCCAGUUAUUACACAUAUAUACGCACAGUCAGUUAGCUUUUUUUUAUGUAAAUUUUAGAUAUUGGAAUUGUCGAUGUAUGAUUUUCCCUCUACUCUGCAAAUUAAUUUUUCUGCUAAGCUAUCUUUCAGAUGUUUGGAGCCAUAUGGUACUAUAAUGCCAUAGAAAAAGUGACUGAAUGCUGGAGGGAAGCCUGCAAAAAUCAUACCGGAUGCAGCGGUCAUAGUUAUUUUUCCUGUAAUAAAAGUUCCAGAGACUACAAUUUUCUAAAUGAUUUUUGCCGUAUAAGUACAGGAAGUACUACCAGCUAUAGUUUUGGAAUAUAUAAUGAUGCUCUUCAGUCUGGUAUUGUGGGGGAGACAGAUUUUCCUAAGAAAUUGAUACGUUGUCUACGAUGGGGCCUGCAAAAUCUCAGGUUUGCUGUUUUUUAUAUGGCUUGGAUAAUGAUUAUUGUGCAUGUGAUCAGGUCCGUUACAGGUUCUCUUAGUCCGGUGCAGGUUUAUUUUGUAGUUCUUUUCGCAUCCAUGUAUUUUUUUUUUCCCCAAUUCUCUUUUAUUCUUUUCUUUGUAGCUUUAUGCAUAUUGUAAGGGCUAAAUUUUAUUAAAACCCACUAAUUAGCCAAUGCAGACCAAGACAUUUUAUUGAAAGGGGCUACAUCUAAUAAUACCAACAAUAUACAUAACAUAAGGGAUUAAUUAAGUUUAAAUGAUAAAAUUAAGCAAUUUCAUAAUUUUUAUUAAAUUAAGAUGACAUGUGAAAGUAAAUGAGGGAUAUUUUUAUUAUUUUUGAAAGGUUUAACAAGGAAAAAAUACUGUUUAAUUUUUUUAUAAAUUCAGAAUAAUUGAGGGGUAUGUUUUUAGGGGUUUAUUUCAAACGAACUCUUUUAUUCAGCUCAAAUAUUAAAAAAAUCAUUGGGGGUUUAACUAAUAUUUCCUGCUAAGGUCUCGAAUGAAAUUUCAGAGGGGUUAUAUGAAACAUUUCUUUUCUAUCGGCUGGUCAUUAGGUAAGUUCAAUCUUGUUUAUUCUCAUAAAAAGAGUACGAAUGUUUGGGCCACGCACAUUAUUUAAAUAUGCAAUUAUGGGCUUUAGUUACCUUACAUUAUUAUGUAAGUUUUAUAAUUUUUUUAUCUAAUGGUUGUGGGAAUAAUGUGAUUUUAUUACUUCAUAUUUUCAUAACUAUUGAAUUUUCAUCAAAUGACUAUGAAAAAAUUAUACAAUUUACGUAAUAAUGUAAGGUAACAAGCUCCCGCAAGUAUGUAAUACUUAUGAACUGUAUUGAACUUUUUGCAGUGCAUUUGGUCAGAACCUCGAAUCAAGUAACGAUGUCGGGGAAAAUAUCUUUGCAAUUUGCAUGACCAACUACGGCGUAGUUCUGUUUGUCUUUUUAAUUGGAAGGAUGCAGGUAACAUACAUUUUCUGUUUCUUCUCGAUUUCUCAAUUAACUCUCUCCUCGAGCUCUUAAUUACCUUUGAUCCUUUUAAAUCUUGGAACACGAUAUACAUAAGUUUUAAUUAGAUUUGAAAACACACAAGUUAAUUAUUUAGGUCAAAUUAAUUAAUGGCUAGAUGUACAGACUGAAAUUGCAAGGUCACAGAAGAUAAACCAGAAGUGGCAGGUGAUCAGGCAGUCGAAACACUAUGCGGAUAUCUCUCGUGAUCAAAAUGUCCGAGGGCAGUUCAAGAAAGCCAAGCGUGAAAAAUUGGCAAACAAACAUGUUGAUGUUCGCAUAGAUAGUUUUAUAAGCGAUCUCUCCCUCGACGCUGAAAAACAAGUAAAACGCCAUAUGGGCCGAAAACUGCUCAGAAAAGUGAGUUUCUAUUUCUCUGGAUAAUAAUAAUCCUUAGCUACGUACCUGCCUCUUAUUAAUUAGUUAUUCAUCAGAAGAUGUCGAAGGGGGAAUUUUGUUAGAAUUUUUUUGUGUUGACGUCUUAUAGCAACAUCUAGAAUGAUUCUUCAUUGUAUGUCCUUGAUUGUUAGAAAAUUAAUGGCAAAUGAAUUAGUAAAUAUGAACCAUAUAGGAGCAACAAUACAUAUAAUGACACAAAAUUUUUGAAUGCUGUCAAGAGGGCACCGAAUACGAAAGCAUUUUUAUCUUAUUAUCAUUUUCUUCUUAGUAAACGAUAAUUAAGGAAAAGAGUAAUGACAAAGAGUACUGAUCUGGUCCAAGAUUUUGAAUCUUAUUAAAGUUUGAGAAAAUUAUUAAGUUAUAAGGUCUAAUAGUAUAACACCAUUACACUCUUAAACAUAAGUUUUCACAAGUACGCAGUAGAUGGUGAGAUAAUGUGUAAUUAAUAGUGUAAUUGAGUAAUGAUGCUUCUUGAUGAGCCAUCAUCAAAUGGGUGAUUUUGACAAAAGUUAUAGAAUUUAUGUAUUUCAAUAUUCUAUAACUUUAUAAUCGUUGUAUAUAUUUGUAUUGACUCUGAUUCUCCUUUAUCAAGGUAGAAGAAUUACUUAAUGUAUUUCAAUAUUCUAUAACUUUAUAAUCGUUGUAUAUAUUUGUACUGACUCUGAUUCUCAUAUAUCAAGGUAGAAGAAUUUCAAAAUUGGGAUGAGUUCUAUUUGGACUAUCUGUUUGGUUGUCUGAAGCCAGUCGUCUUUAGUGAAAGGACUGUAAUUAUUCAGGAGGGAGAUCCAAUUAAUGUGAUGACCUUUGUGUUGCAAGGCAAGACUUGGGCCUACUCCAACAGCUUGCCGAUCACUAGACAGAGACAUCAAGAAGAUUGUGAUGUUCGCCGAAAAGAACUCAUAGACUGGGCUAAGAAUGAAAACUCGUACCAGCAGCUCCCUAUCUCAGACAGAACCAUUCGAGCACUUACCGACGUUGAAGCCUUUACUCUUAAGGCUGAUGACGUGAAAUGUGCAUUACUUUUCCGUCUUGUUUCCAAAGAGGCAGCAACUCUCAUACAAUCAUUCUGGCGUUUCAGGAAGCACAAACAUGCAACGCCAAGAACAUGCAUGGUCGGCUGUUUCAGGACACAGGACAAAGUUGUACUGCAUUAGAUUAACUAUUUGGGAUUGGACUUGAAGUAUUUAUUACACUAAUAUAUCUGUUAUUUAUGUUUGGUGUUUCUGUUUAGGUAUCGGAAAUAAACUACUUCUGUUGAGUGACAUAGUAGAUUAGGGGUGUUCAGAAUCCAAUUCGAUCCGCUUAAUCCGUCCGAUCCGUUUAAUUCGAUCCGUAUAAAUCCAAUCCGUGGAUUGGAUAUAGAUUGAAAAUUUAAAAAUCUGCAGUCGAUGGAUUGGAUAUGGAUUUACUUCUGUAAAUCCGCAGAAAUCCGUGAAUCCGUAAAAAAAAAAAAAAAAAAAAAAAAUAUAUAUAUAUAUAUAUAUAUAUAUAAUUAAAAAAUUAUUAUAAAUUUAAUUAAAAAAAUUAUAAAUGUGACAUUACAUAGUUACAUAAGCACUAUAACAUAUUUUAGCCAUUACCCAAUAAUAAUAUAAAAUAAAAAAUAAUUAAAUAAUCAAAUAUACAAAUAUAACUUGUAAAAAUUGUAAAACAAAAUAAAAGCAAAGUCACACGCACUAGCAAAAGCAAAGUCACAUGCACUAGCAAAGUAAAGUAACAUAACGCCAAGUCACCAACAAUUUGCAAAGUCACCCAAAAGCAAAGUAACAUGAUGCCAAGUCACCAACAAUCUGCAAACCCUAAGCUUUCCCGCCGUCACACACACUAGCAACACUCAAUACUGAUUGGAUACACUCUCGACACGGAUUUGAAGGACAUCGGCCGCGCGAUUCCAGCGAGAGCAAGCCAUCUUCUUUCCCAAGUCCAUCGAGCCACUUCACAUUCAUUGGUUCCAGCUGAACAAUUUCACUAUCACAACCUUCAAGAUCGCCACCCGUACGGCUUCUCCUGGUUCCCAUCGUGGACGGCUCCGUAAUCACCACUUUUCGACAGGCGCAACAGCCCUAGUGAAGGAUCAUACUGUAUUUGGUUUCCGAAACUUCGCCAUUUCAAUUAAUUGUGGCUUUAUUUGAACAAUUAAUUUCGGUGUUAUGUUAACGUAUUAUUGUAACUUUAUUUGAACAAUUAAGCUUAGUGUGUUAUAUUUUGAAACUUUGAACGUAUUAUUGUAGCUUUUUUUGAAUAAUUAGUCUUGAUGUGUUAUAUUUUGAAACUUUAAAUGUAUUAUUUUAGCUUUAUUUAAAUAAUUAAUUUAUUUAAAUUUUAUUCAAUUUUAAAUUUAAUUGGUAGCAAAAUUAUUUUUAUUUUAGAUUUUUUUUAUUUCAUUAGUUGGAGAGAACUAAAAAUUUUUAAUUCAAAAACUAAUGCGUAAAAUGGUGGAUUGGAUAUAGAUUAAGUCAAAUCCGUAUCCGAUCCGCAGACGUAUGGAUUGGAUAUGGAUUGAGUCAAAUCCACAUCCAAUCUGUAGAUGUAUGGAUUGGAUUUGGAUUGAAUUUUAUCAAUCCAUGAAUUAGAUUGGAUUGAAAAAUUAUAAUCUGCAAAAUCAUGGAUCAGAUAUGGAUUGAUGUCCAAUCCGUAAAAUCCGAUCCGCGAACACUCCUAUAGUAGACUAUAAUUAUCUGGUACAUGGUUUUGGAUGAAAAUAGUGUAAAUAGCAAUAGAACAACCCAUAGAUCACAGUCUAGGGAAUGAACAAAUGCACAAUUCCAGUCAAGUGAAUAAUCACAGGAUAUUUUCAUCAACUUUUAAUAAAUAUAAAAAUGAAAACUACGCAGAGAAUAUUCUUAAACACAAGUUCUAUGACUGUGAUUAUCAAUAUUAAGCAAUCAACCUCGUACAAUCAUCAACUUGUGAUAAACUAUUCAUGCCAGUAACAUGACUAUCUUAUUAAUUUCAGUUCACUGCAAAGUGAAAAAAAAUUAAUCACAUCCUCUUCGACUAAAAUUGAAGUUAAUUCUUGGCUCCCUUCAACAAAUUUUCUUUUCUAGUACUCUAUUAUUCACGUUCAUCUCAUAAAAGAUAUGUAGAGAUUGUCAAGUUAUGUAAUCAACUUGAGCAACAUCUUCCCAAGAUUACUGGAUUAGAUUUACAAGAUGAAUUAAAGAUGAUCUGAACUUACAAUGAUUUUAAACAACUCAAUAUCACAACGAACCAACAGUAAGCAAUUAAAGAAACUAAAAGAAACCCAAGAAUUAACUCAGACACAGCAAGUUACGUGGCUCAGUCAAUUCAUCAUUGACUUACAUCCACGGAGGAACAAAUUGACCAGCUUUAUUGAUUGAACCAAGUCUCUUUUACAACCAGAUUUAUAGAGCCCUAAUCAAGGAACAAGAACACUAUGUUUACACAAGCUCUCUCUCUCCUGAAUCCUCUGAAAUCCUCUCGGUUUGUUACACCAGAAUUAGCUUCAGCUUAUGUGUUUAUAACAACCCAGAAGCAGCCCAAGCUGAGCACGUGAGCAGCAUAUGUCUUUAACGGCUUUUAACAGCCUUCUUACGUCAUUAAAAACUCACGCGCAUUGCUCGUCAUUAUUAUAACCCAAAGCGCUAGAGUCUUAUGUCGUUUCUCAAAGAGGUAUUAAGAUAUCCUGAAACGCAGAUUGCUGUGCCGUUUUCCUUUUGACAUCAAAUGCCAAAACGCAGAGCUUCCUGUCGUCUCCUUAAAUCUCUUUUUGAUUUGUUUCAUUCUGGUCCAACAUAACUCCACCUUGAAGCAAAUCAACCCUGAUCUAAUUUUCUCCUCGUCCCUCUGUAUAAUUAGAGGCUAUCAACACCAGCCAUGUUCAAGCAAGCUUUGAACUUGGCUGUAAGAACAAUUUUAGUAAGUAUGUCUGCUGGGUUAUCAUCUGUGUGAACCUUUACUAUCUUGAUUACUCAUUUUGACACUUCAUUUAUGAUAAAGUGUAGUUUGACAUCAAUAUGUUUGGUUAUUUUAUGAUGAGCUGGGUUUUUGCUUAGGUAGAUGGCACUUGAGCUAUCACAAUGGACUUCAACUGUUUUCUGACUCAUCCCCAACUCUUCGAUCAUCCCUUUGAGCCAUAAAGCUUCUUUGAUAGCUUCUAUGGCUGCUGUGUAUUCAGCUUCUGUUGUUGAUAGAGCAACAACAUGUUGGAGACUUGCCUUCCAACUGAUGAUGCAUCCAUUGAGCAUAAACAAGUACCUUGUUAAUAAUCUUUUUCUGUCAUUGUCUCCAGCAAAGUCUGAGUCUACAUAACCCCAUAGGCCACUACUUCUCCCUUCUGAUCUUCCAUACAGCAGUCCAAGUUUCUCAGUACCAUUCAGAUACCUUAGUAUCCACUUAACUGCUUGCCAAUGCUCAUUCCCAGGUGUUGCCAUAUACCUACUAACAAUGCUUAUAGCAUAAGAAAUAUCAGGUCUUGUUAAGACCAUGGCAUACAUCAUACACCCUAUAACAUUAGCAUAUGGAAACUUUGCCAUUUCAUGUCUCUCUUCAUCUGUCUUAGCACAUUGCAGAUUGGAGAGCUUGAAAUGGGAGGCUAGUGGUGUCAAUACUGACUUACAGGCUGACAUCCCAAAUGUCUUAAUUAUCUUCUUCGCAUAGCCUCAUUGUGACAGAAACAUUGUGCCUACCUUCUUGUUCCUCAUUAUAUCUAUGCCUAAGAUCUUCCUAGCACGUCUUAAAUCCUUCAUAUCAAAUUCUGAACUCAGUAGCUCUUUCAACGCUUCAAUCUCAUCCCUUACCUUACAAGAAAUUAACAUAUCAUCUACAUACAUCAACAAGUAUAUGUAGUGAUGUGUCUUAAGUAUCUUGUAGUAGACACAACAAUCGAAACUGCAUCUUUUGAAUCCAUUUGUUGUAAUGAACUCAUCAAACCUGAGGUACCAUUACCUUGGGGACUGUUUUAAACCAUACAAUGAUUUCUUUAGCAAACACACAUGUUCUGGUCUCUCUGGAUCCACAUACCCCUCUGGCUGAACCAUUAGAAUUUCAUCUUGUAAUAUUCCAUGAAGGAAUGCUGUUUUGACAUCGAGUUGAUCAAGCUCCAUGUCAUAAACUAUAGUCAUAGCUAGCAAUACUCUGAUUGAAGUAUGUCUAACUACUGGUGAAAAAACUUCUUUAAAGUCAACCCCUUCCUUUUGAGUGUAGCCCUUAGCCACUAACCUAGCUUUGAAUCUCCUAAGUUCUGAAGCUGUCAGGCCAUCCUUAAUUCUAUAGAUCCAUUUACAACCAAUGAGUUUUCUUUUUUCAGGUUUUGUUACUUGCUCCCAGGUGUUGUUUUUAUAGAGGGAUGAUAUUUCUUCAUCCAUUGCCUGCUGCCAAUCAGUUUUGUAUGAGCUUUGCAUUGCUUCUUUAUAGCUCAUUGGUUCUUCUUCAUCAACCUCUUGUGAGGUGGCCAGUGCAUAUGCUAUAAGAUCUGCAUAGCCAAACCUCUUUGGGGGUCUUAUUACUCUUCUCUUUCUGUCUCUAGGUAGAUGAUAAUCUUCUAUAUGGGAGGGUUUUGGGUGUUCUGAGCUUGUAUCCCUAUCACCAGCAACUUCUUUAUCUGAAUCUACAGCUUCACCAAAGGUUUUCUUUGCUGGAUGCUUCACCUCAAACUGUAUAACAUCAUCAGUUUUAUUUUGAGGUUUAGCAUUUUCAACAGGGUUUUUCCUCACUUAGCACCAUCUGCUCAUUAAACACCACAUCUCUGCUGACUAUACAUUUUGGAGGGGCCAAGUCUGCGUACCAAAUCUUAUAGCCUUUUACCCCUUCUGGAUAACCUAUAAACAGCCCCUUUAGAGCUCUAGAUGCUAGCUUUCCUUGGUUUGUAUGUGCAUUGGCAGUGCAACCAAACACUUUCAGCUUGCUGUAAUCUUCUAGUUUACCACACCACUUCUCAUGUGGUGUUUUGAAGUCUAAGACUGGGGAAGGGCUCAAAUUUAAUAGCAUGCAAGCUGUCAGUAGUGUUUUUGCCCAUAGCCCUUUAGGUAAAUAUGAUUAUAUCAUCAUGCAUCUUACCUUCUCCAUCAAAGUUCUGUUCAUUCUUUCAGCCAAGCCAUUCUGUUGUGGUGUUAGUCUCACUGUUUUGUGUCUAGCAAUGCCUUCUUUUGAGCAGUAUUCAUCAAACAUAUGAUUACAAUAUUCUAGUCCAUUGUCAGUUCUAAGAAACCUUCAGCUUCUUCCCUGUUUGAUUUUCAACAAGUGCUUUCCAUUCUUUAAACCUCUCAAACACAUGAUCUUUGGUUCUAAGUACAUACACCCAAACCUUUCUAGAGUAGUCAUCUAUUAUAGACAUAAAGAACCUAUUGCCUUCUAAAGAUGGAACCUGUGAAGGUCCCCACAGAUCUGUAUGCACAUAGUCCAGGAUACUUUUGGUUUUAUGGACAGAUUUCUUAAAGCUAGCUCGUAUGGAUUUCCCUAGAACACAAUCCUCACAGAAAUCUAGUUCUUCAAUCUUGUCACCCCUCAAAACCCCCUGCUUUUCUAAUUCUUUAAGACCAUUUAGGCUUAUGUGUCCCAAUCUUAAAUGCCAAAGCCUGGUAUUAUCAGCAUUAGUCUUGACAGACACAUUGGAUUCACUAGUCAUUACUUCCCCAUCCAGGACAUAAACCCCAUUUCUCCUUGUGCCUUUCAUAAUCAAUGUUGAGCCAUUUAGGAUUCUUAAGUCACCACACUCUAAUUUUAUACUACACCCAAUUUGGUCAAGCAUCCCUAGAGAGAUUAAAUUCCUUUUAAGGUUUGGUACAUGCCUGACCUGUUUUAUUAGCCUCACAAUCCCAUCAUGUAGUUUUAGAUGUAUGUUUCCUAUCCCAAUGACCUUACACAUUGCAUUGUUUCCCAUCAUUACCCUUCCCCCAUCAUAUUCAUGGUAAUCUGAAAAGUAACUCUUUACAGGACUCAUAUGAAAAGUAUAGCCAGAAUCAAGGAUCCACUUACCUAUCUGCACUUCAUCAGUUGCCACACACACUCCAGCUGAUUCAUAUCCCUCAUCUUCAACUAUUGCUGCAUCUCCAAUCUUUUGUUUAUUUUUAGGGCAAUCUUUCUUGAAGUGUCAUUCCUUGUGACACUGAAAACACUUCAAGUUCUUGUUUUUGUUCUUCCCCUUUCCUUGCUUCUUUUUCUUUCCAUCAAUUCUUUCAUUUCUUCCUUUCACAGUUAAUCCCACUCCACUCUCUGUGUUAACUUGCUUUUCUUGUAGACCUCUGGUAUUCAAUGCAGCCUUAACCUCAUCUAGAGACAAGGUUUGUCUACCAUACAUUAAAGCAUCCACAAAAUUGGAGUAUGACUGUGGUAAUGAACUUAUCAGAAGUAGAGCUUUUCCUUCAUCAUUCAGGCCCUCAUCAAUGGUCUCCAAGGUGUCACAAACUUUGUUGAACUCAUCGAUAUGUUCAUCAAGAGAUGAUCUCGCAGCCAUCUUUAAUGAAAACAUCAUCUUCUUUAUAUAGAGCCUAUUUGCCAGUGACUUUGUCAUGUACAGAUUCUCAAGUUUAGCCCAUAGCUCUGCCACUGUUCUCUCCUUUGCCACUUCUCUAAUAACUGAGGCACUCAAACUCAGAAUUAUCGUGCUUCUUGCUUUCUUGUCGAUCUCAGCAGCCAGUUCUAGAGAUUUUGAUGAAGAUACCUCAUUCCCUUCUUUCUUGGUUGUUGGUUCUAUGGUUUCACCUAGGCCUUGAGUAAUUAACAAUGCCUCCAUUUUCACUUUCCACAUAUUGAAGUCGUUCUUCCCAUUAAACUUUUCAAGAUCAACUUUAGGAGCAGCCAUACUUGUAUCUGAUCAAGAAACCGAGCUCUGAUACCAAUUGUAGAGAUUGUCAAGUUAUGUAAUCAACUUGAGCAACCUCUUCCCAAGAUUACUGGAUUAGAUUUACAAGAUGAAUUAAAGAUGAUCUUAAUUUACAAUGAUUUUAAACAACUCAAUAUCACAACGAACCAACAGUAAGCAAUCAAAGAAACUAAAAGAAACCCAAGAAUUAACCCAGACACAGCAAGUUACGUGGUUCAGUCAAUUCAUCAUUGACUUACAUCCCCAGAGGAACAAAUUGACCAGCUUUAUUGAUUGAACCAAGUCUCUUUUACAACCAGAUUUACAGAGCCCGAAUCAAGGAACAAUAACACUCUGUUUACACAAGCUCUCUCUCUCCUGAAUCCUAUGAAAUCCUCUCGGUUUGUUACGCCAGAAUCAGCUUCAGCUUCUGUGUUUAUAACAACCCAGAAGCAGCCCAAGCCGAGCACAUGAGCAGCAGAUGUCUUUAACAGCUUUUAACAGCCUUCUUACGUCAUUAAAAACUCACGCACAUUGCUCGUGAUUAUUAUAACCCAAAACGGUAGAGUCUUAGGUCGUUUCUCAAAGAGGUAUUAAGAUAUCCUGAAACGCAGAUUGCUGUGCCUUUUUCCUUUUGACAUCAAAUGCCAAAACGCAGAGCUUCCUGUCGUCUCCUUAAAUCUCUUUUUGAUUUGUUUCAUUCUGGUCCAACAAGAUCAAUUUAUUAGAAGACGAUAUUCCUCCAUCAAAUUGAAAGAGAAAUUGAAAAUAUCAAAAAGGGAACAGUAAGACGAUACUAUAUAUAUUAUCAUGAUAUUUUUGGUUUUUGUUUUGGAAAUGGAACAUCAUGAAACCGAGUAGAGGUGCACAAAAAUGGUGAAGAUAUAUUUCAGCUUCAUCGAUUGUCUCGAAUAAAAACAUCAAUGAUGUGUUAAACAAUUAACUCAAAAAUAGAUUGCUUACCUUAAAGGUGUGCCCAAAUUAUAAAUUUCAGUUUCGACUAUUGACCUUGGUUCGUAACGCGAUAAACUAAUCCGUGGCAUUUCACAUACCCAACAAUCUUGUAAGAAUUGGUUGAACUCUCAGAUCCCAUUCCACAACAUGCAAAACUCCCUGAUAUUGCCAAUGGCGGUGAUAUGAUUCAUUUAAAGGGUUCCCCUUGUUGCCAAUUACCUUUAAAGAACAAUAAACUAUUGCCAAUGUUCUCGACACGGUUCCAUCACUCUGAAAAACUAACGCAUGUGAGCAAAACAAAGGCAGUCAAUUAUGUCACUCCAGUAUUCAGAGACAGAUCGCCGACUCAUAAGUGAUUUAGUGGGCAAUCCAAGAAAGAUGUCAUAGAUGAUAUAAUCAGAAAUUUCUUCCUCCAUCAGUUUUAUACAAUUUUUAACAUCCCUUUGAGAUUCUGGUCAAUUAAGAACUUAAUCAGUUCCUGCAUGUCAAAGUUGUUUGAGUGUCAUAAAACCUGUAGCGAAUCUACAUUUUCUGGGAAUAAUUUAAUAUAAAACUUAGCAGAAAGCUAAUACAAAUAUGCAGUUUUUAUUCGAACAAAAUUUAUGUGAACCAAGAAACAGAGCAUAACAGGGUAGCUGCAACUAAUAACACACAAAUUAACUCGUAAAAGUGACCUAACAAGCGUCAGAAUCAAUGGAUUAAAGCACUAAUCAGAGAUUGUGAACAAAACGUUUGUUUUAUAAUCAUGGAAAUUUGAGAUUACAUCAGCUAUAUGAUCCAUGAAAGAUAAGAAGCUUAAAGUGAGUUUAUGUAGCAUUGAUAGGCCUGUAUGGUGUCGCCAGCGCAGUGGCGUCGUCGGCGUGAGUGCGAGUGAAUUUUGGGAGACCUCCGGCUCCGGUUCCGUUGACUUUGCAUUAAAUUUGGUAAUAAUUUUUUUUUUAAAAUUUAAAGUGUUAAAAUAUUCUAUUUAGCAGAAAAUAGAAACAAAUUGCGAAUGAGAUUAGAAUCCAAAUUUCAUUGCUAUCAUUUGAUAUAGAGGCAUUUCAAGUAAACUUUGGUCGUUUUUCAUUACCCAUGAGAGUGAGAACAGAGAACUCGAGUUAUCAUAUUGAAAAAUGGUAAUGAGACAGAAUUUAAAUCCUUACAAACCAAUAAUUAAUUAAUCGGUGUUAGUUUAUCGUGUUUGCAGCUAUAUUUUAUUGGAAACCUUAAAAAAGAAAUGGAAUCUUUCAGUUCAUAAUGUAUUAUUAUAUUUAUCCCACUCUUGUUUAUGACAAUUUGCAUCUGAGCCAGCUGGAAUGCUAUAGACUGAAAAAAUUAACAAUGUUUUCUGAGGAUGACUGACCAAGUCAAAGUCUUUGAGGCGCACAAUUAAUCUAACCGGGGCGAGCAGAAAUUACUGUAUUUAUAAAAUUUUGAUUCACUAGUUUCAAGUGAAAGAAAUAUUAAAAUAUAUAUCAUUCGCAUUUAUGAUGGAGCCUCUAACGAUUAUUAAAUCAUUUUAAGCAUUUAUGUAUGACUAUUACAUUUAAUUAAUUGUAUUGCAUAAUUUGCAUAGGCUCCUCCACUUUGAGGCAGUUACUUGGGUUCAAAUUUGCAGUUGCAGAGCACCAAAGUUUGCUUUUUCGAUCUACUUGGAUUUUUCUUUGUUGAUCAUGUAAGUUAUACAUACAGCACUGCAAAAUGCCUCUACAAUAUUGCCAGUUUUCGUAUAACAUGUCCUUAGGAGGACUCUUGUGUACAUAAAUAUGUUGUUCGGUUAAUGUCGGUCUCGUUUAAUUGUAAUUCAUUGUAGAUCCAAAAUUGUAAACUAUUGUUUCUUUAGCCUGAACUUGUGAACCAACUGAUUUGAUCAUCAGGUCUCAAGACUUGGACGCAGAGGAAGGUCUUAAAAGAAGGCUUCUGCACGGAGAUGGUAGGCCCAGUGAUGGAACAAAAAACUCAUCAGUUGUGUCCGUAACCGGAAGAUCCGGAACGCAAGCAGUAAAGACAAGUUUUCUUCAGCUGGAAAAGAUGAGAAAUUAUGCAGCAAAUUACAGAAUCGAUUUACCAUGGUAUGUGAUUUCAAUAUUAUGGGAUCCUUUGUACUUCUACACUCUGGUGAUCAAUGAUGAAAAGCAGUGCAUUGAAAUGGACUUUUCUUUGGCUUCCUUGGUGAUUGAACUCCGCUUCUACUUUGAUUUGGCCAAGUUGAUCCACAGUUCGUUUGUGAUUUGUGUUGAAUAUUUUGAAAAUAGAAAGAUAAGCGUGUGGCUGAUGUUCGCAUGGCUCAUUGACUUUGUGUCCAGUAUAAUAUUUACCCAGGUGCGUAAUAGAUCUGAAUUUAAUUUAUUUAGUUGUCUAAUAUUUCAAUAUCAUUUAUAUGAUUACUAAUACUUCAAAUUCAUAAAACAACAUCCAGAUGGUGGUGGGAAUAACGGACAUUCUGUACUCGAGGAAUUUCUUUCUGUUUCAAUAUUUGCUGAAGAUUAUUCGAACCUACCACCUGCUUACAGCAGCAACAGGGGUUUCAGGGAUAUUUGGUGAAUCUACAUGGGCCAUUGUUGCGUUCAAUGUUCUUCUUUACAUGCACGGCAGUUACGUAAGUCAAAAGUACUAUCAUUUAUGUAAGUUAAUUUAUAAUAAAACCCUUCUCAGGCAAAAAGAAAAAUUAAAAUAGAACCACAUUCAUGCAUCCUGCUUUCUUCCUUCCUAAUUUUGAUAAAUGAAUUCUUUUAGUCCUUAAGAUUCGAGUUAAUUAUUCAGUUACUACUGUCGCAUAUAUUGUCAGACAGAAGUAAUGACAAAGACAUUUUUGUGUAAUUCUUAAAAAUAUGGAGAUUAACUGAAUAAUUAACCCAAGCCCUCGUGAAUGAAGGGAAAUUGACACUCGAAGCUUUUCUACUUUCUCAACCGCGCAUGUUUCUAAUCGAGUGGUCCUUUAGGUAUUUGGUGCCUUGUGGUACUUUUUUGCCAUAAACAAAGCGACCGCAUGCUGGAUGGAUACCUGCAUGAAGAAUACUGGUUGCUGGGGCGUCUUAAACAUUGAUGCCUAUUGUGAGGGCCGUUCAGGAGACUAUAAGUUUCUAAACGAUGUUUGCUCUGUAAAGACGGGAAACUCAACAAACAAUUUUUAUGGCUUAUAUGGUGAUGCUUUUCAGUUAGGAAUUGUGGGGUUGACCGAUGUUCCAAUGAAAAUCUUGCUUUGUUUACUAUGGGGACUGCAAAAUCUCAGGUUUGUGCCUUGCAUUGUCGUUACUGUGUGAUGUGAGGUCAGCCGUUAAUAACUUCGAAAAUUGUGAGUUCAUUGAAUUGCUUUUUGCAGUGCUUUUGGUCAGAGCCUCCAACCAAGUAACGAUUUCUGGGAAAUUAUCUUCGCAAUUUGCAUGACCAACUAUGGCAUCGUUCUGUUUGUCUUCUUAAUUGGAAAGAUGCAGGUUCACAUAUAUAAAUUCUAUAUCGUAAUUGUUAUGACAUAUGAUGAUAUAAUAAAUUAUCAUGCGUUAAUUAAUGACCGGCAUCUUACCAUCUCGCUGUUACAUAAAGAAAUAUUUUAGGGCUGUGAGAAUGCCAUGUCAAUUAGAAUUAAUACAAACUUUGCAUCCCAAUUCCUUAUAAAAUUAGCGUUACUCAUAAUUUUCUGUUUACGUCUAUAGAUUUGAAGAUUGAUGCACAAUUCAAUUAUUGACUCUGUUUCAUUUGAAAUAUCUGAUACAUAAAUAUAUAUGCAGUCUGACACAGAAAGAUCACAAAAGAUCAAACAGAUGUGGGAGGAGAUAAAGCAAUGGCAGCACUUUAAGGAUAUAUCUAAUAAAGUUCAAGAUCAAAUAAGGAAAGACAAGCGCAACAACUGGGAAGAAACCAAAGGAGUUGACAUAGAUAAUUUGGUGAAUAAUCUCCCUAAGGACACUGGAAAAAAAAUAAAACGCGAUCUCGGCCGAAAGCUGCUCAAGAAUGUGAGUUCUCAUCAUCCCUCUUUAUAAUUAUAAUAAUUGAUCACUUUUCUAUCCUGCCCGCUCUGAAGUUCAAAUGUCUCGAUGUUUCAAUCAUUUUCAUUCUUAACCUGAUCGGGCGAGCCAAAUUAAUCCUUCGUUACAUUAAAAUUACAGAUUCGUCUUAUUUUCCCUCUUUGAUUGGUACUCCUUCUGAAUCCAAGCAUCGAACCUAAGUCAUACCUCAUUGAAGUUCAUGGGCUUAACUAACACAUGGUCAAAAGCUAGCUAGUUCGUAGUUAGGUUGAGAUUUGCCUCAAGGUUAAAUACUUUAUUCAUGAUUUACUCUUAGCUGACAUGCAAUGUUUUACAUACGCAGAGAGAUAGAGAUAGUCAUUCUCAAAUGCACGCCCUCAUUUUUUUUAAUAUGAAUACUCUGUUAACAGAGUUAAUUUCCAAUAAAUUGUAAACCCAUAGCAUUAAAAAUUGACUUUAUUAAACUGCAUAGUUUAGAUAUGUGUCCGCAAGAAAAAAAAAAAAGAGGGCACCCGCACUUAAGAAUGAUUAAUAUAUAAUAUGGACGCCCUCAUUUUUUUAAUCAGAAUAUGCUCUUAAACUGUGCAGUUUAGGAGAGUUAAAGACUAACUCUCUUAAACCUCAUGAUUUAAAAGCGUUUUUGUAUGAAAAAAAUGAGCGCGCUCGCACCAAAAAAGAACUCUCGGGUGUGUGUGUGUGUAUAACUUUUUAUAAAUGUAUUUUUAAAGUCACAUGACGAGGUGGGCUUUCAUUCUUAUAACUAAUCUUUGUUAUCUCGAUUUACCCAUGUAAUGGUUGGAUAUAUUUAUACUCUAAUUCUCAUUCUUGGAUAUGUGUAAAUAUAUAUGAAGGUAAAAGAGUUUCAAAAUUGGAGCGAAACAUCAUUAGAGGAACUAUGUGAUUGUUUGAAGCCAGUGUUCUUUAUUGAACGUACUCGAAUAAUUCGAGUAGGAGAUCCAAUUGAUGAGAUGCUCUUCGUGUUGAAUGGCAAGCUUUGGACUUACUCAUAUGACUUCAUGAAUGUAACAACAACUGCCUCUAUGUUGAUCCAUCGUCGUAGCCGGGAAAAUCUUCUAGAAGAUGGUGAUUUUUGCGGACAAGAACUUAUAGCUUGGUCUCAAAAUGAAAGCUCAUCACCCCACCUCCCUAUCUCAACCAGAACCAUUCAGGCACUUACUAACGUUGAAGCUUUUACUCUUAUGGCCGACGACUUGAAACGUGUAUCAUUACUUCGACAUUUUGAUCGGGCAGCUCUUUUGUUACAAUCACGCUGGCGUUUCAAAAGGCUGUUGCGUGCUAGAAGGAAUCCAGAGAAACGAUCACGCCUGGAAUCACUAAUGUAUAAAUUUAUAUAGAGAAACAUAUAUACGUUUGUUGCAGCAUUAUAAUUAGUCCCGAUUAUGUAAAAGCAAGUACAGAAAGCCAUUUAAAUAUGGGAAACCAACGUGCUGUUGCUCAUACUACACUAGGGGUGGCAAAACGAAUUGGCAAAUCGAAUUCGUGUAGAAUCCUAAAUGAAUCAAAUCAAAAUUCGAUGGAUUCAAAUUCGAUUUGUUUAUUAAACGAAUCGUAAUCUCAUGAUUUGGACUCAAUUCGUUUAGUAAACGAAUAUUCAUUUACAAUUCAUUUACUAUACAAAGUUAAAUUAAAUAAUAAAUAAUGAAAGUUUUUAAUAAAGAAUCCAAUGGAUUAAUUUAAAUUUAUUUAAAAUCUAAUCACAAAAUCGAUUCAUUACAACUAGAUCCAAGCAAAACACAAAUACAAUUCAAAAACAAGAAGCUGAAGAAACUCAAAGGCAUGAGGACGGACGAAGCUAACAGUCCAAUCAGUGGUGGGUGUGGCUAUUCGAGACCUUGUCACUACCGUAACCAAGAGAAGUGAAGCUUGCCGAAAAAUUUUAAGUGAGAGCACUGAUCUAAUUUUUGGGAGUGUUUGGUUUGGCUUUCGUUUGGGGGAAUGAAGAAAAGGGUCACCAAAUUCAAGUGAAAGAGAACAAUGGAGGAAGGACAAUGAAGAGUGGAGCUAGGCUCAAUUAAUGAGUGAUGAUGCCCUUGCUUUCAUUUUCUUUUUUGGUUUGUUUUCAUUUCAUAAUUUCAAAACUAACCUUAUACCUUGAAAUGUUAAAACAGAUUUUUUUUUUUAAUUUUAAUGAUAUAUAAGUUUUUUAUUAAAAUCUAUUAUACUAUUUGGUUACAACCUAUUUAAUAAAUGAAUUAUAAACGAAUAAAUGAAUUGUUGGCGUCAAAUUCAUAUUCAAUUCGUUCAUUUAACAAAUCAAAUUGAAUUCACUCAUUAAUCAAAUGAAUCAAUUUUUUUAACUCAGACCAAUUUAAUUCAACUCGAAUUAAAUCAAAUUAACAAAUCCUGACCCGGCUUGUCACCCCUAAUAAUAUGCAAAGGUAAUAAUUGAGUAUUAUGUAAAUAGUCGAGGUUAAAUGGUAAAAGAUGAAAACUAUAGGGGGUAUGUGUCAAUAUCGUUUUUUAUUAAUUUAACAACCGAUGGUUGAAUGAUUCAACCUUCUUCAUCCAAAUGGAAUUUUUCUUAUGUAUAAUGUUCAUUUAUGCUGAGACAAAUAGGUUAUCUCUUUCCACGUUGUUUUUUUCACCCAUUUUGGGCCCGAUAUAGCUGAGUAAUUGUGAUGAUGUGAACGGUCUUACACUUGAAUGAAGUCACAAUGUGAGUCAUACACUUGUAAUUUUUUGAACAUUUGUAGUUAGCUAGCCUUUGAUUGUGCUGUUAUUAAAUUUCCAAUUUUCGUCUUUUAAACGAUGACUUUUAGAAUGGUACCACAAUAAACGUUCUGGUUAGCCUUUGUUUGAUCAGCUGUUGCUAAAUGCCUUGUUUUUAUCUUUUAAUUUAAUAACUUUUAAAAUGGUACUUUAGAUGUUAUGAUACCAUUUCGAAACAACAUCGUUGUUAGUCUUUGGUUGAGUUGUUAAAUAUCUUGUCUUUGUCUUUAAGACGAUAACUUUUAAGAUGGAAUUUUGAAUGAUAACUUAAAGCUUGGACGUUAUUUUGUCUAUUUUGGCCGGCCAUUACCCAUUAAAACAACACUUUAAAUGAUUAAAUUUAUUAUUUUACUUUUAAAACUCACAACACUCUCUAAACAUGGUUUACUAAAUAACCUAAUAAUUUUUUUUUUUGUUUAGCUGAUUAUUUUUGUAAACACGACAUAAGCAGAAUAUUUUGUGAGCACCAACAAUCUCCAAUAAAUAAACUUUUAGAGUGGCUUGCCUACAACGUUUCUUUCUACAUGUUUUUCUACACCCAUUUUGUGCCCGAUCUAGCUGAAGUACUUCUGAUGAUGUGAAGGAUCCUGCACUUGAAGGAAGUCAAUCGGCCAAUUUUGCAGAAACCCUAAUUUUGAUUCUUCUACUUGGUUUCUAACAUUAUCGAUCAUGUAAGUAACUGAUCUAGGUAUUGGUACAUAAUAUUCGUCGAUUAAUUUUGCCCUUGUAAUUCCUUGAACAUUUUUUUCUUCCUGGACAAAUCAAAAGCACAGACUGCAUGAUAAACAUUUUGGUUAGUCUUUGUUUUAGCAGUUGGUUAAUGUCUUGUUUCUGUCUCCAAAAUGGCUUUUAGAAUGGUACUUAAGAUGUUUCUAACUUUACAGUGGAUGUAUUUGGGCAAAGCUACGAAUUGAUCUUAAAGGACACACGCACACAUACAUCUUUAUUUUUGAACAUCCAAAAAGGUUCAAAUGAGUGGAAAGCAAGUGUGAUGAUCAAGAAGAAAUUAUUAUUACUUUUGAUGUUUUGUUAGUCUUCAAAACAGAUGAUAGGAUGAUUCAAUCUUUCUAAAGAAAAUGCAAAUGAUGAAACAUAUGUAUAUUUUUCAUUUUGGAUUCUUCUUAAUUACCCAUUGUUGAUCAUGUAAGUAAAUGUUGUUGUUUCCAACAUUGAUCAUGGAAUUUUGCCAACUUGACACUUUUUAAACAGUUUUUCUUUGCCUGGAUCACUUGAAGAAGGGUUAAAUGCUCUUUAUAUCUCUGCAAUUGAUACCGCUCCUUUUCGUUUUCUUAGAUACGCUUAGAUUUACAUUGGAAAUCCUUUUACCCCACUCGAUAGGAAGUUUUAUAAUUCAGCGAAAUUUCAUUGUGAUUUAUUUUAAAACCUUGUUUUGUUAAAGUUAAUUUGCAAGGGAGUCGUAAUUUUUUUUUGAGUUUUUAAAUAUUGUUAAUUAUACUCAUCUUGAAAAAAUUAAAAUUUUUAAUACGAAUGUAAAAUGUCCAACUUUUUAUUUUUUUAAAUUAAAUUUUCGUAAAUUUGUAUAUUUAUCAAAAAUAAAUUCUAACAAAUAAAAAAGUAAUUUAAAUUAAUUUUCUACUUAAUAACAGUUAUAUUCCUAGCAAAAAAUUAUUUUCUAUUAGGGAUCAAAUAUUUUCCUUUACGGAAAAUGAGUUUUACAUGAUUAAUAAUUAGAGUGAUAUAUAAAAACUAAUUCGUGAGCACAACAAACAUUUUCCAGUAUUUAAACAAUGAUUUUUUAAAAUAAUAGUGAAAAAUCAUUCAUUCAUUUGAAUUAAGUCUAAAUUAGAGGCAAUGAUGUUGACGUAUUUUACAAAGAUGCCAAGAGUAUUUGUCUGUUGAGCUACUACAAUGUUGUCAUAAAAUUUACGCAUUGCAAAAAAAUUCUAAUUACUCAUAACGUGUCUUGAUCAGGUCUCGGAACCCGCAAUUAGAGCAAGGCACAGCAGCACAAGCUCUCGGAGAAGAUAGUGAACCACCACGUAAAUGGCCAUUGUUCUUCUUGGUUGGCCAAAUUUUAUACUGGUUACUCUAUGUGACAUACAAAAUUUUAUACUUGUUGCUUUAUUUGACUGCCAUAAGUUUAUUCGGGUGUUUUGCUGGGAUGUUUGAAAGCAUAGGGUUGAUUGUGGCGGUAGUGAUAUUGGAUAUUUUCAGGCCGAUGAUAAAGUUGGCUAUCAAAAAAAAGAUUUUUCUUCUACUGUCUGUUAUUGCAAUUAUAUUGGAUCCUUUGUUCUUCUACAUUCCGGUCAUAAAUGAUGAAAAGAAGUGCAUUGAAAUGGACAAGAUUUUGGGAACUACAGCCAUUUCUCUUCGUUCGGUAAUCGAUUUAUUUAAGAUAAUUCAUUUUAUCUUUGAGCUGCUCACUAAAUUACCCGUAAAAGGAAGGAUGCGUGUGUGGUUGGUCUUUCUCAUUGACAUUUUGGCCAUUCUUCCCCUCCCUCAGGUAUGACAAACUAAAUAUCCGGAUACUUAAGCUAGCACAUUUGUUAUUUUAUGAACUAUGACAGCAAAUAUAUAAUGCUGUGCAAAUGAUAUUCGGUGCUAUGUCCAUUCAGGAGGAGAGAGUCUUUCAUGAUCCUAGAGCAUUUCUAAUUAUAUAUUCACCUACUUCCUAACACAUGUGUAUAAAUAUUAUUACAAUUGUUUGAAGCAUACACGUGCCAAAGAAUGAAUGAAAAAGAAGCAGUUCUACUAGAGCACCCAAGACUUUUCCCCAUUAUUUAUAGCCACUUUCAAGGUUUAAAUUCUUUUUUAGUUCCGAAUGGUUUGGCCAAUUACCUAUUUAGUCCCCUUUUUUGGGGAAAUUAAUUAAAAUUAUCUAUUGUUACUCUUAUAGCUAUUAGAUCUAAUCUUUUAAGAGUAAAUUAAUAUUUUUAUCUGAUGUAAUUAAAAUUUAAACAAAUAUGACAUGUCAUAGGUGAAAAGUAAAGAAUAAUUGAGUAGAAUUUAAUUGAUACAUACAUACAAUAAGUACAUUUUGGAUAAUUUUCUAAAAUACCAGGAUAAACUUUAGAGGCUAUAGUAGAAUUUACCUCAGUUUCAAGCUAUACAUUGUACAAAGGGUUCAUAGUCCGGAUUUUGAAAACGUGCAGUCAUAUACAGAGGGGAAUUCUCAUACUAUGCAUUGUAUGAGGUAUUUAAUUAUCUACAUAUAAUACUGACUACCACUCAAUUGUCCAGGUGCUUUUGAACUUACAAAAAGUAAGAGGCACGGAAUUUCUAUACGCAAUGAGCUUCUCCCUUGUACAAUAUUUGUUGAGGGUUAUUCGAACCUACUACUUGUUUACAGAAGCAACAGGUGUUACAGGAAUACUUGCCGAAGCUACAUGGGCCAUUGUUGGGUUCAACAUUCUUCUUUAUAUGCAAGGCGGUCACGUAAGUUAUAAAAGACCAUUCAUUCAAUUUAAUUCCUAAGAUAUGCACGAGCCGAAUGAAUAUAUCUUUAUGCAUACUUUAUAUUGUUGGCACUGGGACAUACAGUUAUUUCUGAAUCAUGCACCCUUUUCAGGUAUUUGGAGCCUUAUGGUACUUCUAUGCCAUCGGAAAAUUGACAGGAUGCUGGAAGAAAGCGUGCCAAAAUAAUACUGGAUGUCAUCAUAGUUCGUUUUAUUGUGAAGACAUGAUCAGUACAAGAGAUUACACGUUUCUAAAUGAUUUUUGCAGUAUAAAGUCAGGAAAUACAUCAGAUUACAAUUUUGGAUUAUAUAAUGAUGCUCUUGAGUCUGGUAUUGUGGAGGUGACGAAUUUUCCAAAGAAAUUGUUACAUUGUUUACAAUGGGGCUUGCAAAAUCUCAGGUUUGAGCAUAAUCCAAACUUUCUCUUUGUGAUGUUAUGGUUGAAAAGAAAAAAGAAUGAAACAAUAUUGGUUGAAAAAAAUAAAAUACUUUGGUCACUCUUAGACACUAUUUUACCACUUAGGUCCCUGGUAAAAUUUUAAUAUCUUAUUUCAUACUAGAAUUGGAAUAAAAGUAUAGAAAAAAACACAUUGUUGAAAGUUAAACGUCACAUUUUAACAAAUAGAUUAAAUAACUUUAAUUUGCAUUGAUCUAAAAUAAUCAUGUUUAUUCUGGUAUUGUUUUCAAGGAGCAAAGUAUUACAUAUUCCCCUUUCGAGAAAACUGCCGAUUCUUUUGCAUAGGAGAGUGACUUUAUUCUUUUGUGUAUAUCAUUUCAAAUAAAGCGUAUAGAUUGAACCCUUUGCAGUGCUUUUGGUCAGAACCUCCAAACAAGCACCGAUAUCUGGGAAAACGUUUUUGCAAUUUGCAUGACCAACUUUGGUGUGGUACUGUUUGUCUUUUUAAUUGGGAAGAUGCAGGUUCGUAUACAUUUUCUAUUUCUUAUAUCUGAAUUAACCUCAAUUCCAAGUGUUAUAAUUAAUAUUGAAGUACAUUUGAAAUUAAUGGAUUGUAACUGCAGUCGGACACAGCAAGAUCACAUAAGAUAAAAAAGAAGUGGAAGGAGAUAAAGCAGUGGCCGAAUUUUGGGGAAAUUUCUUCUGAUCUAAAAGAGCAGGUGAGGACAUACAAGCGAGAGAAAUGGGAAGAAACCAAGCGUGUUGAUGUUGAUAAUUUGGUGAAUGAUCUUCCCCACGAACUUGGCAUCAAAAUAAAGCGCAAACUUUGCAUUAAACUAAUCAAGAAUGUGAGUUCCUAUUACUUCUUUAUCCAGUAAUAAGUCACUUGUGGUUUCUUUAUCUAUUGAAAAAAAAAAAGGAAAAGAAAAAAUGCUAGGCAACAGUUACGAGUUCAUUGCCACAAAAUUGCCACUCCUUGUUUAUUACAAGAAAUUGAAACAACAUUUGUUAUAUUCCGUUACCCUUACUAAUCGUUUGGAUGCAUCUAAUGUAAUUCUCAUUUUUUGGUCCGUACCUAUCUAUGUACACAGGUAAAAGAGUUCGAAAAUUGGAAUAAAAAAUCAUUGGAGUUUCUGUGUGAAUUUCUGAAGCCAGUCUUCUUUAUUGAGCGUACACGCAUUAUUCGGGAGGGAGACCCAAUUGAAGAGAUGCUAUUUGUGCUGAAAGGCAAUCUCUGGACUUACACUUCCGGGAAUGUAGCAACAACUAGCAGCAAUAGUAGUCGUUAUGGAAAGAAUCGUUUGAAAGGUGGUGACUUUUUUGGAGAAGAACUUAUUGGUUGGGCUGAGAGUGAGCACUCUUCCAAUUUGCCUAGCUCAACCAGAACUAUUCAAGCGCUUAGUGAGGUUGAAGCCUUUGUUCUUAUGGCAGAUGACUUGAAACAUGUAUUCUUACUUAGACAUUGUGACCGGGCAGCUCUUUUGUUACAAUCACGCUGGCGUUUCAGAAAGCUUUUGCGUGAUAGGAGGGCUAAGCAAAAAUCAAUCUUGAGAAGAGUGCGGAAUUGGGCAGCAGUACUACAGACUAUAGAAUAACAAUUUGAGACUGGAUUUGAAAUUAUUAUUUGUAUGAAUACUACCAAAAUGAAAAUAGGUGGUAAAAUCUGAAAAAUUAAGGGGAAAAUUGUCGAUCUCCCUUGUUCGAUUAUGCAGUCAACAAGAUCAGAAACAGUAAUCGCCAAGUUCGAUUUGGAAAUCUUAUCCAACCAAUGGUACCUUUUUCUUUUUUCUUUUUUUCCCUGAAUCAAGGACUUCACGCUUCGUUGAUGGGGAUACCAUUCCUAAAAUUAAAAGAUAUUGACCAUUACUAUCUCAAACAACAAUUAAUUAUACAUUGCCAGCACGCAAAAAUGAGCGACAAACUUCUUCAUUAACUAAUCUAUUUGAACAACUGCAUUUCUAAGCAUAUAUAUGAUCAUUUCAGAUGAAAAUAGUUUAAAGUGGCGAUAGAAGAACCGGUAGAUCACAGUUGAGAGAGUGAAGCAGAUCAUCAGGGGGCAAUCUUAAGUGUGUCACGCGGGUAGAGUGAUGUUUUGCGAAUGUUGUUGAGAUCGCAGAAAAGCAUCACCACACUCUUCAAUCCCACUUCACAUCCACUAUGUCUCGAAAGGAAUCCAAUGAUAACAUAAAGCUAACAGUUUUUAGAGGACCACACUGUUUUUCUAUUUGCGUACAAAUGGACAGUGGUUUCAGAAUAACCUUAGCAUUGUCAAGUUUAACCAGAGAGCAUGGAAACCAAAGCCAGAUCAAAAGAGGAGGAAGAGAUGCUCAAAAAUCCGGUCAAAUGAACAAUCACAUGAUAUUUUCAUCCAACAAGUAUGAAUGUUUGCAAUGAAAAGAAAAAUGAAAACCCGACAGAAAAUUCUUCAACACAAGGAUUUUGAAUGUGGUUAUCAUUAUAAUUAAGCAGUCAACCUAAUACAACCUUCAACCAGAGGUGAAUUCAUUUAUGCCAGUCACAUGACCACUCCUAUCAACACCACUGCAAAAAAAGCGCAUCCUCUUUAUUAAUAAAUGAAGUUUUGUUCCUGCUUUACUUCACCAUUCAUUUUCAUCUCAUAAAAGAGCAAUUUAUUGGAAUACAACAUACCUCGAUUAAACUGAAAGAGGAUUAAGAUAAUUUAAAAAAUGAAAACUGCGAGACAAUACGAGUAGUAUCAUGAUAAACUUAACUCCAGAUGGACAGCCAUUUUUUAAUCGUAAUUAAUGAAACAAAUGUAGAUCGAGAUUUCCCCAGAACAACACCACAAAUACAAGUAUAUGUGCAUCCAAAAUGAAGAAGAAAUGUUUCAGCUUCAUACAUUACCUCGAAUAAAGACAUCAAAUUAGUUUCUGUAAAGAGCAUUGUCAGGAGGGGGCGCCUAACAGCCCAAGGAUAACGAUGGAGUAUAUAAAAUUCGGCGCCAUACCUACAAUAGGAAGCAACAAUCAGGCACGCAUUGAUGAUAUACAUAGAUAUUUAAGCUUAAAAAUGAGAAAACACUUAUCAUGAGCUAAGAGCAAUGAGGCUCUUAAUUGUUUCAAAAUUUGAAACUAAUAAUAGAUGUAUGUUAUACAGACAAAUUCAGACUUCAAUACUUGUAAGAAAAAUCAAGUCAGUAAAUAUGGAACCUACUUAUCUCCGUUCCAUAGGUUUGGUUGUCUUUUUUUUUUUUUAAUUAAUGUUCAGAAUCGAUUAAAAAGUUUUUUAAUUCGAGUUCUUGCUAAUUUCAUUUUUUGAUUCCAUUUUGAAAUUCAAUUUUCUUAUUUAAUUUUAUUCCGAUCCUAUCUACCCAUUCGAAUUUUGGUUGCUUAAUUGUUCAGGAUGUUGGAGUUGAGAAUGAUCCUCUUGAAGACUUGAAUACUGAGGCAGAGAGGAAGUUGAUCCAACUAUUUUCCUACGAUUCUUGGGAACAGUAGAUACUACUUUUAAAGUAUUCAACCUACUAAAUGAUUCCUCCACACUACUGUUACCCUUAAAAAUCAUCUAAUUAGUUAUUCAUACACUAAUCUAAAUAAUGGCGUGAUAAAUCAGAAACCUUUCUUCAUGAAACAUGAACUGAGGGGAUGAAAGAAAUUAAGUUACCUUGAGCAUUUGAAUCCCUUUUCCGAAUGUAAGACAAAGAGUCUUUGCCUUGUACUGCAACAUUUAGAAAAUGCCACAAUCAGGUUCAAGAAUAGAGAAAAGCUGAGGUGAUAUAUAAUUUUCCAUAUUCCAAAUAUAUCUAAACUAUACAAGCACUUCAAAAAUUAUUAUGAUAACAGAAUUUUAAGAACAAUUCAAAAUAAAUAAUGACCUUCAGAGGUUCAAACGGACACUGAUUCGCCACAUAUUCAACUUCCUUUUUGCACCUCUCAUUCAAAUCAUCAAAAAUUGUGACAAAUAAGCGGCCCACAAUAUCCAUCACCUGUGUUCAGGUGCUUACCUUAAUAGAACCAAAUAAAUAGUAACACGCGUCUCGGCGCAUACCUUUCAUAUAAUCACAUUUGUAUAUGUACGAUGAUAUCACCGCCACCUAAAUUUCUCAUUUAUUAUAUUUGAUUAUUUUCUUUUUAUUUCAUUGAUUUUCUCGUAUAAAAGUAGAUUUACUACGAUUUACCAUUGUGUUGUUGUGCAAUGGUCACCCUUUUUGUUCGGGCUGCCUAUUGAUUUAUUGCUUUUAGAAGAACUCUCAGAAUAGCUUUACAUUAUACUUUUCUAAUUUGCAAUGAAUGCGUCCAGGAGUAUAAAGCCAUGAACUGAUUUUUGAACAACUUAUAUCUUACUUGCUAAUGUCGAUGGAAUUCAUAAAUUCAUAAUACAUCCAAUAAAGGGGGAGAAAAAUAGGAAAGAAAGAAAUACUCCCUGUGUAUCAUCUAGACUAGUUUUAAAACUUCUUGAAUUGGACAAGAAUAAGUUGGCUGACAAGCUUUCCUAACUUCUCACAACUUUUAUUAUUGUUACCUUAUAUUUUCAUAGUCGUUAGAUUUUUAUACUUUGAAUUGGUACCAAUCUCUUUUUUAUCAAAUUUAAACAGAGAUAAUUGAUUGAAUGAUUCAGUCUCCUUCGUCGAAACAACGUUCUUAUUUGCUCAAACAGAUGGAAUCCAGAAAACUCAUCCAUUUGAUUCUCUUCAAUUGAAAACUCAUCACUUCCUGCAUGUAAGAGCAAUUUGAGUGCCAUAAAGCCUGUAGUGAAUCUACCUAUUUAGGGAAUAAUUUAAUUAGAAAAGUUAACAUGAAGCUCAUACGCCCUAAUUACAAAGCUACUCUUAAAAUAACAUGAAUCAAGAAACAGAGCAAAACAGAGUAGCUACUAAGAAGAACACCCAAAUUAACUCCUAAAAUUGACCAAACAUAACAAGCAUCAAAUCAAAGCAUUAAAGCACUAAUCAGAGACUUUACACUAAAUUGUUUGUUUUAAAAUAAUGGGAUUUCAAGAUUAUACUUAAAACUCAAGUAAAAUCAUCUGCAUGGUUGAAGGAUCAGAAGCUCAUGGAUGGAAUAAUAGAGAAAUUAAAGUAAACAAUGUAACUAACCGGUUCCUUGAAGAAGUUGGUUAUCGACGGAGGCCCAGUGACUUUGUCGGAGUGGUGGCAUCGCUGGCUUAGGCGUGAGUGAAGAGUGAAUAUUGGGAGAUCUCUGGCUUCGGUUCUUUGACCUUACGUUAUUUUAUUUAUUCAUUAUUUUUUUUUUCUAGUGUAUGCAGAUGCUCCGCUCACUUUAAACUCUAGUGGAUGCAGUGUGGCAACUGAAGUGAUCAGUUGCUGCCCAAGAUCACAAACCAAAUCUGCCAAGAUGCUUCCAAGAUCAAACUGAUUUGAAGCUUAAUUGAUAUGAAAUGCAAACGAUGAUGAUGAUGAAGAACAUAAAUCAAUUUAGAGAUGAAUAGAAUCAACGAAUCAAAAGAAAAACGGAGGAUAAAUCGAUUUGCGUGGUUCAGCUAAUUUUUGGUGUUUUUAAAUAAUUACCUCAGCGGGUGGAAAUUUCUGUUCAGCUUUUAUUGAUUGUUCAAGAUGUAUUACAGGGUUUUUACAAAGUACAAAGCAACGAACAAGAGUGCUUCAAUUCUCUCAGCAAUCUCUCCCUAUAAAGCUCACACAAUCCCCCCUUUUUGUUGCACCAGAGCGAGCGGUUUAACGGCUUUGUAACCAACCCAGAUGAAACCCAGAAAACCACGUGACAUGCAUGUGCGUUAACAAACUAUAACGAACAUAAGCAGCUUUCUUUAAGCACGUGAAGCGUCCGCGCUUCAUUAAACCCAAAACGGUGUUUCCCGAAGUCGUUUCACCAUGCAAUACCACCCAGUACGCAUCAAACGGCCGCAACUCAUGUCGUUUAGCUUAAGUGUCUUAAGCCCAAAAGGCGACACUCGAUGUCGUUUUGCUUAUUUCUGAUUUGCUUCACCUGUCACACAACAUGCAGUGUAGAUGCUGUUUUAACUUUUGAAUUUUAUAUGAUUUUAUUUUGUCUUCUUAAAAGAUAUCUUUUAGAACUGAAGGGCACUUUCGAUGUUUCUUAUUUAUUUUACAGUGACCUCUUCUGGCUCUUUCUGCUGAGGGAGGGUACAAACAAUGAAUCAUCAUCAGAUUAAUCAAAAUAUAACCCCACUCAUAACAUAAAAAUUAGAAAACGUCUCUUCAGAUGAUUUGAGUCACACACAUCAACAAUCAGAAAUCGUUAACUAAGUAUACAAUUUCUUUUUGGACUCGUAUUUUCCCCAUUGUUGAUCACGUAAGUUACUGCUGUAUAUGUUGUUUUGAUGAGUAAUUAAUGAUCAUGGAAUUUACUUAAUUUGCCAACUUAAAUCAAUCAUUAGUCUUAAACUUUUCCGUAACAAAACCCUGAAUUUAUAUUUUGAUUAGGAAUCAGGAUUUGCAAUUAGAGGAAGGUGCAGCAGGCCAAGUUCCUGGAGAACGAAUUAGCAGUGUUUAUGGAACUUUCUCUCUAAUAUUGGCUACAUUUUACUAUUUUUAGCACCAAUAAGAAUGAUAGGGACGAUUAUCGGGACAAUUAUAAAGAUUUUUCUUGUAUCGUGUGUGAUUGCAAUCAUAUUGGAUCCUUUGUUCUUCUACAUUCCGAUAAUGGAUGAUGAAAAUAAGUGCAUUGAAAUGGACAAAUUUUUAGGAAACAAUGCAGCUUUUUUUCGUUGUGUGUUUGAUUUGCUCAAGAUACUUAAUUCAUUUUACCUUUGAGUUGCGUAAUUAUCAAUUUCGUUUUAAAGAAAGGAAAAGUUUGUGGCGCUGGCUGCUCUUCUACAUUGACAUUUUGGCCGCUGAUCUUCCCCUCCCUCAGGUAAGUCACAUCACGUAUUAUUAAUUUUAUCUUAAACCUUAUAGUUUAUCGAACUGAAUGUGGUUAUUUAAUUACUUUGAUUUUCUCACAUUUGAUUGGUGAUCUCUCAAAGAAUGAGAGGCACAGAGUUUUUGUAUGCAAUGAUAUUCUCACUUCUGUAAUAUUUGCUAAGGGUUAUUCGAGCAUACAGAGUGUUUUCGGAAGCAACAUUGGGCUCAGAAAUACUCGCUGAAGCUACAUGGGCCAUUAUUGGCUUCAAUAUUCUUCUGUACAAGAAAGGAGGUCAUGUAAGUUGAUAAAGCACCAUUCAUGUAAGUCUAUUUAUAUUGACUUAUAUGCACAAGCCUAUAAUACAAACAGCAUCAUUGUAAUACAAAUUUGUUUAGAAAUUCAUGGCCUAUAAUACACCAUUUAUGUCCUAGACUUACUUGUCAACCUUGCAAAAUUUUUGUGCUUGGCAACUGGUUUUGUUGAUGCCGAAAUCCGGAUGAGUUGGUUAGUGACUCGAUCUCAGAUUCCUACAUCAACAUUAAAUUUAUUUGGUGGGAAGCUACUGGUUGAUCUCCAAGAAAAUCCUCCGACUAUGAGCAGAACAUUCAUGAGCUGUUGAUUAGUGAGCACCGAGAGCAGAUAAUUGAUGAGCAGACGACCAAUGAGCAGAUGAUCCAUGAGUAGAUAAUCCGCGAGCCUGCGAGCACAAAGAACAGUCAGGGGGCGCCGGAAGUUUUUCCGACAUAAACCCUCCGACACUCAAGUCAGCGAUUUGGGUCUACUUGGAAAAACUCAUACCACAAUUCACAUGGUUUAACUAUGAUUGUUUUAAACAAAAAGCUUUUAAGUAAAUUUAAAUGAAAAUAAUUGAAAAUAAUCAAUUUUAAAGAAAUCAUAAGCGAAAGAGAAAUUUCCCAGUGGUAGAGAGAGAAAAAGAUUCAAUGGAUUCAGUCACCCAAAGGGACAGAGGAAAAAGAAUCCCCCAUUUCCCCUAUUUUCCCAUGGUUUUUAUAGGAAAUUAUAGCGGUUUUUAUCCUCUUAUUUAGAAUUCUCAAGAAAAUUACUAAUUUUGAGCCCAUUAGAAUAUGGUUCCUAAUAUUUCGGAGAAAAUAAGUGAGAUUUGUUUUAACUGAGUCGUGUUUUCUAAUAACAUCCUGGUCGAGUGUUUUCUAAUAACAUCCUGGUCGAGGUGAUGUGGUCGAGAUGACCAAAUAACAUCCUGAUCGAAGUGUUGCUCAUUUUUUACUUAGAGGGGAGCACAAUAAUGUAUGAACAAACACCUUAUCUUGGUCACCUUAUUCUAUUCCCCAAACAGGUUUGUCGGUCCUCCAGGUAUUUGGAGCCUUAUGAUACCUUUUUGCCAUGGAAAAAGUUCGAGGAUGUCGGAAGGAAGCCCGCAUAAUUAAUCGAGCUGGAUGCAAACACAGUUCGUUUUACUGUGAAGACAGAGUUUAGGAGACGACAGAAAAUUCUAAAUGACUUGUGCGGCAUAAAUAAUUUUGGAUAAUUUAAUGAUGCUCUUGAGUCUGGCAUUGUGGAGGUGACUGAUUUUUCAAAGAAAUUGUUACAUUGUUUACAAUGGGGCCUGCAAAAUCUCAGGUUAAUUUGCUCAUACAAUAAUAUAUUUUCCUUGUGUGUGUUGCAUAAUAUGAUUAAUUCUUGCGUUGCAGGUUCUUCAUUUUGGAAAAUUGAGUUAAAGAAGUAAUGCUAACAGUACAUUAUAUCUCUUUCAGAUAUUUAAUAACACUUAGGGGCAAAAAUUUUAACUGAUAGUUGUGUUAACGGCACAAUCAAUUUGUUUGAAUGUCAAAGGUAGUCAAGGACUUGAGUGAUAGAAGUUUUUUCUACAGAGGAUGUAAGUGAGGAAUUUAUGAAACUUUUUGAUAAAAAGAAUUAUCUAGGAUAAGCAAUUGAGCAGAAUUCUUUUACAGUGCAUUUUUGCAAUUCACAUAACCAACGUAGGGGUGGUGCUGUUUGUGUUUUUAAUCGGCAAUAUGCAGUUUGACACAGCAAGAUCACAGAAGAUAAGACAGAAGUGGAAGGAGAUGAAGCAAUGGCCAAAUUUUGAGUAUAUUUCUUCUGAUGUGCGGGGGGCAGUUAAGGAAAUACAAGCUAUACAAAUGGCAAGAAACCAAACGUGUUCGUGUUGAUAAUUUGGUGAAUGAUCUUCCUGACGAACUUGGCAACAAAAUAAAAUGUCUGCAUUAAACUGCUCAAGAAUGUGACGUUGAACUAUUCAAUCACUCAGCGACAUUGAAGCCUUUUUACUCUUAUGGCUGAUGACUUUAAACAUGUAUUAUCUACCAUUCACAAAUUUCGAUCGGGCCGCUCUUUUGUUACAAUCAUACCGGCGUUUUGGGAAGCUUUUACGUUGAUAGAAGGAAGGCUAAACAAAAAUCAUGCCUGAAUUGUUGGACUUGGGCAACCAAAGGAAAUAAACAAAGUGGUACAUGUAACAACGCACAAUACAAGAAAAUUUAACAGUGCUUGUGACUAAAUCAUUGAUGACAAACUGUUUAUUCUUUAUAUUUACAUGUGAAACCGCAGAAAAGGGCCAAAAUUGUAGUUUGAAAUUUUACAUUUGAUUUUGUCGUCAAUUGAUGAGCUCAUAGCAACAUUAAUUUAUUGAAUGAUAAAACAAUAAUUUUAUAUUCAGUAAAUAUAUGAAAUAUGACUUAAAUUGAAAUUUUGAGAUCUUAAUACAUUGGAGCUACAUUGAGUUGGGAGACAAACUUUGACUCUGAAUGAGAUAGCACUUAAUGUGUCAUUUAUUUAUUAAAUUUGUUAAUGGUAUGAUAUUAUCUCAUUACGCAGAAAUAUUAAAUUGCAAUGAGUCUAGUCAAUUGGGAAAACAAUUUUUGCGCGAGUAUCUCAAUUUCCAAUAUAAAAAUUACAAGACAAAAUAAAAAAGGAGAAUGAUACUUUAUACCUGUUUAGAAGCCAUUGGUUAUUUGGUCAUAUUCAAAACCUGUUUUAACCACGUAAGUCCAUGAUAAAAGUUACAAGAGAAAAAGAAGAAUGAUACUUUAUAGUUUAUACCUGUUUAGAAGCCAUUGGAUAUUUUGAUCAUAUUUGAUAAAAGUUACGGGACAAAAUUAAAAAGAAGAAUGAUACUUUAUACUUGUUUAGAAGCCAUUGGAUAUUUUUAUCAUAUUUGAUAAAAGUUACGAGACAAAAUUAAAAAGAAGAAUGAUACUUUAUACCUGUUUAGAAGCCAUCGGAUAUAUUGGUCAUAUUCAAAACCUGUUUUAAUCACGUAAGUCCAUGAUAAAAGUUUAAAAUACCAUUUGUGGAAAGGAUAAGUAUGAUAUUUUUUAAUAAAUAAAUAAAUUUAUUUAGUAAAUAGAUUAGGUGAAUAAUUUAGCGAGUUCAAAUAAUUUCGAUUAAUUUAUACGUGAAGAGUGAAGCUAUUGGCAUCCUUCAUUAUUCUUAUAAAUCUCCACUUUAAAUAAAAUUACAUUGAAGGACAAAUAAGAAUUAAACACAUUUAAGAAUUUUCAUAAUAAAUUACUUUCAUAAUCAAUUCUUUUUUUUUUUUUGCAUUCAUAAUCAAUUCUUUUUUGCUUUUUCUUUUCUACUUGCCACUUCUCUCUAAUUAAAAUAAAUUACAAAAAUUUAUAAUAAUUUAUUUUUCUUUUCUUAUUUCUUAAUAAUUGAGAAUUUUUAUACCUAUUACUUUCAAAUUAUAAUUUAAAAUGUGUCAUAUCUAUAACAUAAUAAUGUUUUGAGUUUUAAUAAUAUACAAAUUCAAUUAAAAAAUAAAAUAAUGUAUUUAAAAGGGAAAAAAGGACGUUUUUGAAAUUAAAUACAAAUAUUCCAAUUGUUACUGUGAAAAUGUGAUAUUUUCAGCACUAGAGCUACCACUUUAUUGCAUAUCCGACCCGAAAGGAACUGAUGUGGUCCAACCGUGUUCGGAUCGGAUUGGUUGCCGUCAUAAUCUGAUCACAUUUAGGUAGCUUUUCAGUUUUGUCCAGGAGAAAGGCUGUCAAUUAUGUCUCCAUAAGAAAGACGUCACAUAGAUGAUGUAAUCAGAUUUUAUCAUGCGUUUGUUCCCCUUCAAACGUCACAUAGAUGAUGUAAUCAAAUUUUAUCAUGCGUUUGUUCCUCUUCAAUCGAGUACUCGUCACAUCCUGAGUGUUUGUGAAUCUACGUUAAGGGUAUGUUUAUGUUGGAACCGCUUUACGGUGGAGUAUUUUUUUGUAACCACAUAAUUAAAAAAUAUAGAUUAACCUCAGAUUUAAAAUAAAUGAAGUCUUUGUUUUUAUUUGUAAAACUUUUAUAACACAUUAAUAUGUAACUGGAACAUCCCAGUCCAAAAUUUAAGGACAAAUAUGUCCACAACUCAUAUAUGAUUUAAAUAACUCUUUUCUAAAAUUAUCUCAUAAAUAACCUUUAUUUAUAGUUUAGUAUCCAUUUUCUUAAUAAGGGUUAUAGGCACCUAUAAUUCCCAAUGAAAACCCAAUUUCCUUAAUUUAAUAUUAUGAAAAUUUGUGGCGUUACAGUAACGCUUCAAAUUUCACAGCAGAUUAGAUACAAUUUUUUUAUCCUUAUACUAGACAUGUGCAGAGUAGUAAGAAACAAGUUAAAAAAUAAUAAAAACACACACUUUGAUGUUGUUAUCUUUAUCUUAAAGUAUUAAAAUCUAUAUUUCUUUUAAUCUUUUAACUUGUCUUUUACGAUAUUAAAAUAAGAAAAUCCUUUGAAAAUAAGAAAAUCCUUACUAAAAGUAAAAGGGGACUUGUCAUGUGCACAGUGUACAAUAUGUUUCAAAUGUUACUUGAUAGAAAUUACUGAAAGCAUUGUAUCAUUGGAAAACUCUUGCUGCAUGCUCUACUAAUUUGACAGUUUAUCAAAUAUUUUUUUGCUGCUCGCUACUUAUGAAUCACGUUUAGUCCCCUUUGAAUUGUGUCCAUCCACCAUCUGUUAAAUUUAUCUUUGAAUUUUCUCCCUUCCAAAAGGGACACAAAUAAGAAACAGACAAGGACGUUCAAAUCCCCGAGUUGUAAAAUUUACAAGAUGCAUCGGGUAGAAAAAUCUUGUAGAAACCUCAGCUGAUGAACUCUGUAAAGAAUAUCCUCAUUCAUUCAGCUAACCCGUUGAACCAAAAUGCAAAAUCAUCCUCAAUAAGUACAAGAAACAAAAACUUUACAAGAAUAACUUAUGAAACUUGAUAAAUUUCUGCGGAGACUACAACGUCAUUUCAAUUUGUGAGGUAAUUAUUUGAUGCCAUGAUGCUGACUGAAUCUCAUUAAAUUAAUGAAAAUAAUACAACAAAUGAUACGAUAACUCCAAAUUAGCUAUCACAUUAUGUAUUUGAUUCAAAUAAGAGAACAAAAUUUGCAUUAUUGAUAGAUAUUAUAUUGUUUCUUGAAACUGUCUCUUGACAAAUCGCCCAUUAAUGUAGUCAUUGCUGACAAAACAACUUUGUGAAAAAGUUCAACUAGAUAGCAAGCUGAUAGAGAAAUCUGACAAUGCAAUGCAUGUCAUCCUCACACUUCAAUUUCAUCGAAAAUGGAUAAGCCAUUUUGUUCAACUUUCACCUCCGGAAGUUGAAAAGGACAUGAUUGCAAUUAUGCAAGUCCUUAUCAAAGAUGCAAUGAAUGACGCCUAAACUCCUAUAGAGUAGAGUUAAGCUAUUAAUCACUGCACCGAUACGUCAAAAAUUAAGUAUAUGGAUCAAAGACGUCUUCAUUCAAGAAUCUCAAAUUUCAAAGCAGUGCUUGUCAUUUACAUACCAAGCAAAGGGACCAAAGAUGGUGGUGCUCUAAUAUUUUGUCUAGUCAGAUUUACAUUAUUCAUGUCUUUUUCUUUGGUGCAGAAGUUGACCGCGGCCUAUUUCAACAUCAUUCGUCAUCCUCUCAAUCUCCUCCUUUUUCACUGGCAGAACCAAAAAUAUCUUGCACCUCAGUGAAAUAUCAUUGGAGACAAAAAAGUUUCUCCAGCUUAUUCAACAACCAAAACCAGCCAAAUAUCAUCUCCAGCCACAAAGCAAUGAGCCAAGUAAUUAAAUUUCCUUCAUGCAGGCUGAGGAAAGCCAAUAAGCAAUCAAAGGAGAUGGAAGAAUAGCACUAUUAAUUCAAGACCAACAAAGUUUGCAGCAAAACUGAUAGUAUUUAUGAUCUUGCAAAAGUCAAUCUUGUCUGGUUAUCAACACUGCAAUUAUAGCUUUUGUGCACCUCAGUUAGCCUUAAAUUGUGAAAGUUUCAGCCAAACCAACAAUUUCUAACCUACAUCUCAUGGUUAUACAAGCUAACUAGCAUCUGCUUCACUGCAUUAUGCUUCAAAAACAAUCAUACUAAAUGUCACAAUUCUGGUAUAUAAAAGUUCAGCCGCCUACACCAUUCAAGUUGAGCAUUUGACUGCAUCUCUAUGGGUACUAUUAAGGGAUGGCAAUAAUCAGUUAUGAUACGAAUAAUUGACAUCCAUAAUCCGAUAUAUCCGUCCGCACCCAUGUCUAAUUUUAGAGGUUUGAUAUGGAUAUGGAUUUUUGUUUAUAUGGAUAUUGAUAAGCAUAGAUAUUCGGGAAAAAAAAUUCUACUUAACACUAUAACGAAUAGGAUACUUCUUUUAUUAGAGCGUUGUCAUGCUGAUGAUGUGCAAGAUAUCAUAAAUAAAGGGGAUCGUAGGGAACGAAAUGAAAUAAGUUUAAAGAAUUUGAAAGAAACUGAUUAUUCUCUUAUUCAACAACUCGGUGUGCAAUUACAUUUUACACGAGGUCCAUGUAAUUAUAUUUGUCAUUAAGAAUGAGCAUUUGCCAAAAGAAGACACACAUGUCAUGACAAUGAGUGAUUGACAAGUGACAAAAUUGAUAGACACCCGCCGAAUAUGUCACAACACAAACUUCUAAAAUUGCUACAGGAAAUGAAAUAUAACGAUGCACGAUGCCCAUCCAAGUUGUUUACUUGUAUUGUCCAACUGUAAAUGAGUACAGACAUGGUACCAUCAAUCGUUGUUAUUAAACUAGUCAUUGACCUCAGUCACUCCUUCAUAACCACAUAAUAAGGAGUGGCUAUUUAUUUAAAAUAUGAAGUGGAAAAUUGAAUUAAUUUAUUUGAAAUAGAAAUGGUCACAAGAAAAUUUUGAAUUAAUUUCUUGAAACAGGAUCCUACAAAUGAAGUGUUUUAAUUUUGUAAUUUAUUAUUAUUAUUGUUAUUUUGUUUUUAAAUAUUAAAAAGAAAAAAAGAAAAAAUUGGUUUGUCUUUAGUUUCUAGCGGACAUCAGAUUCAUCAUAAUAAGCGUACCCUUGUCCAUGUAUAAAUUGCAUUUGCCUCUGUUGUGAUGUGAAGCAAAUCUGUUGGUGAAAACGUCAGCUGAUGCUGCGUUUUGGGAAGUCAAACUCGUGCUUCCUGGAACGACGUGAAUGAAGGUCGUUUUGGUUAAGUGAUGCACGAGAGUUUCACGUGCACGAAUAAGUUGUGUUCUAGGUUCGUUAGAAUCAGUUAACUCACAUGAUUGUCACGUGAUUUUCUGGGUUGGUUGCUGAUUCGUUAACGAGCUGUUAUAUACAGCUGAUUCUGGCAACAGAGAGCGAGGACGUGAGAGCUACUGUGAGUUGAGAAGAUUGAAAACCAAAGGCUUCUUGAGAGACUCUGUAACAAGCUUGAUAAACUCUCUGUAACUUCUUUGAACAAUCAAUAUAAUUGGGUUCUGUUUCUCCCGUGGAUGUAAGCUAGACUGAAACUAGCUGAACCACGUUAAUUCUUGUUCUUUUCUUUAAUUCUUUCAGUUCUAAUAAUCUAUGUGUAUUCUGCUGGAUUGAUUCUUGGUGCAUCUUGUUUGUUUGAUUGUGAUCUUGGGAAGUGUUUUGAGUUGAUUGGGAUAGUUAGUCACUCUUAAACACUACAAUUGGUAUCAGAGCCUGGAUUACAAAUCAGACACAAGUAUGGCUGGUUCAAAGAUCGAUCUAGAGAAGUUUACAGGGAAGAAUGACUUCAAUAUGUGGAAGGUUAAGAUGGAGGCACUACUGAUCACUCAAGGGCUAGGUGAUGCCUUAGAACCUAUCAUCAAGAAAGAAGGAUUAGAAGCCUCCACAUCAUCAUCAUCACUAACACCACAACAAGCUGCUGAGAUUGACAAAAAGGCAAGGAGUACCAUAAUCUUGAGUCUUGGAGACUCGGUGAUCAGGGAAGUUGCUAGAGAAAGAACAGUGGCUGAUCUGUGGGCAAAACUUGAAAGGGUGUAUAUGACUAAAUCAUUAGCCAACAGACUUUACAUCAAGAAGAGGAUGUUCACGCUAAAAAUGGCUGAAGGAUCAUCUCUUGAAGACCACAUUGAUGAAUUCAACAAAGUCUGUGAUACACUGGAAAUAAUUGAUGAAGGUUUAGAUGAUGAAGGUAAAGCAUUGCUUCUGGUCAGUUCACUUCCACCCUCAUAUUCAAACUUUGUCGAUGCACUCAUGUAUGGGAGACAAACUUUAUCAUUGGAUGAAGUUAAGGCUGCCCUAAAUACUAGAGGGCUGCAAGAAAAGUCAAGGAAUAUGAACUCUGGAGAAGUGCUGGCAGUAAAAGCAAGAACUGAUAAGUAUGAUGGAAAAAAAAAGAAGCAAGGGAACAACAAACAAAAGACUAAAGGCAAGAAAUGUUUUCAAUGCCAGAAAGAAGGGCAUUUCAAGAGAGAUUGCCCAGAACUCAAGAACAAGAAAAGGGAACAAAAUGGAGCUGCUGCUACUGCUGAGGAAGAAGGGUAUGAGUCAGCAGGAGUAUGUGUGGCUACAGAUCAUGUGCAAAAAGGUACCUGGAUUCUAGACUCAGGUUGUACAUUUCAUAUGUGCCCCUUUAAAGACUACCUAUUAAACUAUCAUGAAACUGAUGGUGGAAAAGUUAUGAUGGGUAACAAUGCUGUCUGUAAGAUUGUGGAGAUAGGAAAUGUAAACCUAAAACUGCAUGAUGGAACAAUUAGAGAAUUAAAGGAAGUUAGGUAUGUGCCUGAACUUAAAAGGAACUUAAUAUCUCUAGGUAUGCUUGACCAAAUGGGGCUUAGUAUUAAGCUUGAAUCUGGUGAGCUGAGAAUCUCAAAUGGAGAUGGGGUAGUUAUGAAAGGUUACAAGAGAAAUGGAGUUUAUAUUUUGAAUGGGGAAACUAUAACUGGUGUGUCAGGAGUAUCAAUAAGUUCAAGUUGUGAUAACACUUUGCUGUGGCACCUUAGAUUAAGACAUAUGAGCUUGAGAGGUCUGAAAGAAUUACAGAAGCAAGGGGUUCUAGGCAGCAGUCAAAUCUCAGAACUGGAUUUUUGUGAAGACUGUGUACUAGGCAAAGCUACAAGAAAUAGCUUUGGGAAAUCAGUUCAUUCCACCAAGGGCAUCCUUGAAUACAUACACUCAGAUUUAUGGGGACCAGCACAGACAGUUUCACUAGGCGGCAACACCUAUUUCUUGUCUUUAAUAGAUGAUUAUUCAAGGAGAGUAUGAGUUUAUGUCUUAAAACACAAAGAUCAGGUAUUUGGCAAAUUCAGAGAGUGGAAAUCCCUGGUUGAAAAUCAAACUGGAUUGAAGGUGAAGAAACUCAGAACUGACAAUGGUCUUGAGUUUUGCAAUCAGGAGUUUGAUAGCUACUGUGCAGAUAAUGGCAUUGCAAGGCAUAGAACUGUAAGGUUGGCUCCUCAACAAAAUGGAUUAGCCGAAAGAAUGAACAGAACCCUGAUGGACAGAGUAAGAAGCAUGAUGAUCCAGUCACAACUUCCCAAAGGAUUGUGGGCUGAGACUCUGUUAACAGCAAGCUAUCUGGUAAAUCUAAGUCCCUCUGCAGCACUUGACUUCAAAACCCCAUUUGAGAAAUGGCAUGGAAAACCAGCAGACUAUGGCAGCCUCAAAGUAUUUGGAUGUCCAGCCUAUGCACAUGUGAGUUAAGGGAAGUUAGCUCCAAGAGCCCUUAAAGGAAAGUUCAUUGGGUAUCCUGAAGGUGUUAAGGGAUUCAAACUAUGGUGUACAGACCUUAAUCCUCCCAGGUGUAUUAUCAGUAGAGAUGUAAUAUUCAAUGAGAAAGCUGCACUGGAAAUGAAGAAAUCUACUGACACAGAUGCACAAAAGGAUAAGGAGAGAACCAAGGUUCAGUUUGAGGUGGAGCCCUACACUAGAGAAGCUUCAAAAGAUAAUGAGGAAUCUUAUCAAGGAGCUGCUGAUGAAGAAACUGAUCAUGGAAAGCAGACUGAAGCUCAACAUCAGGAGUACCAACUAACAAGAGACAGAGAAAGAAGGAAAGCAAAAGCACCUGUCAGAUAUGGAUAUGCAGAUCUGAUAGCCUAUGCAUUGACAGCAUCUCACCAAAUUGAUGAUGAACCCAAGAACUACAAAGAGGCUAUCCAAGGACCAUACAAAGAUGAGUGGAAAAAGGCCAUGGAUGAAGAAAUAUAUUCACUGAAGAAGAACAAUACAUGGGAGCUGGUUAAAAGACCUGCCAACAGCAGAACAGUAGGAUGUAAAUGGAUUUACAAAGUCAAAGAUGGACUAACAGCUAUUGAACCUAGAAGAUUCAAAGCUAGGUUAGUAGCUAAGGGUUACACACAGAGGGCUGGAGUGGAUUUCAAAGAGGUGUUUUCACCAGUAGUCAGACACACAUCAAUCAGAGUGCUACUGGCUUUAACAGCUGUAAAAGACAUGGAGCUUGAUCAACUCGAUGUCAAGACAGCCUUUCUACAUGGAAGACUAAAUGAGGACAUCUUAAUGACACAGACUGAAGGGUACACAAGUCCUGAAUCUGUUGACUGUGUGUGUCUGCUAAAGAGGUCACUGUAUGGGCUAAAACAAUCACCCAGACAGUGGUACCUUAGGUUUGAUGAGUUUAUGGUCACUCAUGGGUAUCUAAGGUGCAGCUAUGAUGUAUGUGUUUACUACAAGAUCAUACAAUCAGGUAACUACAUAUAUCUGCUGUUAUAUGUAGAUGAUAUGUUGAUUGCUUGUAAUGAAAGGGAAGAGAUUGAGGCUUUGAAGCAACUGCUCAAUUCAGAAUUUGAUAUGAAAGAAUUGGGUCCAGCUAGGAAGAUUUUGGGUAUGGAAAUAAUAAGGAACAUGAAGAAGGGUACUAUGAUUCUGUCUCAAGAGAAGUAUCUAGAGAAGGUACUGGGAACUUUUGGGAUGUCAAACAGCAAGUCAGUAGUAACCCCUCUUGCAUCUCACUUCAAGCUGUCAUGUUCACAAUGCCCCAGUACAGAUGAAGAGAGAAAUGAAAUGACAAAGGUUCCUUAUGCAAAUGUUGUUGGUUGCAUGAUGUAUGCAAUAGUACUUACAAGACCAGACUUAGCUCAUGCUUUAAGUGUUGUAAGUAGGUUUAUGGCUACACCUGGAAAGGAGCACUGGAAGGCUGUUAAAUGGGUGCUGAGGUAUCUGAAGGGUACACAACAGUAUGGGCUGGUAUACGGAAAAUCAGCUGGGAAGGUUGCAGGUCUCUGUGGUUAUGUUGACUCAGACUAUGCUGGGGACUUAGACAGAAGGAGAUCUUUAACUGGCUAUAUGUUUUUCCUGAAUGGUUGCCUUGUUAACUGGAAGGCAAGUUUGCAGCAUGUUGUUGCCUUGUCAACAACAGAGGCUGAAUAUACUGCUGCAACAGAAGCUGUCAAGGAAGCUCUGUGGCUGAGAGGGUUGAUAACAGAACUGGGGAUGACGCAGGAGACUGUGGAAGUUCAUUGUGACAGCUCAAGUGCAAUUUACUUGAGUAAGAACCCAGCUCACCAUGAAAAAACUAAACACAUAGAUAUCAAGUUACAUUUUAUCAGAAAUGUGAUCUCUAAAGGUGUGCUUAGCAUGGUGAAAGUGCAUACAGAUGAUAAUCCUGCUGACAUGCUUACUAAGGUUGUAACUACAGCUAAGUUCAAGAGUUGCUUGGACAAAGCUGGGCUGAGUGAAUUCUAAAUACUCAGGUUGGAGAAAUCAGGAUCAGGAAGUGAUUUGUUCAAGGUGGAGAAUUGUUGUGAUGUGAAGCAAAUCUGUUGGUGAAAACGUCAGCUGAUGCUGCGUUUUGGGAAGUCAAACUCGUGCUUCCUGGAACGACGUGAAUGAAGGUCGUUUUGGUUAAGUGAUGCACGAGAGUUUCACGUGCACGAAUAAGUUGCGUUCUUGGUUCGUUAGAAUCAGUUAACUCACAUGAUUGUCACGUGAUUUUCUGGGUUGGUUGCUGAUUCGUUAACAAGCUGUUAUAUACAGCUGAUUCUGGCAACAGAGAGCGAGGACGUGAGAGCUAUUGUGAGUUGAGAAGAUUGAAAACCAAAGGCUUCUUGAGAGACUCUGUAACAAGCUUGAUAAACUCUCUGUAACUUCUUUGAACAAUCAAUAUAAUUGGGUUCUGUUUCUCCCGUGGAUGUAAGCUAGACUGAAACUAGCUGAACCACGUUAAUUCUUGUUCUUUUCUUUAAUUCUUUCAGUUCUAAUAAUCUGUGUGUAUUCUGCUGGAUUGAUUCUUGGUGCAUCUUGUUUGUUUGAUUGUGAUCUUGGGAAGUGUUUUGAGUUGAUUGGGAUAGUUAGUCACUCUUAAACACUACAGCCUCUGAAUUCUUCAAUAAUUGAAAAAGAUGGGUGCUCGUGGGACACUCUCAUUUAUGAUACAAUUUAGGAAUAAGAACUUAAUGACGCAACCAUCACCAACAGCCUCUUUUUUGGAGGUACUCGGAUGGCUAUUAUUACCAUUUAAAAGAUAGCAUAAAUUUUGUAGAUUGCCAGCUAUGGCCGAGCUUUUAAAUUUUUUUUAUUUUUUUUAGAGAAGAAGAAAAAUAGCCAUUUAAAAGAUAACAUAAAUUUUCUAGAUUGGCAGUUAUGUUUGAGUUUUCAAAUUUGUUUCAGAAAAAAAGAUACUUAUGCCUUUGAGAUUUAGAAAAACAAUCACACAAAUUCUCAAAUUUUUAAUAAGAUUAAUCAAGACCUCUUUUUAUUAUAAUAUCUUUUAAUUUUAUAACUAAAAAAUUUGGCUAUAAUAUUUUAUAAUAAAAAAUAACUAAAAUGACCCGCCUCGAAUCUCCAGGACAAGUCUAUCUAAUCUCGCCAACCGAAUUAAUAAUAAUCUAAUAUCUAGAAUUCUACCAAAAAUUCGGCAAAAUCUCUUAUAUAAUUAUGACAUUCCCAAACUUGCAAUUUAUAAAAUUUAACACUCCUAAAAAAUGAUACAAUAUUCAAUCAACCUCCACAACCAACUUGUUCAAUCAAAUACCAAUAUCCUUCAAACAUAUAAUGUCAAGAAUAUAAUAAUUUAUCUUUAAUCACAAAUAAGUAAUAAAUUAUACAAUUCAAAAUAUCCUAACAAAAUAUCUAUGAUUCCUAACAUCAUCACAUGACCAUAAUUUUAAAUUUAACUAUCGUUGUUGGGUCGACUGAUGUACCUGCAUAUCUUUUGGGAGGGGGGGGGAGGGAAUAUAAUAAAAAAAUGUGAGUAUAAAAUUCAGUGAGCUCAGUUGAGUAUAUUAUGAAAAAAAAUAAAUUUACUUAAAAUAAUCUAAUCUUUCCCAAAUCAAUUUCAUCAAAAUAUCAUAAGAACUUAAAUAAACUUAUUUAAUUUAAAUCAUGUUUUAAUAUAACAAUAAUACAUAAUACGGCAUGAAAAUCAAGGAAAACAUGAUACUUAUAAUAGCAAACACCAAAUACCGAAUCUAUCACCAAACAAGUACUCAGGGGAAUAAUCUCAUCAUAUCCAGACCUCGACGGAUCGGCAAUCAGAGAACCAUCAUGGCCCGAAGCUAUACGGAUAGACGGGGAAGUACUAUCUCAUAUCUCAUCAUAUAUGUGCAUGCAUAAUCUAGUCUCCAAAGGACAAGGCGCCCAAGAAUACGGUCCAAAGCUUGUGUGUGUACUCAGAGGAGCCCCAAAGACCUAUAUUUCAUCUGUAUCAUCAUAUCUCAUCUGUAUCUCAAUAUCUAUAUCUCUGUAAUCAUCAUACUACAUGCAUAUGCCCCUAAAAGGCAAAAAUGCCCAAACACAAGACCCAAAGCCUCUAUGUGUGUUCAAACGGGCCCUAAAAGCUUCUCAUCUCAUCCGUAUCACUGUAUUUAGAUGGAAAGAGUAUUGUUUAAUGAGUUUAAAAACAUCUUAUACACAUAUACAUAAACAUAAAAUGACACUUAAAUCUCAUUUCCUUUUCAUGUAACAUACUUUAAAUCUACUUUAUUCUCUUUAAAACCAUUACCGUGCAUUUACUGAAAAAUGAUAAUAAAAUCAUUAAUCAAACUCAUUUUUUGUAAUAAUAAAUAUCAACAUAUAGACAAAAAUCCAUUUUUUAGAAAGUUAUUAAAUUCGAGUGUUAAAUACUUAUUUAUCAAACAUGUUGUACUGUAUCAUAAAAUCAUAAUAUAUUAUGAAAAUCGGUUUUGUAUAUUCCACUCAUAGUGACGAUAUUCGAGUUCGAUAUCGUCAAUGUCUGUGGGUUGAUUCUUGUUCAUGGAUCCUCCUAAUAUAAUGAAAUAACAUAAUCAUUCUCUUAAAUAUGAAAUACAACUAAUUUUACGUAAUAAAUUUCGAAACGAAUAUCUAUCAAUAAUAAACUAUUCCCGUAUGCAUAAAAUUACCAAAAUACCCCAUGCAUGCCAAAAUUACCAAAAUGCCCCUGAUAUCAAUAUUUACCAAAUUAUCCUCAUAAUCCUAAAUUACCAAGCUGACGUCAAUUCAGAUCACAAAAAUAACCACAAUGUUAGAAAUUAUGAAAUUACCCUUAGAGAAUGUCCUUAACAACGUAAAUUACUGAAUUACCCCCGUAAUCUCAAAUUACCUAACUGCCUUAGUCCAAAAUUACUAAACUAUCCACCAAUUUUGGAAAUCACAAAAUUAUCCCCCACCGUUUUGUGAAAUUACCGAACUACUCUUGGCAGUUAACGGUGACCGGACUUCGGUCGACGGCGACGAGAAGAUCAGAUCUGAUAGUUCUUAUCUCAGUGAGUCCAAUGGUGCCGGCGGUGACCACCCACGCGCGCCGACGGUGGUAGAUCGAGCUUCCCUAGUCGCGAGCUUUUCGGUGGUCGAUCGGUGGAAUUCCAACUGUUUCAGGCAGCGAGUUUGGUUGGAAAAUGAUGAGGGUGAGCUGAGGAACAAGAUCCAAGCAGUGGCGCGGCCUAAUUCCGGCGAAAUCAAUGGCGACGAAAACGAGUUGAGAUGUGGGUUUUUCAAGCUUGAUCGCCGGCAUUCUACCCAUUUUCCGAUGAGGUGACCGGAAUCGGUGGCUGGAGUUGGGUCGGGUUGCGCGAUUUCGGGUCGGGUCAGGUCAAACUCUGUCAGCUUCUCUCUUUCUCAAUUUAUACAACCAAUUCUCUUUUUUUUUUUUCAAAGCUUAAUACAAAUUAAGCUAAUACUGAACCCAUAUUGAGAAAAAAAUCUGACUACCCAACCUUUUAAUCACGCUCAAUUUGUCUUGAUUUAUUGUCGCGACAAAUUUAAAAUAAUCCAAACACAAUAUAUAUUAAUAAAUAUGUAACAUUUAACAACCAUCCCCCAUAAUAUCGGGAAAAAUUUGAGUUGCAUCAACUUCACUGUAAAAAUUCGUAACGAGUCUACUAAAUUUAAAAUUAAUGCCAAAGGAGAAAAAUAAAAUGAUACACUUAAUUAGCAAAUUUAAAGCGCAUAUAUUACAAUAACAUUAAAAUAAAUGAAAUAAUAUAUACAUUUAAAUAUUUUAAUAUUUAAAAAUUAUUUUAAUAUUUACAAUCUAUUAGAUAUAUUUUAUUAUAUUAAAGCAAAUUUUUAAUAAUAAAUAGAAACAUAAUAUUGAAUAUUUUGUACAAUUUUAACAUUAUUAAUGAAGAGAUUUUGUUAACUUUAAAAUCUAUUUAACUCAAAUAUUUAUUUAAAAUUAUUUUAAUAUUUACAAUCUAUUAGAUAUAUUUUAUUAUAUUAAAGCAAAUUUUUAAUAAUAAAUAGAAACAUAAUAUUGAAUAUUUUGUACAAUUUUAACAUUAUUAAUGAAGAGAUUUUGUUAACUUUAAAAUCUAUUUAACUCAAAUAUUUAUUUAAAAUCUUUGUAAUAAAUCCAAAUAUAUUAUUAAAUUUAAUAAUUUUAAAUGUAAAAAUAUUUUAAUAUUACUACUCUAUAGAUAUAUUUUAUUCUUUUAUAUUAUUUUUGUAUUAAAUAAAAAUUUUAAAGUUAAAUUUUUAGUUACUAUAUUCAAAGUGUAUUAUGAUUAAAAAAGGAUCCUAAAGUCUAUAUAAUCAUUUUUAAAAAUUUUAAAAGUGUAAGUGUCGAUUUUUCUUUUUUGUUUUAUAAUUCUUUUCAUGCAAAAAUUAUAUUCACGUUUUUUUAACUUCUCAUUAAUGCAUUUUCAUUGCCAGGGUUUCUGCGUUUUCAACAAAAAAUCUAGUGAAGAAACUGGAAAAUGUUGGAGGAAACGCUAAUGCAUAAUACGUACAACCUAAUAAACAAGUUGUUGGAGCGUACGGCUAUAGCAAUUUGUUUAUGGUCAUCUGUGCUUCUGUAUACUAUUAGUAAAUCUAUUUUGCAAUGAACCCAAAUAAUCAAAUUGUCCCGUGGCACUUACGGUCCAUGGAUCUAAUAAUUUUUGCUUCUUUUUAUUUAUUUAUUUAUUGCAUAUCAUAACCUGUCAGUCUCAUAAUAUUGUCCAACAAGAUUGCCUUUUUGAAAAAUUUCACAUAAAUCGGACACGGAUGAUUAUGUUAUCCUUUAAUUUUUCUAACGAAUAUAAUUUUCACUGUCAUUUUGUGUUUUGGAUAGGUGGAAUGACAGUGACCUGACUGAAAAAUAUGUUAUCUGGACGACGAACGACCAAGUCAAAGUCUUUUAAGUGUACAGUCCAACUCCUUUUAAAUAGCAAUUGAAUUCUGCACUUUAAGCAAUAAGUUACUCGGCCAAAUUUGCAGAAAUAUUUCAAAGUUUAAUUCUUCACUUGGAUUUUUCAUUGCUGAUCAUGUAAGUUAGUUGUUAUUAUUAUUAUUAUUUUUUUCACCACGGUAACUCCUGUGCUUACACUUUUCGCGGAGCUAGUUCUAUUUUCUUAAUGUUCUAAUUUUCAAUGAAUGUAUUUGGACAAAGCCACGAACUUGUCUUUUAGAGGACUUAACUUGUAUUAAUAUUGCUGAUAUAUUCCUUAUAAAUCAAAAAGAGCAAACAAAGUUCUUAUAAAAACGCAAGGAUAGCAGAGAGUGGUUUUUAUUUUUUAUUUUUAAUGUUAUCUCAAUUUUAAUAAUAGAUGAUUGAUUGAUUCGAUCUUCUUCUUGUCCAUAAUUAAAAUAACUACUUUCUACUUCCUAAAGGAAUUUCCUGCUCAUGUUUUUUAAUCCUACUCCAAAAUUCUCAUCUUAUUUGGUGAAAAUUUUCUUGAUGUUAACAAACUUAUGUUAACUGUCAACUAUUGUUAAAUUAAGUCAGUUUGUUUUUCAACUAUCAGACCGGAAAAGAGUACCUAAUAACAUGUAACUUUAGGAGAGUUUUGGUGAGGUUUAAAGCAUGAAAGGAAAUGGCUAAUUGCCUAAUUCCAAUAAGAAGGAAGAUUUGGUAAUUUUCUCCUUUUCCAGUGUAUGCAAAUCCACGACAGCCACCCUACGCCUCCUCCCCUUAUUUUUUAAGGAAGUAUGUGAUUUUUUAAAUUGGGCUUUGACUGCAAGCAACUGUAAUAUGUUGGACUUCCGUAAUAGGCUUGUUUCUACUGUACGGAUAUUUAUGUACUAUAAAAAUAAAAUAAAAAACAUUAUGACAAAACCUUGACUUGCGUUUCGAUCAUAUCAGGUCUCAGGAUCCAGAGAAAGGUUCAAAACAUGAACAACCUGAAGUGCAUUGUAAUGGAACGAACUCGGCCGAUAAAAAACGAACAACAUGCUUCCGUUGGGCUAAAAAAUUUCUCGGUAUCAUACUUCUGUGUGCGCCGCUAUUAUGCCUGCCUGCGGUAUUGCUAGUGCCAUGCCUGUUGAUUAUAAUAAUUAUAAUAAUUACAAUAAUUUGGUUAUAUCGUAAAGCGAUAGCGGCUGCAAUCAAGAAUACAAGAUAUCUUCUACUGAAUGUGAUUGCAAUGAUCCUUGAUCCUUUUUUCUUCUACAUUCCGGACCUGAAAGAUGAAAUUAAAUGCAUUCGCUGCAACGUUACCUUGGGGAUUACCGCUACUGUCAUCCGUUCCAUCCUCGAUUUCCUUAAGCUACUACAUAUUAGCUCUGAGCUUCAGGAGGCGGAUAAAAAAGAGAACCAAAGAAAAAAAUUUAAACAUUUAUGGCAGCAAUUAAAAAAUUUCAAGGUAUAAUUUACUUUCGCUAACUAGUUGUUUCUUCAACUUCCAUAAUUUAUAUAAAAAUAGUCUCCGUUAUCUUCUUUGCUCCGUACGAAGUAUUGAUUCUUUUUUUUUUUUUUUUUUUGCCUUAAAAGGGAGGAAGAGAAUUUCUUGAAGAUCCAAUGGUACGUAUGUGGACGCUAGUCUUCAUUGAUCUUUUGGCCAUCCUUCCCAUCCCCCAGGUAAAGGCACUGUCUAAUUUACUAUUACGUAUAUAUUGUUUAUUGAUUUCUUAUGUAGUUCAAUCCUUCCCAUCCCCCAUGUGCAUAUCGUAGUAGUAGUUUUGAUUGUGAUAAAGAUAGAUCUUUAUAUGAUUCAUGUCAAGAAUAAUGAUUUCAAUGUCAUUUUUCCCUUUUCUUUGAUUAAAGUUGUAUUUACACGUAAAACCCUAAAUGUUUUGCAUUGAUAGUAAUUUUGGUUAGUGUGUAGUGUUAAAUUUCAGCCAUAUGAAUUCGAUACUUUUAUUAAACUUGUUUAAUAAUUUCAAACACUAACUCAACCUGUCUAUUAAUAAUUAUGUCACAUGCUUAAUAUGCUUUAAAAAUAUAUUUUUAAAAUUUGACUUGUUUACAUGGGUUUAAUGUAUUUGUUUAAAAUAUUUAGAGUACUACCUCUCAAAUUCAAAUCAAUUCUAGUCUUAUCAUAACUGGAUAAUCUUGAAAUAUAUACAAAUAUAAACUCGGUUCAAUCGCAUCCAAAAUCUAGUCAAUGCAACAUCUUUAUUAAUCAAAUUGUUAAUUAUGUCAUAAUUAAAUAGGUUCACGUGACAGGAACUUUAAACUCACAAGAUACUAAUUUGUGUCUCUUUUCGCCAACGUGAACAAACUAUUAUUUUCAUGCCAUUAGGAUCAAUUUCGCGGGUUGUUUCAAAAAUUGCCAUCCCGCCUAUACCAUCGGUUUGCGCAAAAAUAAAUAAUCAAUUUUGUUCGUAUUCAAUAUCAUUCAAAAUGUUUAUUUACAUUAAUUAUUCCAUAUCAUCUAAUAGGACUUCAAUUAAUAUCGUUCAGGUUUUUGUGAUUUUCCCAAUAAGAGACACAGCAGGAAUCUCGACGGCAAUGACCUUCUUUGUUUUUCAAUAUUUGCUAAGGGUUAUUCGAACGUAUUUCCUGUUCACAGAUGCUAUAGAGGUUUCAGGGGUGAUUGCCAAUUCUACAUGGGCCAUUGUUGGCUUCUAUGUUUUUCUUUACUUGCAAAGCGGUCAUGUAAGUUCAAAGUAUCAUCAUUUUACCGACAUAUAUAUUUUUAGGGAGAUUACAAUUUUUCCACCCUACAGAUGGCAAAAAUUUCAAAUUUACCAUUUUUAUGCCAAAAGUUUUCAAAAUACCAUUUUUAUAUUCAAUUUUUGGAAUCAGAAAAGCAUGAAUUAUGAUAUUCACUAUUUUGUAAUUUAGAAAAGCACACUCAAUUAGUUUUUUUGGAUGUAAAUUUUAGAUAUUGGAAUCGUCGAUGUACGAUUUUCCCUCUGCUUUGCAAAUUAAUUUUUCUGAUAAGUGAUCUUUCAGACGUUUGGAGCCCUAUGGUACUAUUACGCCAUAAAAAAAGCGACUGAUUGCUGGAGGGAAGCCUACGAAAAUCAUACCAGACGCAGUCAUAGUUACUUUUUUUGUAAGAUUUGUUUCGCAGACUACAAUCUUCUAAAUGAUUCUUGCCCUAUAAGUACAGGAAGUACUACCAACUAUAGUUUUGGAAUAUAUGAAGAUGCUCUUCAGAAUGGGAUUGUGGUGGAGACAGAUUUUCCUAAGAAAUUGUUGCGUUGUUUACAUUGGGGCCUGCAAAAACUCAGGUUUGCCGUUUUUCAUUUGGCUUGGAUAAUCAUUACCGUGCAUGUUCAUUUUGUAGUUCUUUUUGCAUGCAUGUGUUUUUCUCUUUCUCUUCAUCAAUUUAUUCUUUUCUUUGUAGCUAUAUGCAUACUCUAAUGGGAACAUUUCACUGAGAGAGGGCUAUAUCUGAUAACACCAAUUAAAUCAAAACAUAUAAGAUUAAUCAAGUUUAUAUAAAAUUGAAGCAAAUUUGUUAUUUUUAUUAAAUUAAGAUGAUAUGUGAAAGUUAACAUGGGGCGUAAAAAAUAUUGGUUAAAAGUAAAAUGGAAACUAAAUUAAAGAGUAUUGAUUACUCAACCUUAUUUAAAUAAUUUUUAAUUGAAAAAAAGUAUGUCAAUGUAAUAUAACAUUGUCACUAGUAUUAAAAAUACUUAAAAAACAUAUAAUAACAAUUAUUAACAAUUUCAUAAAAAUUUUAUGUGAAUGUUGAGAUUUAUUUAUUAGUUACAUUAACUAAGAGGAUAAGUUAGAAAGUAAAAUUUGAUAGAAGAAUCAUUAGCAUCUGAGUUUUCAAAGAGAGUCAAAGUGCUUGGCAAAGAAAAAUAACGGCACACAAAUACAUUUUUGUUGGGUUAGAGUUUAGUUUAUUAUUGAAACUCUUGACUAAUAAUAUUUUUAUAAUUUAAAAAGAUGAAUAGAUUUUAAUUGUUUAAUUUAUUUAAGCUUGGUAUUUAAGUACUUUUAAGAAUAAAAGUUCUACUUGCAAUUUUUAAUUGAUUAUAAUUACAUGUAUUGAUUUAUUUAUUCUAACUUGAAAUUAUUAAUUAUUUAUUAAUUAUUUAUUAAUUCUUAUAUAAUUCGAUGUUAUUAUAGGUUGUAGUGUUAGAUUCCAUAAUUGAAAAAUAAUAUUUCUAUAUUUGAAUUAUUUUUUGUUUUCUACUCUUUUUGUAUCAUUAUUUUUGUUUAGAGUUCAUAUUCAUAGGGUUUUUCGUAUCCACCUUAUUUGAUGUACUUUUUUUUUACUCAUGAAUGUUUAUGUUCAUUUCAAAAUAUAAAAUUUUUAAUUUAGCCUGGGAUAAUAUAAAGUUAUGGGUCCACUCAUGUAUAGGGGUUUAUUUCAACCAAAACUCUUUUAUUCAACCAGAAGGGGAAAAAAAAAAGUAAUAUUUUUGCUAAGGUCUCAAAUAAAAAUUUCACGGGUUAUACUGAAAAUUUUCUUUCCACCGGACUGGUCAUUAGGUAGGUCCUCAACGUAACAAGGUGUUCAAUCCUGUUGAUCGUGUUAAAAAAAAAAAAAAUGAUGUCUGCAUUGGAAAGAAACUCUAUUAUUUGUUUUCUAUCAUUUCAAUUGUUGUUAAAUACGCAGGAAAAUAUAUAUAAUAAUUUUCAACUGAAUGAACCUUUUGCAGUGCGUUUGGUCAGGACCUUGAAACAAGUGAUGAUGUCGGGGAAAACAUCUUUGCAAUUUGCAUGACCAUCUACGGCGUACUGCUGUUUGUCUUUUUAAUUGGAAGGAUGCAGGUAAUUCGCAUUCAUUUUUCUGUUUCUUAUCGAUCCAUCAAUUUAUAUAGUUGCUCACCUCUAAAAAUCCCUGAUUUUUAUAAAAUCUGGAAUGAGUUGACAAUGAUGUUAACAGACUUUUUUACCGUUUCACAAUAUUGUCAAACAGUUUACAACAUUAUAACAUUAUGUUCACAUUGGUGUCAACUCGUCUUGGAUUUUAUGUUCUAAUUGAAAAAAUUUCAUAUGUAUAGUUUUUAAUUAGAUUUUAAACCUAGAAGUUACUUGUGUCAAUGUAUUAAUGACUAUAUGUACGUACAGUCUGAGACUACAAGAGCACAAAAGAUAAACCAGAAGUUGCGGCAGAUCAAGCAGUGGAAACACUUUAAGGAUAUCUCCACUUUUGUCCGUGCCAAGAUAAGGGAAGCCAAGCGUGAAAAUUUGCUAUUCAAACAUGAUAUUCACAUAGAUAGUUUGGUAAGCGAUCUCCCCGAUGACACUGCAAAGCAAGUAAAACUCCAUUUCGGCAGAAAUCUGCUUGGCCAGGUGAGUUUCUAUUGCUUUCUGUACAAUUAAUAAUCCUUAUAGUUAUUUAUCAAAAAAGAUGUCAAUUUUGUUACAAAUAUUUUGAAUGGGCGUCUUAUAGCAACAUCCAGAGUCUUCGUUGUAUGUGCUUGAUUGUUAGGAAAAAAAAUUAGAAAAUUUAUAAUAAAUUAAUUAAUUAGUACCUAUUAACCAUAUGUAUUAAAUGAUUAUUAAAGAAAAAAUGGGGCUAUUUGCAUUUUAAACAUUACUUUAAAUACUCUUAUUAAAAUAUUUUAUUACAAAAAUCUAUUAUAACUGAUAAAAUAGUUUAUAAUUCUUAAACCUUAAAUCCUAAAACUUCUUGUUCUAAUAAUAACUAAAUUUGUAUUACAUUUUUUUUUUUUACUUUUUUACAAAUUGUAAACAAUUAUCUCCUGAUUCAAGGGAAUGAAUAAACCCAACGGCUGGAAAAAAUUUCUUGGGAGAAGUCGUUUGAUCUCAUCAUGUAAACGGGAAAGAAUUUUGAAAGUCAAAAUUAUCAGGAGGUAUGCUUGGCAUAUUUUAAAGAGUGUAUAAAUUAAGUAAAACUUAAUUUUCAGAAUUUAUUGAAUGAUUGUAAGUGUUUAGAGUAAUAUAUAUAUAGAGUGCAAAUAGCCUCACCCAUUACAAAAAUACUUAUAAUGUAUUUUAUAUUUAAGGACAAUUUAUUAGUAUAUUAAAUAUAAUAUUAUUAUUUUAGACACCCAUCAAAUACACCCAUUUAUUUAUAAUUAUUCUUUAUUUAAACCCUAAAACUUGCUUCUUCAUGUCUAAUAAAACAAUUUGAAAAUUGUUCACAGUGCAUGUAUGAAAAAAAAAGAAAAAAAAAGGUAGUACAAUUGUCGUAGUACAAAAUGGAAUAGUGAAAACGAAAAAAAGAAAAAAAAAAGAAAGCAAUUAUAUGAACGAAAUGAAAGAAAAUGCUAAAUAGCAAUGGAUUGAAAUUAGUUAAGAAAAAUGUGAUUGAAAUUGGAGUCCUCUCAAUAUAGAUGUAAAGAUGUACCGAAUAUUCUCAUAGGUAUAUAGCGUAAAUAAAGAUGAUUAAAUUAAAGAUUUAAGUAAGGACUUUUUUGGUGUUUUAAAAUAGUGGAUAGAGCUAAGCUCAAAUAUAUAAAUUUUAGAGAUAAGUGUACAAAGUAAUAAUCGAGUACUCAAAAGUAAUAUUUAGAGUACAAAUAGCCUCACCAUUAAAGAAAAGAUUAACAAUAAACAUCUCUAAUGAUGAGAGUUCUAAGUAAAUUAAUUAAUUAUAUAUUAUCUCACAAUCGACAAUCCACUUCAUACUAUGCGACUAGCCAUGCAUUAUCAAAUUGGUGAUUAUGACGAGUUGUGAUUUUUAAGUAGUAACUUAGUUAUUUAUAACCUUAUGAUAUAAUCGUUGCAUGAGUAUUGACGGCUCUGAUUCUCAUUAUCAAUUCUCAUUCAUUCUUGGAUGUACAUCAAGAUGCAAAAAUUUGAAAAUUGGGAAGACUACUCGUUGGAUCAUCUAUGUGGUUGUCUAAAGCCAGUCUUCUUUAGUGAACGUUCUACAAUUAUUUCGGAGGGAGAGUCAAUUCAUGAGAUGCUCUUUGUGUUGGAAGGCCAGAUUUGGAUCUACUCAAAAUUUAAGUUGAUUGGAUUGAAACGUCAGGAAGAUGGUAACUAUUGCGGAGAAGAAAUUAUAGAUUGGGCUGAGAAUCAGAGCUCGUCUCACGGCCACCUCCCUAUCUCAACCAGAACCAUUAUAGCACAUACUAAUAUUGAAGGUUUUACUCUCAAGGCUGAUGACUUGAAACAGGGUGUAGCACUUCACCGGCGUUUCGAUCAGUUAGUAAGAUUCGUACAAUCAUCCUGGCGUUCUAAGAAGUCCAAGCAAAUGCAGAUGAAGAGAAGGCAAAGCCGAAGUCAUGAGUAACUAUUUGGGAUUGGACUUGUAGUUCUUAUUAUACUACUAUGUCUACUGUUUACGUUGGGUUUCUGUUUACUUGCUUAGGUACCAGAAAAUAAUCUACUUUUGUUGUGACAUAUUAGACUAUAAUUAUCUGGUACAUGAUUUUAGAUGAAAAUAAUAAGUAGCACCAGGACAACCUAUAGAUCACAGUGAAGAGCUGAAGCAGAUCAUCUCAGGGCAAUCCUAAGUGGGUCACGUGGGUAAAGUGAUGUUUUGCCAACGGUGUUGAGGCCACAGAAAAGCAUCACCAUGAAGAGGUGCACCGUAUCCGAAAAUCAGUAUCAAUCAUAACACAAGGUUAAACAGAUUUUAAAGAUUAACAGAAUGCUUAUGCAAACAUAAAGCGACACAUCAAGCAACAAACUAUAUUUCUUCUCGCUUAAGUACAAACUGAUAACUGUUUCAGAAUAAUCCAGCAUGAUCAAGAUUAAAAUCACUCAGAAAAAUCUAAGCCAAAUGCAUGUGAAAGCUUUUAGAGGAACACGGGUUGAGCUGAUAUGCCCUUCGCGUAAUAGGCUCGCGGUUGUUAGCAACAAGAUCGAAGAGGUAAAAUCAAGGUGACAAGGUAACAAUACCUGAAAGGAUCAAUAAAUGUUGUUGAUAUUGUCUUGACAUAUGAAUGCCACAUGCCUGCACGUUCGCUCUGCCAAGAACUCUGGUAGAUGAGUACAUUGAGCACCUGAAAUUAUCUUUUCACCUGAAAGGAAGGAACAUAUGCACAAAUUCCAAUCAACUGAAUAAUCACUGGAUAUUUUCAUCCAACAAGUGAUAGUGAUUAUAAAAAAUAUAAAAAUGAAAACCAAGCAGAAAAUUCUUAAACACAAGUAAGAUGACUGUGAUUAUCAUUAUUAAGCAAUCAACCUAGUACAACCUUCAACCAGUGUUUGAGACAAUGCAAGUAGUAUCAUGAUAAUAAAUCUUUACUUCCAAACAGAACAUCAUUUCUUCAUGUAAUAAAAUGAAUGAAGAUAGAUUUCAGGAAGACAGCAGCACGAAAUCAAAUAUAUGUGCACAAAAAAAGUAGAAGAAAUAUUUCAGCGUCAUCUAUUAGCUCGAAUAAAAACAUCAAUGCGGUGUAAAACAAACUGAUGAAGAGAUUACUGGGCAUGAAAGUGUACCCAAAGUGUAAACAUGAGUUUCAACUUUUGAUUUUGGUCGCUUCACAUUCCGGAAUGCUCUUGUGAGAAUUAGUUGUACAAUCAAAUCCCAUUCCAUAAAAUAUCAGAUACUCCCUGAAAAUGCCAUGCCACUUGAUACAGCCAAUGGCCGUGGUAUCUCUAAAACUUUUCCCCUUUGAGGAUUGCAUAUAAAGAGUUCCACUAGAUGCCAUUUAUUUCAAAAGAUCAAUAAACAUUAACACUGUUUUCGCCAGCAUUACAUCCCUCAGAGAUCUCAAGAUCCUUGAUGACAUUACCAUUGCAUAUAAAUGAAUGCAUGGCGUCCUCAAGAACAAGAAGCAGAAUUUGAGGUUCUUCAGCAGCAGCCGCAGCCUGUGUUGAUAAACGCUUGUUAGCAAAAGAAUGGCUGUCAAUUAUGUCAUUCUAGAAUUUAGAAACAGAUCACAAACGCAACUGAUUAUGCGGGGAAUCUCAGAAAGAUACCAUAGAAAAGAUAAUCAGAAACUUCUUCCUUCAUGUGUCUUAUACAAUUUUUAGCAUCCUUUCGAUUAUCUUCGAUUGAAAAUUUAUUACUUCCUGCAUGUGAAAGUUAUUUGAGUGUCAGAAAGCCUGCAUUGAAUAUAGAUUUGAGGGAAUAAUUUUGACAUAAAAAUUAACAUGAAAGCUAAUACAAAGAAACAGUUCUUAUAUGAACAAAAUUAACAUGAAUCGAGAAACAGAGCGUAACAGGGUAGCUGCAACUAAUAACUCACAAACUAACUUCUAAAGUGACCUACUGGGCAUCAAAUCUAAGGAUUAAAGCACUAAUUAUAGGAUUUAACAAAAGAUCAGCCAAACAUUAUUUAUUUAUUUUCUCUUUUAAAAAAAAAGGUCAGCUUUUUCGAGAUUUCAGGAAGACAACAACAUAAGAUCAAGUAAGUAUAUGUGCACAAAAAAUGAAGAAGAAAUAUUUCAGCUUCGUCGAUUACCACAAAGAGAACAUCAAUGCUGUGUAGAACAAACUGAUAAAGAGAUUACUCACCAUGGAGGUGUGCCCAGAGUGGAAACUUCAGUUUCCACUCUUGACCUCGUAAGCGACGCGAUAAACCAGUCCUUUGCAAUUCACGUACCUGAAAAAUCUUGAAAGAAUUGGUUGAACUAUCAAAUCCCAUUCCAAACAUGUUGGUGUUAAUAAGUUGGUUAAUGAUCUUCCUGACGAACUUGGCAACAAAAUAAAGCGCAAUGUCUGCAUUAAACUGUUCAAGAAUGUGAGUCCCUUCAUCAUAUAUUAAUUGUUAAAUAAAGUUCCGGAUGUACCCUUUAUUGGUCAAAUAUUCUACCCUUUUAGUUGUUUGAUGUCUGUGACACAACUUAAAAGUAAUUUUUAACUUCCAAGUAUAAGAGUGUCUUGUUGUAUUAUAACUCGGUGAGUCCGAGGUCGAUCCACAGAGAAAAGAUUUAAUUUGUUUAUUUUAUUUUAACUAAAAAUUGAAAUUAAAACUUAAAUAUAAACAACUUAAUUUAAAUGAAACUAUGAAAUUAAACUAGUUAGGGUUAUGGAUCCACUCAUAGAAGUAAAUAAAAUUUAAUAAAUUCUUUUUGCCUUUUUUUUAGAUUUAUUACCCAAAAGAUUAAUUAUAUAAAUUAUUAUUAUUUUCCCUUUAAUUUUAUGAUGGAUUAAGAAUUUAUUGUGCCAAAAUUUAAUUUGUCUACAAUAAGUCAAAAUACCAUUUUACCAUACCUUAUAUUAAGAUAUUAAGAAUUUAUUGUGCCAAAUUUAUUUGUUUGUUCACAAUAAAUCAAAAUUUCAAAAUAUAAAAUUUGUAUAAAAUUAAAUAGAAAAUAAUUUAAUUUAUAAAAUUAAAAAUAGAAUUUGCUUAAAUCAUAUUUAUUUCCUAAGAGUUUCACCUUCCUCUAACUAAUAUUAUUUAGUUAAGCAUAAUUAAAAUACAAAGAAGUAAUAAAAUUGAAUUACUUAUAAUUAAAAGUAAUAAAAACAACUAAAAUUGGAAAUAAAACUAAUUUUAUUUAUAAAAAUAAUUAUACAAAAUAUUAAAAACACACCUGGAAAUGAAGAUUACAAGGAGAUGGAGAGAAUUUGAGAAGAAGAGAGUUGUAGAGGGAUGAUUAAAAACAUAAAAAUGAGGCUCUAUUUAUAGAAAAAUAAAUUCAUAAUCCAGUGCUUUGUGGUCCAUCAUAAGCUUCAUGCAUGUGCUCCUCAUACCUUUAGAUCAAGAUCCAAUGGCUGGUCAAACUUCAAAAGUCAACAUCACACGUGGCAUCGUUUGACUCGUCCGAUUUGCCCAAAGAACGGUUGAGAUUUGGCGAGUUAAUGGGUGGAUCGGGUCGACCCGAAUACAAGGAUUUGGAUCCUACAACUUGCUUUACCAACCAUUGCCACGUGGCACAAUCAUAGCCAUUGAAUCAUGAACGGUUGAGAUUUAGUCAAAAUUGCCAGCUAUCCCAUACACUCAUAUAUAUUGUAAGCUCAUUUCAUCAUCCAAUCAGUGGUCGGUCAACAGGAAAAGUCAACUUUUUUUACACAAGCCCAAUUUUAAGCCGAUCUUGAUUGAUCUUAAGGUUUUUCGGACCUUUGGAAUCCAAAUUUGACCUCUGUUUAUCUGUUUGGAGCCUCGAAUUACGUGAAAUUAAUAUUUUUCCUAAUAAACACAUAAAAAUACACAAAAUUAAAUAUAUUUAAAACAUAAUUAAUAAUUCCUAAUAUAUUACAUAAACACAAAUAUAAAUUAUAGCAUACGCAUAAACUAACAUAUUAUCGCUUGAUAAUUAAACAAUUUUUAAUACUAAUCGGUCUGAUUUAAUUUUGUAAUUCUCAUUCUCAAAAUUAAAUGUAUAUGAAGGUAAAAGAGUUUAGAAAUUUGAGCGAAAAUCAUUAGGGUAUCUGUUUGAAUUUCUGAGGCCAUUCUUAUUUGUGGAGCAUACUCGCAUUUUUAAGGAGGGUGACCCAAUUGAUGAGAUGCUAUUUGUGUUUAAAGGCAAGGAGCUACUCCUACACCUCCAGGAAUUUUAAUGUAACAACAACAGCCGCUUCUAGAAGAAAUAAUCGUAUGAAAGAUCGAUGGUGACUAUUUCAGAGAAGAACUUAUCACGUGGGCUCAGAGUGAACGCUACUCCAAUCUGUCCAUCUCAGCCAGAACUAUUCAAGCGCUUAGUGACGUUGAAGCCUUUACUCUUAUGGCUGAUGACUUUAUCACUCAGUCAGACAUUUCGAUUGGGCGGCUCUUUUGUUACAGUCAUACUGGCUUUUUAGAAAGCUUUUACGGGACUAAAGGAAGGCUAAGCAAAAAUCAUGCCUGAAAUAUUGGACUUGGACAACCAAAGAAAAUAAAUAACGCGGGACAUGUAUCAGCGAUACAACGCAAAAAAUUUUAACACUUGUGAUAGAAUCAUUGAUGACAAAUUUUUUUUUUUUGAUAUAAAAGGGAGCCAAACAAGGCUAAGCCGAAACAAAACGCAGGAAAGCAUUCCCGUACAUGUUGUGAAUUAAGCAAUUGACAACACCACAAGGAGGAUUGUGAAGGAAAUGGAAGCCAAGAGGUUGAUUCAUUGCGAAAUUCGCAAGAAAAUCCGCUGCAAAAUUUGCUUCACAAUAAAUAUAGUUAAUGCACACAUUCCAGUCCCUAUCAAGGGGCCUCCUGAUGCUUUGAAUCACUGAAGAAAAACUGUUAGGACUGUUGCUUGUGUUUGCAAGUAGAUCAAUGGUGCACUUACUAUCAACUUCAACCAACAAAUUCCGAACCCCAAGCUUCCAAGCCAGAUCAAGACCAUAGAAUAAACCCCAGAGUUCAGCAUUAGCAACCGAACUAAUGCCAAUGUUCGUACAUAAUCCAGGAACCCAACUCCCAUUAGCAUUUCUUAUCAACCCACCCGUAGCUGCCAUGUUCAUCUUCUUGCAGGCCCCAUCGGUAUUCAAUUUGAAGGCAUUUUCAGGAGGCGGUUUCCAUCCAAAGUGUUUCACAAUCUUUGAAGAUCCAGGUUUGAUCAAAGUCAUCAUAGUUUUAUGGGAAUUUUCAGCUCUAGUAAUAAUAUCUAAAAUAAUGUUGUGAUUACUCCUCUGCACAUUCCUAAACAGAGCUUGGUUCCUCCAAAACCAAAAGCUCCAGAUUGCUAUGCCAAAAAUUACAGACCAAUCCACUCCAUUACUAUCAUAACGAUUAGGCUUUCAAUUAGUAAGAAUCCAAUCCUUUAAGUCUAAAGAGAAAAAACUAUCUCGUAGGCUAAAAGGGACAAUAUCUAGCCAAAUAUACUUGGCUGCCACACAAUCUCUAAGGGCAUGAAGAGAGUCUUCCACGCAAACUCUGCACCUUACACAUUGAUUCUCUGCCAAAAUAUGUCUUCUAGUAAGCUCAGCUUUGGUCUUUAACUUAUUUUGAAUAGCAAACCAAAGAAAAGUUUUAACACUUUGUGGUCCUUUCCAGCUCCAAAUAAGGUCCCAUUUUGAGCCGAUACGACUGGAGGAUUUGCUUGAAAUACUUUAGUAUGCUGAUUUUACUGUAAAGUUGCCCUUAGUCGAGAAGCCCCAAAAGAUUCGGUCUAUACCCCCCUCGACACAUGGAGGCAUAAUGGCAGUAAUAGCAAGCGCUAAACUGUGAGGGAGAUAAUUGCUGAAAGCAACCCAAUUCCAUUGACCAUUACUGUCAACAUAUUCCUUAAAAGAGUUGUCAAGCAUAUUACUCGGAACCGGCAUCACAACAUAAUCCUUCAAAAUGACAUUUUGCAUUACCCAACAAUCUUUCCAGAAACGAAUCUUUAAGCCAUCUCCAACUUGCCAACGAAUACCAUUCAAAACUUUUUGCCAAACCGUACCCACUGCACGCCACACAUAAGAACCAUACUUUGUAGGUAGUUCUGUUUGGGGAGAUUAUCAUUCUUGACACCGUAUUUAGAGCAAAAAACUUUGAUCCACAGGCUUGUAGGAGAAACAAUAAUAUUCCACCCAAUCUUCAUCAAUAGUGCCUAAUUGAUUUGGAGAAGAUUUUUUAAGCCAAGACCACCUGCCAUUUUAAGUUGACAGAUUUUAUCCCAGCUAGCCAUGGACAUGUUAUUCCCCUCGUUAUUCCCACUCCAUAUAAAACGAUGAGAAAUGCGAUUGAUUUUUUCUUGAGUGCCUCGCGGAAUCAUUGUGGUUUGCAUAGAAUAAAUUGGCAAGGCUUGGAUUACCGCUUGAGCAAGUGUAAGCCUUCCAGCAAAAGAAAGAUGCUUCGCAUUCCAUCCUGAGAGACGUUUAUCUACUCGAUCUAUAAUCUCUUGAUAGGUUUUAUUGGUAAUUUGACCAUGAAGAAGCGGCAUACCCAGAUACUUCCCUAAAUUUUUUGAAGUUGAAAAGCCACUUAGAUAACUGAUUUUUUUUUAUAAAGCAGGGUCCACAUUUUUUUAGAAGUAUAAUCGAGUUUUUUCUGUGCUAACUUUUUCUCCCGACAUAUUGCAAAAGUUAUUUAGAGAUUUGAUCACCAUCUUCGCCUGCUCAGAGGAAGCUUCUGCAAGAAGAAGAAGAUCAUCAACGAAAAAAAGGUGAGUCAGAUGUAUACUUUUCGGAGACAGCCUUAUGGGUUUCCAUCGCUUCUGUUGCACUUCUCGAUUAAUGAUGUGGCUAAGUCUUUCAAUACAAAGAACAAAUAUGUAAGGAGAGAUUGGAUCCCCCUGGUGAAUCCCUCCAGAGGUCUUGAAAAGAAUCAGUAAGUUCGCCAUUCCAAAUAAUCUGCAUGGAAUAAGAGGUGAUGCACUCCAUGAUGAUUCGUAUAAAAUUCGUAGGAAGACCCACAAAAACCAAAGUCUCAUUGAUAAAAUCCCAACUUAAUCUUUCAUACGCUUUUUCCAAAUCUACUUUGAUGGCCAUGAAUCCUCGUUUGCUCGUCUUCCGUCUUAUACUAUGAAUAAUCUCCUGGGUGAUUAUAAUGUUUUCGAUGAUGUGCUACCUUGGAACAAAGCUAGUUUGAUGCGGACCUACAAGAUCAGGGAGAAAAGUCUUUAAUCUACUAGCGAUGAUUUUAGUGAUAGUUUUGUACAUAAUCGUGCAAAGACUAAUAGGUCAGAAAAACUUUAAACUAGUUGGAUUGUCAAUUUUUGGGAUAAGAACGAUUAAUAUCUUCAAGAAAUCUGCAGGAACGGUCUCGCCAUUGAAAACAUCUUUGAUUUGCUUGCAAACCGACUUGCCCACCACCUCCCAUUGAGAUUGGUAAAAAAUAGCAUGUAGGUUGUCAAUUCCCGGCGCCUUUAAAGGUUUCAUGCUAAAAAUAAUGUCUCGAAUUUCCUCAUCAUCCACUGAUUUUUUCAUGAUAUGGUACUUAUCUGUAUCAAGGCAAGGAAAAUCAUUAGGAAUAAAAUAAUUUUCAAAAGAAUUAUUGUCAGCCGUGUAUAAAUUAGUGAAAAAAUUAAUAGCAUGAGCCUUAAGCUCAUCCUCAUCCAAAAUCCACUAGCCCCCGUCAUCUUUCAUCCAGACAAUUUCGUUUUGUCUUCUCCUAGUCAUUGUUUUCUAGUGGAAAAAGGAAGUAUUUCUGUCCCCAAAUUGAAUCCAGUUGCUGCGAGAUUUCUGAAGCCACAAAAGUUCUUCUUGAUUGAGAAUAUCGUUGAGCUCCUUGCUGAGAUGAGUCUCCAACUUUAGUCUCCAACUUUAACAAAUUAUCCAAAUGGUGACUCUCCAAAGCUUUUUGAAUUCCACCUAGUCUAGCUAAGAUUUCCCUUUUUUGUUUAAAAAUAUUUCCAAACUCAUUCUUGUUCCAAUUAUCAAUUUUGUCAGUAAACUCCUUCAUCGAAACAUUAUAAUCAACAUCCUUCUUCCAAACUUGAGACACAAAACCAGAGAAACGAUUAUCAGUAAGCCAAGAUGCAAAGAAUCUAAAUGGUUUCAAACCUUUGUUCCCAGUACCCUCAUUAUUCAAACUAAGAAGGAUAGGCCGAUGGUCAAACCCCAAUCUUAGUAAGUGAAAAACUCGUGCCUUGUUAAAAGUGUUGAACCAAAUAUCAUUGCAAAUGGCUCUAUCCAAGCGUUUAUAAAGCGAUCCCCUUUUCCAAGUAAAUUUUGGUCCAGUAAAAUGGAGAUCGCAAAAUCCGUGUUUGUGGAACCAAUUUUGAAAGUUUUUACAAGGUCGGCUACGACUAUUAGUACUUCCUUUACUCUUUGAGGUUGAAAGAGUGGCAUUGAAGUCGCCUGCUAGCAUCCAUGGACCUUGAAUAGUCUCAGCCAAAUAAUUUAAAUCCUUCCAAAGAAAUUUCGGAGAGAAGUAACUGGACUGGCAUAAAUCACGGUGACCCAGGUAAUUAACCCCCUUGUAUCAGACACUUGGAAGUGAAUAUAUUGCUUAUGAUUAAUAAGGAUUGUGACAUCUAAACCCGCUCUCCAUAAUAACCAAAUUUCACUUGAGAAACCAGCCACCUCAACUCGAUGGGAAUGCUCAUAACCACUGAAACGAAUAAAAUCAUCCGUUUUAAUUCCACUAAUCCGAGGUUCACAAAAAGCCACAAGUUUGGGUUUAUAGUUUUGAACAGACAUCUUGAAAGUUCAUCUAAAGGACUGCGAGGCCGCCCCCUGGUAAUUCCAAAACAAGCACGACAAAUUCAUUAGCAAAAAAAAUUGAAAGAAAAGCACAUACUUACUCCAAAUGCUCAGAGCCUUGCUGAUUAACAUCCAUAUGAUCCUCCUCAACAAAAAAAUGAGACUCAUCUGAUGUCUCAGAUUCGUCAUCCUCUGAUUCCUCCAUAUAUUCACUAUCUGAUGAGUCCUCCUCCACCUUAUCCAUUUCCCUAUCGCCUAUAUCAGGAGGCUCCUCAUUCGGGUUUGGUUCGGGAGGCAUCGAAGGGGGGGCCUGGACGGUCCCAUUUUUUGAAUUGUUUUUUAAUAUUAUUGCUUAAUGAUAUUUAGGAUCCAAAGAAGUUGGGAUGAAAGUUGGUUCAAGAUAAUGGGUUAUAGAUGACUUGGAUUUGUUACGUGAGAUAUUUUUUUUCCAUGGGCUCAAAAGGGUGUUGAUUUGAUGAGCUAUGACCACUUGUGGGGGGGGUGUACUGUGUAUUUCCCGUGAAGGUUUGAGGGUAGUGUGUUCAGAUGUGGCAACCUUCUUGUUUCUUGUCACGGGUUUUCCCUUGCUUCCAAAUAUCAUCGUUUGGGUGGAGCUUUUAGAGUCACGUGAGAUCAUCUUUUCCAUGUUUUUAGGAGGAGCAACAGUCUUCUUGUGAUUAUCCAUGGUGAUAGCUGCGUUUGAAAUCUCCCUAGAAUCAUUGUCUAACUCACUUUCCUGUCGUAAGACAUCGAAUCUGGAACCUAGACUCUGUUUCCCAAAAUUAUUUUGAUUAGUCUCCUUUGCAUCUGCUCUUCCCUUAUUUCCUCUAUAAUUUCCUUUCCUAGCCAUGAUCAUCCAAGGACCAAAUCUUGGAUUGUCCAGAGUAACCACCGCCGGCGAGACAUCUGAAAUUCCGUUGAUAGUUUCACCUGAAGCCAUAUCAUUCAUCUUCUCCCCUCUUGCCUCCAAAAUCAAUUUAUCCGGGCAUGAGGAAGAGGUGUGUCCAUACUUUCCACAUCCAAAGCAUAUUGUUGGAAGCACUUCAUAUUCAAACCUUUGGAUUCGUCCAUCCAGUAAAAAUUGAGAGAUUAAAGGACUCUUAAGGGAUACUUCCACUGCAUUACGGGUAAACUUACCCUUCGUCGCCAAUUCCGUAUUAUAAUCAAUUUUGAUUACUUUUCCAAUGACAUGCCCCAACAUUCUAAUGAUCUUUUUAUGGUAAUAAUGUAGAGGCAUACCUGGAAGCCUUAUCCAUGCAGUGAUUUCAUCAAUCUUUUCAUUCGAGCUAUCGAAAUGAGGCGACCAUAGUUGAACGGUCAGGUAAUGCCCCGAAACAAUCCAUGGCCCUUAUGUAAGAACAAACUUAGCAUCACCUUCCUUCCUGAACUUAACGAGAAAAUAGGCAUUAUCUAAAUCUAUAACAGAGUAUCCGCCAAUAUUAGGCUACAAGAUUUCCAGCUGUGAGCAAAACGCUUUGUAUCCAAUCAUGCGGCUAAGAAGUUUCACCACCACAGUAGAUUGCCAUGGUUUUAUGAGUUGCUCGUGGACUUUUUGUGAAAAAGAAAUCGAAGGUAAAAAGCCUUCCCGUUCAAUGACCACAUCCUCAUUUUCAAUUUCAUUAUCAUUUUCCUUCCCCAUGAAUUCUUCUCUACCGACUUCAGCAUCAAUCACCCCCCUUUGUUGUUCCAUUAGUUUAUCUCGAAAGAACAACAUAGAUGGAUUAUCUCCAUCCUCCCCUUGUGCUUUGAAUUUGGUUUUCUUGGUCGAUCGAUCAUCCUCAAGGGGAGGGGGGUUGUUCUUGUUAAGAGAGUUUUUGGUUGAGAGCAUUUUCCAACGACUAGUUUUUUCUUUUCUUUCGCAGAUAAUUAGACGUUUAAAUCACCGAAGCUGUGGAUUUGUCAUUUGGUAGUUGAUAGUUACAAAUUGUUUAUUCUUUAUAUUUAGAUGUGCGCAGAAAAUGGCCAAAAUUUAAUUUGAAAUUUGGAUCCCUCUAAGUUACAUGUAAUAUAACUUACACCCACUCACAUGAAUAGUGAACAGUGGGUGAUGUGAGGCCCACUCAUUGUUCAUGUGAGUGGUGUAAGUUACGUUACAUGUAACUUAACACUUGCCUUGAAAUUUUAAAUUUGAAUCCCUCUAAGUUACAUUACAUGUAACUUAACACUUGCCUUAAAAUUUUACAUAUGAAUCCCUCUAAGUUACAUUACAUGUAAUUUAGCACUUGCCUUAAAAUUUUACAUAUGAUUCUAUCCGGCUUUGUCAAUUAAUUCACCAGUGAUGAUGAAUAAUGAUAGAUAUUAAUGUUUGAAUUCAAAUUGAUUUGACAUUCAUUUAUUAGAUGAUAUAAUAAUAAUUUUAUUUUUGUCAUAUAAUAGAUGUGUGAUACUUAACAUUUACACUCAAAUUAAAAUUUAAAUAUUGAAAUUCUAAUAUUAGUGGAGUUAUAUUGAGUUGGGAUACAAAUUUUGACUAUUAAUGGUGUAACACUUGAUGUGAUGGUAUUAAAUUAUCUCAUUAUGAAAGAAAUAUUAAAAUUGAGUAAAGUUUAUAGGGAAAAUCAUUUUGUGUGAGUAUUCUCAAUUUUCAAUAUAAAAAUUACGAGACAAAAUUAAGGAGGAGAAUGACACAUUGCACUGUUUACAAGCUAUUGGAUAAUUUGGUCAUAUUUCAAAAAGCGAUUUAACCACGGAGGUCCAUCACAGAAGUUUAAAGACCUUUCGUUGAAAGAACAAAUGUGAUAAUUGAUAUUAUUAAUAAAGAAAUAAAUAAAUGGGAUAAAUCUAAUUUUUCAAAUUUCUCCGGAGGAAAAGGCUGCGAAUUAUGACUCUCCAUAAGAAAGACGUCACAUGAAUUUAUUUAUUUAUUUAUUUUCUUGUAAAUUUUACAUGAUUGGAAGUGUGGAGGUGUGUGAUUAUCAUUUCUGUCCUAAAAUACCUGUCAACCUUCCACAAUUUUUGAGAUUGCCAAUUAGUUUGUUGGUCCUUCAGGUAUUUGGAGGCUUAUGAUACUUAUUUGCGAUAGAAAAAGUUGGCGGAUGUCGAAGGAAGCCUGCAUAAUUAAUUAAGCCUUAUGGUACUCAUCUGUCAUAAAUUAGGAUUCGUCUAUGAUGCAACUGUGGUGUGCUACCACAAUUUUUGUCCUUAACCCAACUAACCGUUGGUUCAAAAGUUAAAUAAUCUAACAUGUUUUUAAUUGCCACACAUAUUUUCAAGUAUACUGGUGAAAUUAGGACAGUUAUGACUUAAUUUUAAAGAUCUCUUGCCUAAUAAAACUUACUUUCAAUUAAAGGGUAUUGCUACCUUUUUUUUUGUAUUUGGUAAUUCAUCAAACACGAACAAAUUGACGAACACAUAAUUUCUUUUCUUUUUUACAUUUUGCUUUUCAUCAAUUCCUUCAACGUCCUCUGUACAUCAUCUUUCUUUUUUUCUUUUUUUGUUGUUGCUGGAAUCAGUUGGUCGUUGAUGGUAUUGCCCCAAAAUUUCAUCUUUACAUCUUCAAGUCCUUCAUCUUUUUUUUUUUUUUCCUGUCUAAUCCUUCAAUGUAAUGAUCCAUUUCACUUAUGCAACUUUUGCUAGGACUUCAAGAUUGAUUUUUGUGUGUUAACUUACAUUUGAGUUGAAAACAACUUGGAUGUAUUUCAUGCCUGCUACCUGUUUGACGAAAUUCCUCACAGAAGAAACAUACAGUUUCAGAUGCUAUUCUUGCUAAAGAGUUCAAUAAGAGAGAUAUUUCUGGUAUUGAACAUAAAAAAUAGAGCAAUAAAUAGAAAAUUAAUUAAUGACAACUUCUUCUGAAAAAAAAAAAUUAAUUGAAUUUUGCUAUUUUUGAUUGAUAUGAUGAUGAUGGAAGUCAAGUGUGUUAUGUAAGACGAAAGACGAGAAAUCAAUGGUUAAUUUCAGCGCUCAAAAGAUUGUAUUUCAGUAUAAUGCACGCACCGAGGACGAAAAUGAAAAGAUGAAGUCAAUUAAUUGCAACUCACUCAAAAGGUUACCUGUGUCAGUCCAAUUUAUCCAAUAAUUAAGUCCAGCCCUUAGAUUAAAGAAAGAAGUAUCCAACGGUUUUGUUUGAUAUAUACAAAAGAAUGCGGUAUGGUGCAACUGUUGCAACAAGACACCAUAAAUUAUCUCAUUAUGACAGAAAUAUUGAAUUGCACGAGUUAAUUAGGAAAAUAAUUUUUGUGUGAGUAUUCUCAAUUUCCAAUAUAUAAAUUAAAAGAAAAAAAUUAAAAAGCAGAAUGACGCUUUACACUUGUUUAGAAGCUACUCGAUACUUUGGUCAUAUUUCAAAAAAUAUAUUAACUACGUAGGUCCACAUAUAAUAAAAGUUGUAAGAGAUUUUUUGUUGAAAGGAUAAAUGUGAUAUUUUAAAUAAACAUAUUUAAUAAAUGGGAUAAACCUAAUUCUUCAAAUUUCUUCCUAGGAAAGGCUGUCAAUUAUGGCUCUCCAUAAGAAUGACGUCACCCAGAUGAUGUAAUCAGAAACUUUUUCCUUCAUCAGUUACUACGCAAUUUUUAACGUCCAUUUGUUCCACUUCAACUGAAAACUCAUCACUUCCUGCCUGCAAAAGUUAUUUGAGUGUCCAAAAAACUAUAGUGAAUCUACAUUUUUAUUGUUAAGGGAGUCAUUUAAAUAUGAAAUUGACAUGACAGCUAAUACAAAGCUACAGUUGCUACUUGAACAAAAUUAACAUGAAUAAAAAAAGUGUAGCUGCAACUAAUAACAUUAAAGCAAAGGAAUAAAGUAUUAACUAGAGAUUUUAAACAUAACUGUUUGGUUUAAAAUUAUGGGAAUUUUAGAUUACACUUACAGUUUUUAUUGUUUUUUAAUUUUUGAAGAGAAAGAAAAGAAAAAAAAAGAUCAGCUAUAUGAUUAAAGAAAGAUAACAUGGUUAUGCAUGGAGGGAACAAAAGAGUAAUUGAAGUGAGUUAUUUAACGGACCACCGCAGCAUUGAUCGGCGUGUACGGUGCCGCCGGCGCGGUGACGUCGUCAGAGAGGUGGCAUCGUCGGCGUCAUUGUAAGUGUGAGUGUGACUGUGCGAGUGAAUAUGAGAGUGACUCAUCGUGGUUUUAAACUAGAGGCAGACUCAAAAUGUACAGUUGUCAAUAUAUAAUUGCAGUGCCCUUGCUCUCAUUUAUGAUACAAAUUAAUAAAAACUAUGAUUCAUUCAACAUUCACCAACCUUCCUCCAAUCCAAUUUUUUGGUCAUAUUAGGAUGGCUAUAAAUGCCAUUUAAUCGAUCGAUAACCUUAAUUUUCGAGAUUGCUAUGGCCGAAACUUUUUAAUUUUUUUUUUAAGUCUUUUAUUUCGUGCAAAAAUUAUAUAUCACGUUUUUUUAUUUCUCAUUAAUGACUGUAUUUUUGUGUCAUAAUUCAGGAACAACUUGUUGUUUCAAAGGGGCAGCAACAAGGAAUAGCUAUUUAUUUAAAAUAUGAAGUGGGGAAAAACUGCAAUACUUCAGAUCAUGAUCCAUAAAUUAUUCUCCUUUUUUAUCUCUAGAAAAAAUUGAAUUAAUUUCUUGAAAAAAGAUCCAACAAAUGAGUGCUUUAAUUUCGUAAUUUAUUAUUAUUAUUGCUAUUUCUGUUUAAAUAUGAAAAAAGAAGAAGAAGAAUUGGGUUAUUUUUAUUUUGUCGUAUAUCAGGGUUCAUAAUAGAUGUACUCGUGUCAAUAUAUAAUUGCCUUUGCCUUCCCUCUGGUGAAUUCAUUGAUAAUUGAAAAAGAUGGUAGCUGCUUGUGGUUGUGGGACGCUCUCGUUUAUGGUACAAAUUAAGAAUAAAAAUUUAUAUUUAAUUAACUCAACUGCUUGUGGUUUUGGAGGUACUUGGAUGUCAUUUAAACGAUAACCUAGAUUUUCUAGAUUGCUAGCUAUGGCCGAGUUUCUUAAUCUUUCUGAAGUCUUUUCGCGCAAAUAUUAUAUCCACGUUUUUUUCAUUUCUCAUUAAUGCAUUGUCAGUUCAAUAAAAAAUCUAGUGUGGAAACUGGAAAAUUUGGGAGGAAUCAUUAAUGCGUUGCACGUGCAACCUAAUCAAGAAUGUGCUUGUGUAUUAUUUUAAUAAAUCUAUUUCCAAUAAACCGAAAUAGUCAAAUUCUUAGUUCUCCCGUGCUAUAUAUUUGGUCUAUGGAUAUAUUAAUGUUUGUUUCUUUUAAUUAAAUUUUUUUUUUUUUUGCAUAUCAUAACCUCUCAGAUCACUGUCUAACAAGAUUGCCUUUAAAUUUGAAGAAUUUCACAUAAAUUGGAUACGGGUGAUUAUGGUGUCCUUCCAUUUUCUAACGAAUUAAUUUUCACUGUCAAUUUGUAAUUUGGCUAGCUGGAAUGACAGUGACCUGACUGAAAAAUAUGUUAUCUUGACGUCGACUGACCAAGUCAAAGUCUUUUAAGUGCACAAUCCAACCCUUUUGAAGUGGCGAUUCAGUUCGGCACUUCAAGGAAUAAGUUACUCGGCCGAAUUUGCAGAAAUAUUCCGAAGUUUAAUUCUUCACUUGGAUUUUCAUUGCUGAUCAUGUAAGUUAGUUGUUAUUUUUAAUUUUUUUCGGCGUUGUCACCCAUGUGCUUACACUUUUUGCGGAGCUAGUUUUAUGUUCUUAAUGUUCUAAUUUUCAAUGAAUGUAUUUGGACAAAGCCAUGAGCUAGUCUUUUAAAGGACUUAACUUGUAUUAAUAUUGCUGAUAUAUUCCUUAUAAAUCCAAAAGAGCAAACAAAGUUCUUAUAAAAAACGCAAGGAUAGCAGACAGUGAUUUAAUUUUUUUUAUUUUAUUUUGAUGUUAUCUCAAUUUUAAUAAUAGAUGAUUGAUUGAUUCAAUCUUCUUCUUGUCCAUAAUUAAGAUAACUACUUUCUACUUCCUAAAAAAAUCUCUAAUAUGUCGAAAUAAGUUUAUAAACAUUUGUAGAAAUCAAUAUCUUGGGAUUGUUGCUUGUUAAUUAUAUGUAAGUUAUACCAUUUUUAUGUUUUUUUUAAUCUGCUCGGCAUGUUUGAUAUAUUUCAACCCAAAUCCCCCUUGAUUGGGAAAAUAAACCAUUUCCUGCUCAUAUUUUGAAAUCCUACUCCAAAAUUCUCAUUUUAUUUGGUGAAAAUUUUCUAGAUGUUGAUAAACUUAUGUUAACUGUCAACUAAUGUUAAAUUAAGUCAAUUUGUUUUUCAACUAUCAGAUUUGGUAAUUUUCCCCUUUUUCCAGUGUAUGCAAAUCCACGACAACCACCCUACGCCUCCUUCCCUUAUUUUUUUAAGGAAGUAUGUGAUUUUUUAAACUGGGUUUUGAUUGCUGGCAACUGUAAUAUGUUGGACUUCCGUGAUUGGCUUGUUUGUACUCUACAGAUAUAUAUGUAUAAAAAAAAAAGGAAAAAAAUAUGACAAAACCUUAACUUGCGUUUCGAUCAUAUCAGGUCUCAGGAUCCAGAAGCAGGUUCAAAAGAUGAACAGUAUUCUAAAGUGUAUGGUACUGGAACGAUGUCGGCCGAUAAAAAACAAACUACAUGCUUAGGUUGCUUUAAAAAUCUUCUAGUUAUUAUACUUCUUUGCGUUAAAAAUCUUCUAGGUAUUAUACUUCUUUGUGUGGCGCUAUUAUGCUUUAUAAUAUUUGGUGGGACAAUAAUGCUAGUGCUUUAUUACCUGUUGAUUACAAUGAUUGUGUUAUAUCAUAAAACUGGUAAAGCGAUAGCGAGAGCAAUACGCAGGAUUAAAACAAUCAAGGAUAAAGAAUAUAUUGAUCGUCUAAUGAAUGUGACUGCAAUGAUCCUUGAUGUGACUGCAAUCAUCCUUGAUCCUUUAUUCUUCUACAUUCUGGUGCUGGAUGAUGAAAAGAAAUGCAUUCACUGGGACAAAACCUUGGGGAUUACAGCUACCGUCAUCCGUUCCGUCCUCGAUUUCCUUAAGCUAGGCCAUUUUAUCUCUCACUCUAAGCUGCAUAUGGCAAAGGGGAACCGAAGAGAAAAAUUUAAGGCCAUUUUCAAGGUGUAAUUUACUUUCGCUAACUAGUUGUUUCUUCAACUUCCAUAAUUUAUAUAAAUAUAGUCUCCGUUAUCUUCUUUGCUCCCUACGAAGUAUUUGCUUUUUUUUUUUUUUUUUUUGGCCUUAAAAGGGAGAAGGAGAAGUACCUGAAGAUCCAAUGGGACGAAUGCGGAAGCUCUUCCUCAUUGAUUGUUUGGCCAUCCUUCCCAUCCCCCAGGUAAAGGCACUAUCUAAUUUACAAUUACGUAAAUUCUGUUUAUUGACAUAUUAUGUAGUUCAAUCCUUCCCAUCCCCCAUGUGCAUAUCGUAAUAGUCUGCUUGAUUCCUGUCAUAUGUACAUCACAAAGUGGUUUUGAUUGUGAUAAAGAUAGAUCUUCAUACGAUUCAUGUCAAGGAUAAUGAUUUCAAUGUCAUUUUUCCCUUUACUUUGAUUAAAGUUGUAUUUAGACAUACAACCCUAAAUGUUUUGCAUGGAUAUUAGGGGUGGCAAUUUUCGCUAGUGAGUAGUGUUAAAUUUCAGCUAUGGGAAUUCGAUACUUUAUUAAUCUUGUUAAUAAUUUCAAACACCAACUCCACCUGUCUAUUAAUAAUUAUGUCACAUGCUUAAUAUGCUUUGAAAGUAUAUUUUUAAAUUUGACUUGUUUACAAGUUUUUAAGAUAUUUGUUUAAUUAAGAUAUUUAUAGUACUGCCUCUCAAAUUCAAAUCAAUUCUAGUCUUAAUAUAACUAGAUAAUUUUGAAAUAUAUACAAAUAGAAAGUAGUUCAAUUGUAUCCAAAAUCUAGUCGUACAACCAUUAUUGAUCAAAUAGUUAAUUAUGUCAUAAUUAAAUAGGCUCACGUGACAGGAACUUAAAACCUGAAGAAGUGAACACAACACAAAAUAUUUGUGUUCCUUUUCACCAACGCGAACAAACUAUUAUUUUCAUGCCAUUGGAAUCAGUUUCGCAGGUCAUUUCAAAAUUUGUCACCCCAGCUAUACCAUCGUUUUGCACAAAAAUAAAUAAUCAAUUUUGUUCAUAUUCAAUAUCCUUCAAAAUAUUUAUUUCCAUUAUUCCAUAUCAACUAAUAGGACAAACCGUCCAGGUUUUGGUGAUUUUUGGAAUAAGAGGCCCAGGAUUUUCAACGGCAAUGACCUUCUUUGUUUUACAAUAUUCGCUAAGGGUUAUUCGAACGUACUUUCUCUUCACACAUGCUACACGGGUUUCAGGGAUACUUGCCGAUGCUACAUGGGCCAUUUUUGCCUUCUAUCUUCUUCUUUAUCUGCAAAGCGGUCAUGUAAGUUCAAAGUAUUAUCAUUUUACCGAAAUAGUUUUUGGGAAAUUACAAUUUUUCCACCAUAUAGAUCGCCAAAUUAAAGGCCAAAAACAUUACAAAAUUUUGAAAUUUACAUUUUUAUACAAGAAGUUUCCAAAAACACCAUUUUUAUAUUAUAUUUUUUGGAAUCAGAAAAGCAUGAACUACGAUAUUCACUAUUUUGUAAUUUAGAAAAGCAUAUUCUAAUAAAACUAGAAUUUUAGCAACGCCCAGUUAUUACACAUAUAUACGCACAGUCAGUUAGCUUUUUUUUAUGUAAAUUUUAGAUAUUGGAAUUGUCGAUGUAUGAUAUUCCCUCUACUCUGCAAAUUAAUUUUUCUGAUAAGCUAUCUUUCAGAUGUUUGGAGCCUUAUGGUACUAUUAUGCCAUAGAAAAAGCGACUGAAUGCUGGAGGGAAGCCUGCAAAAAUCAUACCGGAUGCAGCGGUCAUAGUUAUUUUUCCUGUAAUAAAAGUUCCAGAGACUACAAUUUUCUAAAUGAUUUUUGCCGUAUAAGUACAGGAAGUACUACCAGCUAUAGUUUUGGAAUAUAUAAUGAUGCUCUUCAGUCUGGUAUUGUGGGGGAGACAGAUUUUCCUAAGAAAUUGAUACGUUGUCUGCGAUGGGGCCUGCAAAAUCUCAGGUUUGCUGUUUUUUAUAUGGCUUGGAUAAUGAUUAUUGUGCAUGUGAUCAGGUCCGUUACAGGUUCUCUUAGUCCGGUGCAGGUUUAUUUUGUAGUUCUUUUCGCAUCCAUGUAUUCUUUUUUUUUUCCCCAAUUCUCUUUUAUUCUUUUCUUUGUAGCUUCAUGCAUAUUGUAAGGGCUAAAUUUUAUUAAAACCCACUAAUUAGCCAAUGCAGACCAAGACAUUUUAUUGAAAGGGGCUACAUCAAAUAAUACCAAUAAUAUACAUAACAUAAGGGAUUAAUUAAGUUUAUAUGAUAAAAUUAAGUAAUUUCAUAUUUUUUUAUUAAAUUAAGAUGACAUGUGAAAGUAAAAGAGGGAUAUUGUUAUUAUUUUUAAAAGGUUUAACAAGGAGAGUAAAAAAUACUGUUUAAUUUUUUUAUAAAUUCAGAAUAAUUGAGGGGUACGUUUUUAGGGGUUUAUUUCAAACGAACUCUUUUAUUCAACUCAAAUAUUUAAAAAAUCAUUGGGGGUUUAACUAAUAUUUUCUGCUAAGGUCUCGAAUGAAAUUUCAGAGGGGUUAUAUGAAACAUUUCUUUUCUAUCGGCUAGUCAUUAGGUAAGUUCGAUCUUGUUUGUUCUCAUAAAAAGAGUACGAAUGUCGGGGCCACGCACAUUAUUUAAAUACGCAAUUAUGGGCUUUAGUUACCUUACAUUAUUAUGUAAAUUUCAUAAUUUUUUGAUAACUAUUUGAUGAAAAUCUAAUGGUUGUGAGAAUAAUAUGAUUUUAUUAUUUUAUAUUUCCAUAACCGUUGGAUUUUCAUCAAACGGCUGUGAAAAAAUUAUGCAACUUAUAUAAUAAUGUAAGGUAACAAGCUCCCGCAAGUAUGUAAUACUUAUGAACUGAAUUGAACUUUUUGCAGUGCAUUUGGUCAGAACCUCGAAACAAGUAACGAUGUCGGGGAAAACAUCUUUGCAAUUUGCAUGACCAACUACGGCGUAGUUCUGUUUGUCUUUUUAAUUGGAAGGAUGCAGGUCACAUACAUUUUUCUGUUUCUUCUCGAUUUCUCAAUUAACUUUCUUCUCGGGCUGUUAAUUAACUUUGAUCCUUUUAACUCAUGAAACACGAUAUAUAUAGGUUUUAAUUAGAUUUGAAAACACACAAGUUAAUUAUUUAGGUCAAAUUAAUUAAUGGCUAGAUGUACAGACUGAAAUUGCAAGGUCACAGAAGAUAAACCAGAAGUGGCAGGUGAUAAGGCAGUCGAAACACUAUGCGGAUAUCUCCCGUGAUCAAAAUGUCCGAGGGCAGUUCAAGAAAGCCAAGCGUGAAAAUUUGACAAACAAACACGUUGAUGUUCGCAUAGAUAGUUUUAUAAGCGAUCUCUCCCUCGACGCUCAAAAAGAAGUAAAACGCCAUAUGGGCCGAAAACUGCUCAGAAAAGUGAGUUUCUAUUUCUCUGGAUAAUAAUAAUCCUUAGCUACGUACCUGCCUCUUAUUAAUUAGUUAUUCAUCAGAAGAUGUCGAAGGGGGAAGUUUGUUAGAAUUUUUUUUGUGUUGACGUCUUAUAGCAACAUCUAGAAUGAUUCUUCAUUGUAUGUCCUUGAUUGUUAGAAAAUUAAUGGCAAAUGAAUUAGUAAAUAUGAACCAUAUAGGAGCAACAAUACAUAUAUAAGGGAAAAGGACAUUCAACCCCCCAACGUUUAGGAAAAGAGACAAAAAAACCCCUCAACGUUUCAAAAAGGACUUAUAAUCCCCUUUCCGUUAACAAACACCGUUUGUUUUAACAGUAAAUUUAUUUUUAAUUUUUAAUUACUAUUAUACCCUUAUAAUAAAAAAAUUAAUAUAUUAAUUUGAGAUAUAUCACAAUUAAUAAUUUUUUAAAAGCUUAAAAUUGAGAUACAAUUAUUUUUUUGCCAAAAUUAUUUACUAUAAAUUAUACCUUUCUAACAAUAAUAAUAUGGUUUUGAUUCCUCAAAGAAAAAGGGUUUAAUCAAAUUUCGUUUUAUUAGUAAUAAUCACAUAUGAAAGGUUUGAUCAUUAGAAAGGUAUAAUUUAUAGCAAAUAAUUUGGGCAAAAAUGUAAUUGUAUCUCAAUUUUUAGUUUUAAAAAAAUUAUUAAUUGUGACAUGUCUCAAAUCAAUAUAUUAAUUUAUAUUUAUUAUAAGGGUAUAAUAGUAAUUAAAAAUUAAAAAUAAAUUUACUGUUAAAACAAACGGUGUUUAUUAACGGAAAGGGGGUUAUAAGUCAUUUUUGAAACGUUGAGAGGUUUUUUGUCCCUUUUCCUAAACGUUGGGGGGUUGAAUGUCCUUUUUCCUACAUAUAAUGACAAUUUUUGAAUGCUGUCAAGAGGGCACCGAAUACGAAAGCAUUUUUAUCUUAUUAUCAUUUUCUUCUUAGUAAAUGAUAAUUAAGGAAAAUAGUAAUGACAGAGAGUACUGAUCUGGUCCAAGAUUUUGAAUCUUAUUAAAGUUUGAGAUAAUUAUUAAGUUAUAAGAUCAAAUAAUAAAACAGCAUUACACUCUUAAACAUAAGUUUUCACAAGUACGCAGUAGAUGGUGAGAUAAUGUGUAAUUAAUAGUGUAAUUAAGUAAUGAUGCUUCUUGAUGAGCCAUCAUCAAAUGGGUGAUUUUGACAAAAGUUAUAGAAUUUAUGUAUUUCAGUAUUCUAUAACUUUAUAAUCGUUGUAUAAAUUUGUAUUGACUCUGAUUCUCAUAUAUCAAGGUAGAAGAAUUACUUAAUGUAUUUCAAUAUUCUAUAACUUUAUAAUCGUUGUAUGUAUUUGUACUGACUCUGAUUCUCAUAUAUCAAGGUGGAAGAAUUACUUAAUGUAUUUCAAUAAUCUAUAACUUUAUACUCGUUGUAUGUAUUUGUACUGACUCUGAUUCUCAUAUAUCAAGGUAGAAGAAUUUCAAAAUUGGGAUGAGUUCUCUUUGGACUCUCUGUUUGGUUGUCUGAAGCCAGUCGUCUUUAGUGAAAGGACUGUAAUUAUUCAGGAGGGAGAUCCAAUUAAUGUGAUGACUUUUGUGUUGCAAGGCAAGACUUGGGCCUACUCCAAGAAAUUGUCAAUCACUAGACAGAGACAUCAGGACGAUUGUGAUGUUCGCCGAAAAGAACUCAUAGACUGGGCCAAGAAUGAAAACUCGUACCAGCAGCUCCCUAUAUCAGACAGAACCGUUCGAGCACUUACCGACGUUGAAGCCUUUACUCUUAAGGCUGAUGACGUGAAAUGUGCAUUACUUUUCGGUCCUGUUUCCAAAGAGGCAGCAACUCUCAUACAAUCAGUCUGGCGUUUCAAGAAGCGCAAACAUGCUAAUGACAAGAAUGCAAAGCCAAGAUCAUGCAUGGACCGCUGUUUCAGGACACAGGACAAAGUUGUACUGAAUUAAAUUAACUAUUUGGGAUUGGACUUGGAAGUAUUUAUUACACUACUAUAUCUGUUAUUUAUGUUUUGUGUUUCUGUUUAGGUACCAGAAAUAAAGUACUUCUGUUGAGUGACAAAGUAGACUAUAAUUAUCUGGUACAUGGUUUUCGAUGAAAAUAGUGUAAAUAGCAAUAGAUCACAACCCAUAGAGCACAGUCUAGGGAAGGAACAGAUGCACAAUUCCAGUCAAGUGAAUAAUCACAGGAUAUUUUCAUCCGCUUUUAAUAAAUAUAAAAAUGAAAACUAAACGGAGAAUAUUCUUAAACACAAGUACUGUGAUUGUGAUUAUCAAUAUUAAGCAAUCAACCUCGUACAAUCAUCAACCAGUGAUAAUGUAACAUAUGUGAAUUAAAAAUGAAUAAGUAUGAGGCGGUUAAGAAGUUAGUAAAAGCAAAAGAAUAAGCUGGUGACAGAGGAAACAUAUGCACGUGUAACAGAGAGUGAGAGAGAAGCUGCCAAACCGACCCAACUACAGACCCGAAAACCCGACCCGGGACCCGACACCUUGACCCGGCCAUAUCUCCCAUUUCUGGCCACCGUUUCGGCCGAGCUUGAUACCAAUCUGAAGCUUAGAAGCUGACCGCGUUCCUUGCCAUCCUCGCCGCCGAAAACCAACCGGAACGCCGGCGAUCGAAGCUUGAAAACCCGCGACUGUUUCGCUUUGCUCCGCCGGGAUUUUCGCCGGUUUUGGGUGACACCACCGGCUGUAUUUUGUUCCUCACGACUCCCUCUUCCAUUUCCGACCAUCCAUAGCCACCGGGUGUCACUGUUUUUCCGCCGGUCAAUUGUUGGAAUUCACGGCUGUCGAGCUAGAUUCCGGCGCCGUUGCCGCGCGUUGGAACUCACCGCCGGUACCAUUGAACUCAGCGUGAUUGGAACUUUCAUAUUUGAGCUUCCCGGCCAGCGUUGACCAAAUUCCGGUGACCGUUGACCGGCGAGGGCAUUUCGGUAAUUUCACACUAUAAGGGCAAUUUUGUAAUUUCUGAGCCUGUGGAUAUUUUAGUAAUUCCUGGAAUUGAGGAGUGGGUGUAAUUAUGAUUCCGAGGGUAAUUCGAUGAUUUACGAUUUCGAAGUAUUUUAAUGAUUUACGGACUCGAGGGUAUUUUAGUAAUUUUACCGACACGGGAGUUGUAAAUUAUGGAUAGAUGUUCGUUUCGAGUUUAUUGCAUAAAUUUAGUCGUAAUUCCGAUUUAUAAAAAAAUAAUUAUGUCAUUUCCUUGAUUUAGGAGGAUUCACGAGCGAGAACCGAUCGCGGACGUGGACGAUAACCGAGCGUGAACACCAUCACUGUGAGUGGAAUAUAGAAAACCUAUUUUCCUACUUAAUUAUGAUAUUAAAGCAUGUUUGUGAAAUAAGUAUUUUAAAUGUUCUGAUUUAAUGAUUUCCUCGAAAUGGAUUUUAUACACGCAUUGAUAUUAUAUUAAAAUGUUUUAUUAAUGAUUUUGCGUAUCGACUUUGAAUAAGCAUGAUAGUAUUUUAAAGAUGAAAAAAGUGGAUUCAAAUGUGGUAUGAUUUAAAGUAUGGUUAAAAUGUAUGUGAAUAUUAGUAUAAUGAUUAUUUUUGAAAUCAUUAGACAGUACCCUUACCCUCCAGAUACAAUGAUACAGAUGAGAUGAGAUAUAGGCUUUUGGGGCCGUCUGAACACACAUAGAGGUUUUGGGCCAUGUGUUUGGGCGCUUUUGCCUUUUGGGGGUAUAUACAUGCGGUAUGAUGAUUACAGAGAUACAUAUAUGAGAUAUAGACAUAUAUUGAGAUACAGAUGAUACGAAUGAGAUACAGGUCUUUGGGGCCCGACUGAGUACACACAGAGGCUUUGGGCCGUGUGCGUGGGCGCUUUUGUCCUUUGGGGACUAGAUUAUGCAUGCAUAGAUAUGAUGAGAUAUGAGAUGGUAUUUCCCUGUCUAUCCGUGUAGCUCCGGGGCGUGCGGUACCCAGAUAAUACGUCAUUGCCCAUCCGUUGAGGUCCAGAUAUGACGAGAUUAUUUUCCUGGAUACUUGUUUGGUGAUGAUUUUCAAAUUUGUGUAUUCUAUUUGAUAUUGUGAUAUGAUUUCUAUGGUUAUUGGGUACGAUAUUAUAUAUGUUUUUCAUGGUUAGUAAUAUGAUUUAAAUGUUAAAUGAUUUAUUACUGGUUUCUCGCAUAUGGUUUGAUAAAAUCGUGUUUGGAAAUGAUAUGAUUAUUUCUUUUAAAGUAAGAAUUAAUUUUCAAAAAUUACUAUCCAAUCACUGAUCUCACUGAGUUUUAAACUCACCCUGUUUUUAUUAUAUUUUUCUCCCCACGAGGAGGUUGCAGGUACACUAGACUGACUCAGCGACUGUAAAUAUAUUUUGAGUCUCGGCCACGUGAUGGUGUUAGAAGAUAAAAAUGUUUUUGUUAGGACAUCUUGGUUAUCUCGUUCUUUUGGGAUUGUAUAAUUUUGUUAUAUUAUUCUUUUGGGAUUAAGAAUAAAUUGAGAUAUUAUUAUUAGUUAUAAUAUUAUUUUUUAAGACUCUGGAGAUAUCUUGAGUAAAAUUCAGCAUUUUGGUUGAGGAUAUUGAUAAUUGGAAUUGUUGUAUAUUGAAUUAUAUUGAGAGUGUUAUAUUCAUAUUUGUAGAUUGGGAGUGUUAUAUUUAUAAAGGAGAUUCUGUCGAAUUUUCAGCAGAAUUCUUACUAAUAGAAUUAUUAUCAAGUCCGUUUUGAUGAGACUACAUUGACUCGCCCAGGGGGUUUCGGAGUGGGUCGUUUCAGAUAAACUAUUCAUGCCAGUAACAUGACCAUCUUAUUAAUUUCAGUCCACUGCAAAGUGCAAAAAAAUUACUCACAUCCUCUUCGACUAAAAUUGAAGUUUAUUCCUGGCUCCCUUCAACAAAUUUUCUUUUCUAGUACUCUACCAUUCACAUUCAUCCCAUAAAAGAUCAAUUUAUUAGAAGACGAUAUUCCUCCAUCAAAUUGAAAGAGAAAUUGAAAAUAUCAAAAAGGGAACAGCAAGAUGAUUCUAGUAUCAUGAUAAUAAAUAUAUCUAUAUCUAUCUAUCUAUAUACAUAUCUAUUGGUUUUUGUUUUGUAAAUGGAACAUCAUUUCUUCACUUCGUAAACUAAUGUUGAUAAAACUUUCAGGAAGACAACAACAUGAAACCGAGCCGAGGUGCACAAAAAUGAUGAAGAAAUAUUUCAGCUUCAUCGAUUGUCUCGAAUAAAAACAUCAAUGAUGUGUUAAACAUUUAACUCAGAAAUAGAUUGCUUGCCUUAAAGGUGUGCCCAAAUUAUAAACUUCAGUUUCGACUAUUGACCUUGGUUCGUGACGCGAUAAACUAAUCCGUGGCAUUUCACAUACCCAACAAUCUUGUAAGAAUUGGUUGAACUCUCAAAUCCCAUUCCAUAACAUGCAAAACUCCCUGAUAUUGCCAAUGGCGGUGAUAGGAUUCGUUUAAAGAGUUCCCCUUGUUGCCACGUACCUUUAAAGAACAAUAAACUAUUACCAGUGUUCUCGACACGGUCCCAUCACUCUAAAAAUCGAACGCAUGUGAGCAAAACAAAGGCAGUCAAUUAUGUCACUCCAGUAUUCAGAGACAGAUCGCCGACCCAUAAGUGAUUUAGUGGGCAAUCUAAGAAAGAUGUCGUAGAUGAUACAAUCAGAAAUUUCUUCCUCCAUCAGUUUUUUACAAGUUUUAACAUCCAUCUCAGAUUUUGUUCAAUUAAGAACUUAAUCAGUUCCUGCAUGUAAAAGUUGUUUUGAGUGUCAUAAAACCUGUAGCGAAUUGUGAAGAGAGCUCACUGUGCUGAGUUAAAACAAGAAAGGAAGCCAACAGUCAAGAUUCUUCAGCAAUGCCACGUCAGUGCUGAGUCAGCUGAUUCUGUUAAGGAUUGUUGAAAGCUCACGUGACUAUUAGUUAGUUAAUUAGCUUUUAGUUAGUGAUGCAGGAUUCUGAUUGGUUGAUUAAUUGCAAUGCUUAUUUGAUCAAUUGUAGCUUGGAAAUAAACUGUAUAUAAACAGAGUCUGUAACGAUUGCUUCUAUGAAAAAAUAAAAAAAAUAUUCCAGAGAGUUUAUCUAUUUUCUCAGUAACCAAACAAGCAUUUAGCUUAAUUUGCUAUUAUUUUACAUGGUAUCAGAGCCACAAUAUGGCAAGCUCAAGCAAUCCAAACGGAAAUUCAAACACAAUCACUGCAAAUCAAUCAAUACAAACCACAUUCUCCUUCAUAUCACCAAUCAAGUUAGAUCGAUCUAACAACAUGCUCUGGCGAAAUCAAGUUCUAGCCUCUAUAAGAGGAAACAGACUUGAAGGUUACAUUAAUGGAGAGAAGGUUGCUCCCAAUCAGUUUAUCACAACUGGAGGAUAUGCUGGAGCAGCAGGUAGUUCUACUCAACAGAAUGAAAAUCCAGAAUAUACAGUCUGGAGAUCACAAGAUCAGACAUUACUAAGCUGGCUGUUGAGCUCAGUCACUGAAGGUAUUCUCAGCCUUGUUCAUUCUUGCAAUACUUCAUAUGAUAUAUGGAAAACAUUGGAGAAAAAGUUUGGUGCAAAAUCUGAAGCAAGAGUACUUCAACUUAGAUAUGAAUGAGUGUUUUAAGAAAAGAUUCACUGAAUAUAGAAGAUUAUUGUUUGAAGAUGAAACAAAUAGCAGAUAAACUAGCAUGUGCUGGUAAUCCAGUUUCAGAUAAAGAUUUGCUGCAACAAAUUCUAAAUGGUCUUGGACAAGGAUAUCUUGAUUUAGCUACAUUCAUAACAGCAAGUAAACUUGAUUAUGAUGAUGCAUAUGCACUACUACUUACUCAUGAAACAAGACUUGAACAGAGUAUGAAUGAAAAACAGAUGUUCAAUGCAAAUUUUGCCAAUUUUACUUCUAAUAACAGUGGAUAUGGUAUGAUGAAUGCCUUUUAUGCACAAGCAAGAGGCAAUGCUCGAAGAGGUGGAUAUAAUGGAGGUUUUCACAGUGGAAAUCAAGGUGGAAGAAAUAAUUUUCAUACUGGAAGGGGAAUGUUUGUUAACUCUCAUCCAAGAGGUUUUCCCUCUGGAACUGGAAAUUUUGGUAACAGUCAUGGUAGAGGUCAGAUGAUUGGUAAUAAUAAACAGAUGCAAUUUAUGAGAGGUCAAUACAGUGGUAACUCUGGUAUGCCAAACUCUGAUGGUAAUGAUGAGCAAAGUGUUGUAUGUCAAAUUUGUUUUAAAUCUGGGCAUACAGCAACAGAAUGUUGGCAUAGAUUUGAAGAGAAUUAUGUACCACAAUACAUGAAGAAAGGAAGAAAUUAGAGAUCAGCUUAUAUGGCAUAUUAUGAUGCACCAACUGAAAAUUCAUGGUCAACUGCUUGUUCAGGAAUGCCUCAAAUGCACAAUCCAUCAUUCACCCCAUACAUGUCUGAUUCAGUGAACUUGUCAGGAGCUGGAGCUGGAGCUGCCUAUGUUGCUAAUUUUGAAGGUCCAGCAGAUGAAGGAUGGUAUCUUGACAGUGGGGCUACACAUCAUUUGACAAACAACAUGGCAAACAUGCAUGUCAGAGAUGAAUUCAAUGGUAAUGACAAGCUGAUUAUUGGCAAUGGUAAAGGUCUGUCAAUCACACACAUUGGUAGCACUACUUUUUCAGUUCAAGGUUUUAAGUCACAAGCUGCACGUAAAUGCAUUACACUUAAAGAUAUACUGCUUGUUCCUUCUAUCACAAAGAAUUUAAUAAGUAUUUCUAAACUUACUGCUGAUAAUAACCUAUCUAUUGAAUUCUUUGGAUCUAUCUGUUAUGUGAAGGAUUCACUGAAGGGGAAGGUUCUGCUACAGGGUAUUGCUGAGAAAGGUCUAUACAAAUUGCUGAUCAAAUCAUCUUCAAAAUCAUCACUACAACCUACAUACACCUCUUUUCUUUCUCAAAGCUUAAUAAAUCAACAUUUGUCUAUGUUGUCUCUCUGUCAUUUCAGUUCUGCAACUGAUAAUACUUGUUUUGCAAAUUGUUUUCAUUCAAAUAAAAACUCUUGUACUGAUUCAUCAUCAAAUAAAAUGUCUCUAUUUCACAGAAGAUUUGGUCAUCCCAAUGCUCAAAGUUUCAUUCACUUACUUAAACUUAUGCAUCCUAACUUGUUAUCUACAAAUAUGCUUAAUUAAGUAACAAAGCAUUUUUGUAAAGCAUGUCAGCUGGGCAAAUUUCAUAGACUUCAUUUUCCCAUAACUGAUAUUAAGUCUAAAUCAGCACUAGAACUAAUUCAUACUGAUCUAUGGGGCCCUUCACCAAUAUGUUCUAGAGAAGGUUAUAGAUAUUAUAUUAGUUUUGUGGAUGAUCACACUAGAUACACCUGGAUAUACCUUCUGAAAUUAAAAUCAGAAGCUCUAGAAGUGUUCAAAUUGUUUAAACUUCAAGUUGAAAAUCAGUUUCAAACCACCAUCAAAGUUCUACAAUCUGACUGGGGGGGGGGGGGGAGAGUAUAGACCAUUCACUAUUUUUCUAAAUGAAUGUGGUAUUCUUUUCAGACACUCUUGUCCCUACACACAUCAUCAAAAUGACCUUGUUGAAAGGAAACACAGACGGAUUGUAGAAUUAGGCUUGACACUUCUAGCACAAGCUAAACUUACAUUCCAGUUUUGGUGGGAUGCUUUUCAUACCUCAGUUUAUCAUAUUAACAGACUUCCUACCUCUGCCCUUAAGAUGUCUAUUCCAUAUGAAAAAUUAUACAGACAUAAAGCUGAUUACAACAUGCUGAAAUGCUUUGGUUGUGCUUAUUAUCCAUACUUGAGAGAUUACAAUAAGCAUAAAUUUGAUUAUCAUACAACCAAGUGCAUCUUUCUUGGUUAUAGUCCUUUUCAUAAAGGUUUCAAGUGCUUUCAUCCCUCUGGUCGAGUGUAUAUUGCUAGACAUGUCAAUUUUGAUGAAACUUCAUAUCCAUUCUUUUCAGAUCCUGAUUUUCAUUCUUUGAAUAAAUCUCAGUCCAACUCUUAUGAUUCCAUUACACCUAUACAAGUAUUUCAAUUGUCUACCUUACCUGUCAUAUCAGAUUUUUUGAAUAACAGCAGUGAGUCUCUUUCUCAAGCAUAUACCAGUGGUGAUAACUUUCCUUCAGCAGUAGAUUCAACACAAGUACAUGUCUCAGAUCAAUAACUCUCAAACACAAACAAUGUCUCAGAUCAACAACCAAUUUUACCUGCACCUACAACAUUACCUUCUCCAGAUGAAAUUCCACAAACUCAACAUAUUCUAAACUCACCAUCUCUAAACCACCAUCCCAUGAUUACUAGAGGAAAGGCAGGUAUCUUUAAGCCAAAGCUAUAUACUGUAGCUUUGUUGCACAAAGAACCAGAAACUAUUCAGGAGGCUCUCAAUAAUGAAAGGUGGUUUCAGGCAAUGAAAGCUGAAUAUAAUGCAUUGAUAUCAAAUGGCACUUGGACAUUGGUACCAAGAACAGAAAAUCAUAAGCUUGUUGGCAACAAAUGGGUUUUCAGAAUUAAAACCAAUACUGAUGGAAGUGUUGAGAAAUAUAAGGCAAGAUUGGUUGCUAAAGGAUUUCAGCAGAUUGUGGGUGUUAACUACUUCGAGACUUUCAGUCCAGUGGUAAAAUCAGCAACAGUUAGAGUGAUCUUAAGUUUGGCAGUGAUGAACCAGUGGCAAAUACGACAAGUUGAUGUGAAUAAUGCAUUCUUAAAUGGAGAUCUAACUGAAGAAGUUUAUAUGAGACAGCCAGAAGGAUUUAUUGAUCCACAAAGAUCAGACUUUGUAUGUAAACUGCACAAAGCUCUUUAUGGCCUGAAACAGGCUCCUCGUGCUUGGUUUGACAAACUGAAAAGUAGUCAUAUACAAUGGGGAUUCAAGAAUUCUAAGUCUGACACAUCUCUAUUCUUGAGAAGAACCAAGAGCUCAAUCAUUAUAAUUCUGAUAUAUAAAGAUGAUAUAUUGAUUACAGGAUCAGAUUGUGUUGAGUUGGAAGAGUUUAUUAAGUUGUUCAGCUCCACAUUUGCAUUAAAGGAUCUGGGGAGACUAUCUUACUUUCUGGGUAUAGAAGUAUUAUAUGUUCAUGAUAGUAUAUACCUGUCACAAAAGAAGUAUAUCCGAGACUUGCUUGCAAAAGUUGACAUGCUUGAAUGCAAGGGAACAGACACACCAAUGAGUAGCAGUAAAGAUUACAGAUUGCAGAAGAGUGUUGAGGGAGAAAUGGGCUACUAUAUUGAAGAUCCCACUCAUUACAGAAGCAUAGGUGGAGGACUGCAGUAGUUGGUUUUAACUAGACCUGAGAUAGCUUAUUCUGUUCACAAACUAAGUCAGUAUGUGUCUUCACCAACUCUUCAACAUCUUAUGGCAUGUAAACGAGUGCUGAGAUAUUUGAAGGAAACACAAGAAUAUGGUCUGAGGUUUGUUAGAGAAGGUGACAUGAAGCUUAUAGCAUUUACAGAUGCUGAUUGGGGAAGUGAUCUUAAUGACAGAAGAUCAGUUGGUGCUUAUUGUGUAUACUUGGGAAACAAUUUAAUCUCAUGGUCCUCAAAGAAACAAUCAGUGGUUACCAAGUCAUCAGCUGAAAGUGAAUACAGGGCUCUUGCUGCAGCUAUUUCUGAAAUAACAUGGCUAAAGUCAUUGUUCCUUGAAAUUGGUUUAUGUUGUGAUGAAAAACCAAUCAUAUGGUGUGACAAUGUGAGUGCUGCUGAACUUGCUCGCAAUCCAGUAUUUCACUCAAGAACAAAACACAUAGAAAUUGAUCUACACUUUAUCAGAGACAAGGUUUUGGCUGGGGACUUGAAGAUACUAUAUGUUCCUAGUGCAGAGCAAAUAGCUGACAUAUUAACUAAGCCACUGAACUCUUCUCAAUUCAAUUACCUAAGGCUCAAACUCAAUGUGGAGCUAUGUCCCUUGAGUUUGAGGGGGGCUGUGAAGAGAGCUCACUGUGCUGAGUUAAAACAAGAAAGGAAGCCAACAGUCAAGAUUCUUCAGCAAUGCCACGUCAGUGCUGAAAAAUAUUUGAGAUGCUUGAAUAUGGUGAAAAUAGUAAUUUUUUUUAUUACCUUUACAAUUCUUGAAUUUUACAAAUAUAUAAAGAUGUUCAAGAUGCUGUACAAGGAAAGACAAUAUUUACAAUAAUUAUAAUAAUCAACUAGCCGUUGUGAUGAAUCCACCAUGACAUGUGCUGCUAUAUUUUCCAUCAAUUAUGGCUUAGACGAGAUGUUGGAAAUCCUCUUGCCAUGGCGGUACAAGCUACCAUAUUUGGAAUUGCUAGUGACUUGUCCUUAUCAGCCCCCCUCAAGCUAGGCAGUGACAUGCGAUGAACGCCUAGCUUGGUUCGUAGCGUGAGAAAUUGAUGCUUCCCCAAAGGUUUUGUAAGAGUGUCUGCAAUCUGAAGAUGAGAAGGCACAUAUCGUGUAAAUAAUGACCCUUUAGCAACCUUCUCACGAACAAAAUGCACGUCAAGCUCAAUAUGUUUCAUUCUAGCAUGAAACACUAGGUUCUUAGUCAUAUGAAUUGCACUCAAAUUGUCACAGAGAAGUGUGGGUGCUUUCGGAAUACAGAACCCAAUGUCAUUAAGUAGAUAUGUGAGCCAUGUUAACUCGGCAGCGGCAGAGGCCAUGGACCUAUAUUCGGCUUCGGCACUUGAGCGAGAGACUGUGUGUUGUUUCUUGGAGCUCCAAGAGAUACAAUUGCUUCCAAGAUAAAUGCAAAAUCCUGUUGUACUUCGUCUUGUUAUCGGACAUCCAGCCCAAUCGGAAUCGGAAAAGGCAUAGAGCUUGAGAGAGCUUUGAGACAAAAAUCUAAGGCCAAAGUCAAGGGUACCUUUAAGGUAACGAAGGAUCCUUUUCACGUCCUUGAGGUUGGCUUUUGUUGGCGCUUGGAAGUGUUGAGAGACUCGAUUGACAGCAAAUGUGAUAUCGGGCCUUGUGUAGGUGAGAUAUUGAAGGCUUCCAACAAGGCCUCUAUAUUCGGUCGCAUCCACAGGUUCAUUAUCAUCCGAACACGGUAUUGAUCGUAUAGCCAUCGGCGUGUUGAUAGGAGAACAAUCCUGCAUUCUUGCCUUGGAAAGAAGGUCUUUAGUGUACUUCGCUUGAGAUAGGAAGAUGCCAUGCGUGAAUUGUUGAACUUCAAUGCCUAGGAAGUAAUGUAGGUUGCCAAGAUCUUUUAAAGCAAACUUUGAGCUCAGAUUGUUGAUGAUUGAUUGAAUUUCCUUCUCAUUAUUUCCUGUAAUGAUCACAUCAUCAACAUAAAUUAAUAUAAGUAUAAGAAUGGAUUUGUUAUUAAAUAUAAAUAAAGAGCUAUCAGCUUUGCUACUGGAAAAUCCAAGAGAAAUUAAGGCUUGAGAAAGACACUCGAACCACGCUCUAGGUGCCUGUUUCAGGCCAUAGAGCGAUUUUUGAAGCUUGCAAACAUAUGUUGGAUGACAUGAAUUGCGAAACCCAGGAGGCUGCUCCAUGUAGACAAUCUCCUUUAAUAGUCCAUGAAGAAAAGCAUUGCGAACAUCCAGCUGCUUGAUAAGCCAUUUUGAGCUCACAGCAAUUGCAAGGAUAAGGCGAAUAGUUGUGGCCUUUAUAACGGGACUGAAGGUUUCAUCGAAGUCGACUCCUGGAACCUGUGUGAAUCCCUUGGCAACUAAUCGAGCUUUAUAGCGAUCAAUGGUUCCAUCUUCUCUGUAUUUGAUACGAUAUACCCACUUCGAUCCGAUGACAUUAACAUUGUUAGGCCGCGGCACAAGGACCCAUGUCUGAUUUUGAUGCAAUGCUUGAAGCUCUUCUUCCAUAGCUUGAGUCCAAAGCGGAUUCUUUAAGGCAGUUUUGAGUGUUUUGGGUUCAAUUUCUCUACUGUGGCUGGCUUGAAGGGCUAAUUUAGGAUUUUGUUUGAGUUUAUUGCGUGUCAUCAUGGGAUGAGUAUUUAGGCUUUGCGGUUCUGCAGCUGUGUUUGGUAUCUUAAGUUCCAUAAAUAAGCGAUUGGAUAUGUCAGGAUAAUCUGGUUGUGAAUUUGUGGCAGGGCUGUUGUCCGUAUUUAUGGACAAAUUAGGUGGUUCAGUUGCAUGUGAACUACUAGAAUUUGAAUCAUUUGUUGUCAAAGGUUGCAUUGCAUGUGGAGACUCCAAAAUAUUUGGAAUUGCUUCUGACUUGUCGUGUGGAGUUGCUGAAUUCAAAUUGUCCUCUAAAUUGUCUUGUGGGAAAUCUGAAAUAAUUGGAGAAGUGGCAUUUGAGUUGUUGUCCAAGUUUACGUCCUUGUGGGGCAUGAAUUGCACAUGUGGUGUUGAUAUUGUAGCGCCUUUACAAUUGUUUACUUUGACAGCACGUGAAUCAUUAAGAUUCUCACAAUUGGGAGAAUUCUUUGGGAGCCACUCAUCUUGUUGAGGGAAGGUGGUCAAUGUACUAUGUUCCUGCACAUUAAAAAAUGAUGUUAAUUUUUUGAAUGGUAAAUAAUUUUCAUCAAAUACAACAUGCCUUGAUAUAUAUACACGAUUAGUCUCAGGUUGUAGACAACGAUAUCCUUUAUGGAGGGGACUAUAGCCUAUGAAAACACAUGGAUAUGAUUUUUUAUCAAAUUUUGUUUUACUGUAAUCCCGAAGAUAAGGAAAACAUCUACAACCUAGGACUUUUAACCCUCUAUAGUCCGGUAAUUUUUUGAAAAGAAUUUCAUAAGGGCUUUUAUUUUUUAAAGGUGAAAGAGGCAGCCUGUUAAUGAUAUAAGUGGCUGCAAGAAAAGAAUCCACCCAUAAUUUGAGUGGCAAAGAAGCAUGAAACAUCAUCGUCAAGGCUGUCUCAUUGAUGUGCCUAUGCUUUCUGUCAGCAACACCAUUUUGCUCCGGAGUGUAUGGACAAGAAAUUUAUCUUGUGAUGCCGCAAUUUUCAAGAUGUUUGAUGAAGGCCGUAGAAUUAAAUUCCCCUCCUCCAUCGCUUUGAAAUAUUGUGAUCUUUUUGUCCAAUUGCUUUUCAACUUGUUUCUGAAAUUUCAAGAAGCACUCCAAGAAAUCAGAUUUUUGUUUUAAGGGAUAUAACCAACUAAAACGUGAGUAAUCAUCUACAAAUAAUACAUAGUAACGAAAAUGUUGAGUAGAAGUAAUGGGAGCUGGACCCCAUAUAUCACAAUGCACUUUUUGUAAAGGAAAAUCUGCUUUAUUAUUAGAUAAAUUAAAAGAUUUCCUACAACUCUUGCCUAAUUGGCAAGAAACACAAAUACGGGGUUCUUUAGACCAACUAGAAAAGUCAAUAAAAUUAUUGCGUUUUAAGGCCUCCGAGAUUUUAGGAUUGGCAUGGCCAAGCCUCUUGUGCCAUAAACUAAAACCGCUAGAUUCUCCUUGAAUUGCGUUGAAGGCAGCAUGAAAGUCUCCUUCCAAUGUGUAUAGCUUCCCUUGCUUACUCCCCUUUGCCAGAACCUUGUUUUCCUUGCUCUUCACAAUAAAACCAUCAGUGUUAAAUUCAAAAACACAUUUAAUAUCAUCAAUGAGUUGUCCAACUGAUAAGAGAUUCUUUUUGAGUUUUGGAACAACUAAAAUAUUAUUUAAGUGUAAAGAACCAUGAUUUGUAUUUAAAGAAGCAGAACCAAUAUGUGAAAUAUUUAAAUCUUGACCAUUGCCGACAAUUAUUUUGUCAUUACCUCUAUACGGCCUUACAUGAUCAAGAUUACCUGUGUUAUUUGUCAUGUGUGAUGUUGCUCCAGAGUCCACAUAGAACUGUUGAUCAUUAUUUUCUUGAAGAUUCAUCGCAGCUAGGGCCUGUGGAUCCUCUUCAUUGUCAUAGUCGUAUCUGUACCAACAUUCAGCAGCACUAUGUUUGCGUUUGUGACAGAUUUGGCAAAUAACUUCUUCAUCUGAGGUAUUAUUUUCUUUAUUUGGUUUUUGAGGCUGCUGUUGUGGUUUACGGUUGUUGCCAUUGUUGUAGUUGUUGGGGGUAAUUUCUACCACCUGAGUUGCGUUGAGAUCCUUUGCCUCGGUAUGGAGGUCUUCCACCUCUUUGAUUUCUGCCUCUUCCACGUUGACCAAAGAAGGCUUGGUUUUGAUUUGUGCCAAGUCUAGCUUCUUCAUCUUUUUCUACGAUCACAGUAUGUUCAUGGUUUUGGAGAGCAUUGAUGAAUUGUUUAAGGCUGGGAUAUGGAGGUUUAGUGAGCAUUGCAGUUUUGAAGUCAGCAUAUUUGGGACCUAAGGCUCUUGCAAUUUGAAAAAUCUUGUCAUCAUCGUUCAUUGGUUUUCCAAUGGCUGCCAACUUGUCGCAAAGGCCCUUGAAUUUCUUAAGAAAUUCAUCAAGCUUGGAAGAUCCUUUCUUUAGAGAAUAAAGGCAAUCUUUUAGCCAUGUUUCUUGCUCCUUAGUUGCAGGCAGCAUGUUUUCUUCAACGGUGAGCCAGAUUUCUCGAGCCGUUUGCACGCCGAUAACCAUGCUCAACACGUCUUCGUUCAUCAUACUUCUGAGCCAAGUUGUGAGAAGUCCAUUAUUUUUCCACAUGAGAAAAUCUGGAUUGUUUAUCUCCUUCCCAUCUUGCUCUAUCAUCUUCGGUGGAGUCUUAACAUCAACUAUAUGGUGAUUUAGCCCAAGGGUAAAUAUAAGUGGUUGAACUUGAGAACUCCAAAUAAGAUAAUUUUCAGUGUUGAGUUUUAUUGGAACCAAACUCGAACACUGAUGGAAAGAUUGAAGGGAUAGGGAUGGUUCUGAAUUUGAACUUGAAGCCAUUAGGCUCUGAUACCAUGAAAAAUAUUUGAGAUGCUUGAAUAUGGUGAAAAUAGUAAUUGUUUUUAUUACCUUUACAAUUCUUGAAUUUUACAAAUAUAUAAAGACGUUCAAGAUGCUGUACAAGGAAAGACAAUAUUUACAAUAAUUAUAAUAAUCAACUAGCCGUUGUGAUGAAUCCACCAUGACAUGUGCUGCUAUAUUUUCCAUCAAUUAUGGCUUAGACGAGAUGUUGGAAAUCCUCUUGCCAUGGCGGUACAAGCUACCAUAUUUGGAAUUGCUAGUGACUUGUCCUUAUCAAGUGCUGAGUCAGCUGAUUCUGUUAAGGAUUGUUGAAAGCUCACGUGACUAUUAGUUAGUUAAUUAGCUUUUAGUUAGUGAUGCAGGAUUCUGAUUGGUUGAUUAAUUGCAAUGCUUAUUUGAUCAAUUGUAGCUUGGAAAUAAACUGUAUAAAACAGAGUCUGUAACAAUUGCUUCUAUGAAAAAAAUAAAAAAAUAAAAAAAAUAUUCCAGAGAGUUCAUCUAUUUUCUCAGUAACCAAACAAGCAUUUAGCUUAAUUUGCUAUUAUUUUACACGAAUCUACAUUUUCUGGGAGGAAUUUGAAUAUAAAAAUUAAUAGGAAGCUAAUAAAAAUAUGCAGUUUUUAUUCGAACAAAAUUAAUAUGAAUCAAGAAACAGAGCAUAACAGGGUAGUUGCAACUAAUAACACACAAAUUAACUCGUAAAAGUGACCUAACAAGCAUCAAAAUCUAAGGAUUAAAGCACCAAUCAGAUAUUGUGAACAAAACUUUUGUUUUAUAAUCAUGGAAAUUUGAGAUUACAUCAGCUAUAUGAUCAAUGAAAGAUAAGAAGCUUAUGGAGUAAAAACAACAGAAAUUAAAAUGAGUUUAUGUCAUGCACCGCUGCCAUGCACCGCUUGGAGAAAAAAAAAAAAAAGAAGGGAAGCCAAACGUGGCAAUCUUCAAAAGCAACAGCCAGCUGCAUGUUUUAUCAUUUCAGCUGCCUGCUUCACCUAUUUUCUUCAUUAAUUUAGUCACCAAUCGGCUUAAUCAAUUACCUUGUCAUCUUGCUCAACUCGGUGGCUAUAUAAAGCACAAAUGUUGAGAGUGCUUUCAUUUUAUACAUCUAAAGAAUUGAGAGCAAAACCGAGAGAAGAAAAGAAGUAAAACCGAGAGAAAAGAGAAGAGAAAAGAGAAGGAAAAAAAAGAAAAAGAAACGAAGAAAAGAAAUAGAAAGAAGCUGAGUGUGGGAGAUGAAGUGGAAUUAAGAGGAAAUAUUACGGAAAUUAAAACUGGACAUUUAGAUUUAUAUUAAGUGAGUUAAUGGGUAAUAGAUUUAUGAAAUCUAAGUAGUUACGAUUUAAUUUACGUUAUACGUACAAGUUUUUAUAUUUGUUCUAACUAUUAAUCUUUGAAUCCCGUAUUCUAGGAGAAAUCCACGAGUCCAGAGACUCACAACAGCCCCAACGAACCUCAUAGUGAAACAAGAUCUGUGAGUGGAUAUUAUUAUUACUAUUAUGUGUUCCGUGAAGCAUUUAUGUUUGAUAUUAUGAUUUUAUAUCAUGCUAUGAUUACAUGUACACAUAUUAUAUGUUUGAUUGAGUUAUGAGAUGUGAUUGCUAGUCACCAUAUAUGUACCCUUCCCCAUAGGCUAUGCGCAUGCGUAUUGAGAGUUAUGUUACUCUACCCAUGCGAGAUAGUUUAAUUACGCUGGGUAUUGAGAGGAUUUUCCCCCGCUCUACUCAUGCAAUGAGGAUCCUGGCGAGUAUUGAGAGUUAUUUUUCCUGGGUACUCUUUGGUGCAGUUUUGUGAUGUAUGUAUGUAUGAAUUACAUGUCUGCUAAUGUAUGAUGUUCAGUGUGGAGUUAAAUCACAUAAUUAUGCAUGAGCACCAGUACACUACUUUAUUAUUAUAUUUAUUAUUUUUAAUAUGUAAUUACAUCCACUCACUGAGCCGCAAGCUCACUAUUUUUCUAUUUACCCACUUCCUCCCAGGUUUCUGCAGGAUUUCGUGCAGACCAAUUUCUAGUCAGUUGAGGUUGGGCCACGAGACACAUUGCUGAAUAACUUGCAUUUUGAGCACGUUUAUGUUGCUUAUGUUUAUAUAUGUGUAAUUUUUGUGUGAGUGUGUAUAGUGAGACAUGAACUAUGCAAGUUUUGAAUGUAUAUUUUCGGAUGAGACACAAAGUUUGUUAUAUGUUUAUAUCAGACCACGAGUUUUAGUUAUUAGUCCACAUGAUUCGCCUCAGAUCCGACAUAUAAGUCGGGGCGGGUCGUGUCAGUUUAUGUAGCAUUGACAGGCCUGUAUGGUGUCGCCAGUGCGGUGACGCCAUUGGCGUCAGUGCGAGUGAAUUUUGGGAGACCUCCGGCUCCGGUUCCAUUGACUUUGCAUUAAAUUUGGUAAUUAUAUUUUUUAAUAUAAAGUGUUAAAAUAUUCCAUCUAGCGGAAAAUAGAAAACAAAUUGCGAAUGAAAUUAGAAUCCAAAUUUCAUUGCUAUCAUUUGAUAUAGAGGCAUUUCAAGUAAACUUUGGUCAUUUUUCAUUACCCAUGAGAGUGAGAACAGAGAACUCGAGUUAUCAUAUUGAAAAAUGCUAAAGAGAGUUGACAGAAUUUAAAUGCUUACAAAACAAUAAUUAAUUAAUCGGUGUUAGUUUAUCGUGUUUGCAGCUAUAUUUUAUUGGAAACCUUAAAAAAGAAAUGGAAUCUUUCAGUUCAUAAUGUAUUAUUAUAUUUAUUCCACUCUUGUUUAUGACAAUUUGCAUCUGAGCCAGCUGGAAUGCUAUAGACUGAAAAAAUUAACAAUGUUUUCUGAGGAUGACUGACCAAGUCAAAGUCUUUGAGGCGCACAAUUAAUCUAACCGGGGCGAGCAGAAAUUACUGUAUUUAUAAAAUUUUGAUUCACUAGUUUCAAGUGAAAGAAAUAUUAAAAUAUAUAUCAUUCGCCUAAGAUGAGGGAGCCUCUAACGAUUAUUAAAUCAUUUUAAGCAUUUAUGUAUGACUAUUACAUUUAAUUAAUUGUAUUGCAUAAUUUGCAUAGGCUCCUCCACUUUGAGGCAGUUACUUGGGUUCAAAUUUGCAGUUGCAGAGCACCAAAGUUUGCUUUUUCGAUCUACUUGGAUUUUUCUUUGUUGAUCAUGUAAGUUAUACAUACAGCACUGCAAAAUGCCUCUACAAUAUUGCCAGUUUUCGUAUAACAUGUCCUUAGGAGGACUCUGUGUACAUAAAUAUGUUGUUCGGUUAAUGUCGGUCUCGUUUAAUUGUAAUUCACUGUAGAUCCAAAAUUGUAAACUAUUGUUUCUUUAGCCUGAACUUGUGAACCAACUGAUUUGAUCAUCAGGUCUCAAGACUUGGAAGCAGAGGAAGAUCUUAAAAGAAGGCUUCUGCACGGAGAAGGUAGGCCCAGUGAUGGAAAAAACUCAUCAGUUGUGUCCGUAACCGGAAGAUCCGGAACGCAAGCAGUAAAGACAAGUUUUCUUCAGCUGGAAAAGAUGAGAAAUUAUGCAGCAAAUUACAGAAUCGAUUUACCAUGGUAUGUGAUUUCAAUAUUAUGGGAUCCUUUGUACUUCUACACUCUGGUGAUCAAUGAUGAAAAGCAGUGCAUUGAAAUGGACUUUUCUUUGGCUUCCUUGGUGAUUGAACUCCGCUUCUACUUUGAUUUGGCCAAGUUGAUCCACAGUUCGUUUGUGAUUUGUGUUGAAUAUUUUGAAAAUAGAAAGAUAAGCGUGUGGCUGAUGUUCGCAUGGCUCAUUGACUUUGUGUCCAGUAUAAUAUUUACCCAGGUGCGUAAUAGAUCUGAAUUUAAUUUAUUUAGUUGUCUAAUAUUUCAAUAUCAUUUAUUUGAUUACCACUACUUCAAAUUCAUAAAACAACAUCCAGAUGGUGGUGGGAAUAACGGACAUUCUGUACUCGAGGAAUUUCUUUCUGUUUCAAUAUUUGCUGAAGGUUAUUCGAACCUACCACCUGCUUACAGAAGCAACAGGGUUUCAGGGAUAUUUGGUGAAUCUAGAUGGGCCAUUGUUGCGUUCAAUGUUCUUCUUUACAUGCACGGCAGUUACGUAAGUCAAAAGUACUAUCAUUUAUGUAAGUCAAUUUAUAAUAAAACCCUUCUCAGGCAAAAAGAAAAAUUAUAAUAGAACCAGUACAUAUCUGUGUUCACAUUCAUGCAUCCUGCUUUCUUCCUUCCUAAUUUUGAUAAAUGAAUUCUUUUAGUCCUUAAGAUUCGAGUUAAUUAUUCAGUUACUACUGUCGCAUAUAUUGUCAGACAGAAGUAAUGACAGAGACAUUUUUGUGUAAUUCUUAAAAAUAUGGAGAUUAACUGAAUAAUUAACCCAAGCACUCGUGAAUGAAGGGAAAUUGACACUCGAAGCUUUUCUACUUUCUCAACCGCGCAUGUUUCUAAUCGAGUGGUCCUUUAGGUAUUUGGUGCCUUGUGGUACUUUUUUGCCAUAAACAAAGCGACCGCAUGCUGGAUGGAUACCUGCAUGAAGAAUACUGGUUGCUGGGGCGUCUUAAACAUUGAUGCCUAUUGUGAGGGCCGUUCAGGAGACUAUAAGUUUCUAAACGAUGUUUGAUCUGUAAAGACGGGAAACUCAACAAACAAUUUUUAUGGCUUAUAUGGUGAUGCUUUUCAGUUAGGAAUUGUGGGGUUGACCGAUGUUCCAAUGAAAAUCUUGCAUUGUUUACUAUGGGGACUGCAAAAUCUCAGGUUUGUGCCUUCCAUUGUCGUUACUGUGUGAUGUGAGGUCAGCCGUUAAUAACUUCGAAAAUUGUGAGUUCAUUGAAUUGCUUUUUGCAGUGCUUUUGGUCAGAGCCUCCAACCAAGUAACGAUUUCUGGGAAAUUAUCUUCGCAAUUUGCAUGACCAACUAUGGCAUCGUUCUGUUUGUCUUCUUAAUUGGAAAGAUGCAGGUUCACAUAUAUAAAUUCUAUAUCGUAAUUGUUAUGACAUAUGAUGAUAUAAUAAAUUAUCAUGUGUUAAUUAAUGACCGGCAUCUUACCAUCUCGCUGUUACAUAAAGAAAUAUUUUAGGGCUGUGAGAAUGCCAUGUCAAUUAGAAUUAAUACAAAUUUUGUAUCCCAAUUCCUUAUAAAAUUAGCGUUACUCAUAAUUUUCUGUUUACGUCUAUAGAUUUGAAGAUUGAUGCACAAUUCAAUUAUUGACUCUGUUUCAUUUGAAAUAUCGGAUACAUAAAUAUAUAUGCAGUCUGACACAGAAAGAUCACAAAAGAUCAAACAGAUGUGGGAGGAGAUAAAGCAAUGGCAGCACUUUAAGGAUAUAUCUAAUAAAGUUCAAGAUCAAAUAAGGAAAGACAAGCGCAACAACUGGGAAGAAACCAAAGGAGUUGACAUAGAUAAUUUGGUGAAUAAUCUCCCUAAGGACACUGGAAAAAAAAUAAAACGCGAUCUCGGCCGAAAGCUGCUCAAGAAUGUGAGUUCUCAUCAUCCCUCUUUAUAAUUAUAAUAAUUGAUCACUUUUCUAUCCUGCCCGCUCUGAAGUUCAAAUGUUUCAAUGUUUCAAUCAUUUUCAUUCUUAACCUGAUCGGGCGAGCCAAAUUAAUCCUUCGUUACAUUAAAAUUACAGAUUCGUCUUAUUUUUUUCCCUCUUUGAUUGGUACUCCUUCUGAAUCCAAGCAUCGAACCUAAGUCAUACCUCAUUGAAUUUCAUGGGCUUAACUAACACAUGGUCAAAAGCUAGCUAGUUCGUAGUCAGGUUGAGAUUUGCCUCAAGGUUAAAUACUUUAUUCAUGAUUUACUCUUAGCUGACAUGCAAUGUUUUACAUACACAGAGAGAUAGAGAUAGUCAUUCUCAAAUGCACGCCCUCAUUUUUUUUAAUAUGAAUACUCUGUUAACAGAGUUAAUUUUCAAUAAAUUGUAAACCCAUAAUAUUAAAAAUUGACUUUAUUAAAUUGCAUAGUUUAAAUAUGUGUCCGUAAGAAAAAAAAAAAAAAGAAAGCACCCGCACUUAAGAAUUAUUAAUAUAUAAUAUGGACGCCCUCAUUUUUUUAACAAAGACUCUGCCUGUAUAGUCGUGAUUACUCUGUUUUCUGGAUGGGGCACUGUUUUAUUUCAAGGAGUGGGUGUUUUAAGCAAUCCUUGGAGUACUGUCAGAAUUUUUGUAGUUUGUCUCAGAGCUAAGUAGCUUUGUUUUUUGGGCUUUCCAGCAUUUGCAGCAAAAUUAUCCUUGGCCCAGCAGUCCAGUACUCCUCCACUCACAGCUUGCAUAUUGGCUGGCUGUUUCUUCUCCUUUAUUAUCAUUUUUAUUUGCCUCGACCUUACUUAGGUUUGAUCUAUAUUGAUAAUCUUGCUAAGGAUAUGAUAUGACUAGGUGUGGUUUAAGUAUAAGUGAAUAAGACAGUCACCUAAGACCCUAUUGUGAGAAGGCCUCAUUUUUUGAGUAUUUAAUCAAUAAUUCUUUAACUAAUAAAUAUUUUUUUAAAUUACGUAUUAUAGAAAAGUCUAUUAGACAUCUUUUUAAUUAAUAAUUAUCACAUAAUUAAGAUUUAUUUAUUUUAAUAGAAAAUCUAUAUUUGGUAACCUUAUUGUUAAAGAGAUAUAAUUAAUAAUAUUGUCUAACCAUUAAUUCAUUUAUUAUUAGUUUUGCAAGAAAAAUAAAUAAAUUCUUUUCCUUUUUAGUUUCUAAAAAAAAAAACUUAAUUAUUUAAUGUUAGAAUCUUUGACUUUGAGUAUUCCUUUUAAUUUCUAUUAAAAACCUUAUAAUCUAAAAAAUUAUAGAUGAAAAAGUUUCUGGCUCUCUUCUCUACAAAGAAAAUUAUUGUAUGCGUUAGUUCAUUUAAAAAGAAAAAAUAAGUUUCCUGAAAUAGAAUGUUCAUAUCCAUUAUGUGAUCUUUAAUUCACCAUCUCAAUCGUCUAUAUACUAUUCUAAAUAUUCUAUUUGAAAAUAAUAUUGUUCUUAUUUACUUGUUUGUUAAAUUCUAAUGGAAGUAAACUUUUACGUUCUAUUUUUGAAAUAAUUUAGGAUGUUCUUGAUUAUUGUUGAAAUUUAAAAACUAAAGAUGAAAUGGUUUUGAGCUCUUUUAUUAUUAUUAUUUUUUCAGUAUUGAAGUUGCUAAAUAAAAAGAGACCUCUUAAAAAUGUUCACCUAAGGCCUUAGAUAUUCUAAAGCCAGCCUUGGUUCUGAUCCACUUGAGAAUGAUUAAUAUAUAAUAUGGACGCCCUCAUUUUUUUAAUAAGAAUAUGCUCUUAAACCGUGCAGUUUAAGAGAGUUAAAAACUAUAUGCUCUUAAACUGUGCAGUUUAAGAGAGUUAAAAUCUAACUCUCUUAAACCUCAUGAUUUAAAAGCGUUUUUGUAUGAAAAAAAUGAGUGCGCUCACACUAGAGAAGAACUCUUGGGUGUGUGUGUGUAUAACUUUUUAUAAAUGUAUUUUUAAGGUCACAUGACGAGGUGGGCUUUCAUUCUUAUAGCUAAUCUUUGUUAUCUCGAUUUACCCAUGUAAUGGUUGGAUAUAUUUAUACUCUAAUUCUCAUUCUUGGAUAUGUGUAAAUAUAUAUGAAGGUAAAAGAGUUUCAAAAUUGGAGCGAAACAUCAUUAGAGGAACUAUGUGAUUGUCUGAAGCCAGUGUUCUUUAUUGAACGUACUCGAAUAAUUCGAGUAGGUGAUCCAAUUGAUGAGAUGCUCUUCGUGUUGAAUGGCAAGCUUUGGACUUACUCAUAUGACUUCAUGAAUGUAACAACAACUGCCUCUAUGUUGAUCCAUCGUCGUAGCCGGGAGAAUCUUCUAGAAGAUGGUGAUUUUUGCGGACAAGAACUUAUAGCUUGGUCUCAAAAUGAAAGCUCAUCACCCCACCUCCCUAUCUCAACCAGAACCAUUCAGGCGCUUACUAACGUUGAAGCUUUUACUCUUAUGGCCGACGACUUGAAACGUGUAUCAUUACUUCGACAUUUUGAUCGGGCAGCUCUUUUGUUACAAUCACGCUGGCGUUUCAAAAGGUUGUUGCGUGCUAGAAGGAAUCCAGAGAAACGAUCACGCCUGGAAUCACUAAUGUAUAAAUUUAUAUAGAGAUACAUAUAUACGUUUGUUGCAGCAUUAUAAUUAGUCCCGAUUAUGUAAAAGCAAGUACAGAAAGCCAUUUAAAUAUGGGAAACCAAGUAAAACGUAAAAAGGAUUAAAUAAAUGACACCAAUCCCCGGCAACGGCGCCAAAAUUUGAUGGUUGUCGAAGCCAACAAAAAUAAAUUCCUACUCUAAAUAAAUUGUGUAUAGUAAUUGAGCAGGGUCGUGUCCACAGAGAUCGGUAAUUAUUUAAAUCCUUUUGAAACGUAAAACGUAAAAUGGGGGAAUUGUUGACAAUAAUAAAAAUCAAAUUAAAAAUAACAAGAAUGCAAAUUAAAGUUGUAAUUCAAAUUGGAGAAAGCUCUGGUUGAAGGAAUUAACUCAGCUUGAUUCGACUACUGAUCAUUGAUUCAAAUAUAGAUUAUUAUUACUUAUGAAUAGACCGGUUAUAGCUAUUGAGACCCUCUAAUAGCCAAUCUCUCCUUAACUAGUCGAUAACCAAGGUACGACCGUUGGAUAUUUCCCUAAUCAAUAGACAACCCUAGAUACGAUCAUAGGAUUUAAUCAAUUGACAGCCUGAAAAACUAAAGAGACCCAAAUCCUAAUCAACACAUAUGAUAAUUCAUUUAAAUUAGAUUGUUUAUUCUCACAACACAACUCUCUGCUAUGUUAUUUGUCACAAACAUUAAAUUCUUCAUACGAUGAAUCCUUUAAUUGACAAUAGAUUAAGUUGAUAAUUAAAUAGUGGCCAAUUACCUAAUUAACAAACAUUAUCAUGAAACUAAUUCAGAGAAUAAACAAAUACCCAAAAAGUAAUAAAACAAUUAAAGCAUAAGAAAGAUCUCACAGUAGUGAUGAAUCAAAGCUUCAUUAACCUUCAACCAGAAAAAUAAGUUUAGUUCUUCAUAGAGAGAAGAGAAAAAUUAGAUCUAGGGUUUCUUUCUUUUUCUCCAAUCAAAAUCCCCCUUUUUCACAAUAGAUUCCUCCCUUAAAUACUUUCUCUCUCUUCUCUUUUAGAGUUCUAUUUAAAAUAAAAUACUAAUAUUUGAAAUAUUAAAUUCGUAAUUAAAAAAAUAGCCAAAAAUACAAAACACGUUAAACUAAAAACUACAGGUCCGCAGUUGACAGCACGCGCCCACGCCUUAUCAAAAAAGUUCUUCUGCCGCUCAUAAUUUCUCCAAGAGAACAAUCAUCCUUAAACAUCAUCUUAUAGCUCAAUUUUAUCACCAAUCAAUAGAAUUGCACAGGUCCGCAGUUGACAGCACGCGCCCACGCCUUAUCAAAAAAGUUCUUCUGCCGCUCAUAAUUUCUCCAAGAGAACAAUCAUCCUUAAACAUCAUCUUAUAGCUCAAUUUUAUCACCAAUCAAUAGAAUUGCACCUACAAUAGUAAAACACAAGUAAAUCAUCAUUAUUAAGUGCAAAACAUCGAUAUUAAGGGAAGUAAAUAAUGCAAAACUAGUGCAUAAAUUGCACUCUAACAAAUUCCCCCACACCAAGAUGAUGCUUGUCCUCAAGCAUAUAACUCAAGACUAAUCCAAAAUCUCCACUCAAUUCUCAUCUCAGCUCAUCCAAAAAUAAUUUUAAGCAAGCAUACCUCAAGAAAUUAAGUCGAUUAACAUUCGAGAGACAAAGAUUUUAAAGCAUAGAAUCUCAUAAGAUAGAAUAAGAACAUUCAACCACCAAGAAGAUCCAUUCAAAAUUCAAGUGCAACAAGAUUUAAUAGCCCUCUCAAUGACUUCACUCCAUGCACUCAAAGUGUUUAGGGUAUCAUUUAUGCACUCAAAUCAAAUCAAAGAAUGCUAUUACCAUAAGCUUGCUCAUAUAUCACAUCUCAAUCCACAAAACAUGAAUAAAAUGCAAAAAUCUAAGGGUCUUAAAAGGGUUGUAAUGGGGUUAAAUAGGUUAAAUGAAAAAGAAAGGUCUAUGAAAGAAAAAGAGAUCAAAAUGAGAAGAAUGAACUCAUUGAACGAACUUUAUGAUAUCGAAACGCUUAUUUCUACUCAAGUCACCAAGAAUGUAAACAUUUUUUUUUCUUCUUUUUCUCUUUUUUUUUUUGAUUUUUCUUUUUCUUUUUUUUUUCUUUUUCCUUUUUUUUUAUUUUUUUUUUUUGUUUUUUGUUUUUUGUUUUUGAAUCAAACAAAAGAAACGAACCUUGCACAAUUUAAUUCAAGCAUAAUGCUUGUUGAUCUAAUUGAGAAACUUUAAUACAAGGUAGAAAAAGCAACAAAAUAUAUCCACACAAUGAGUCCAAAAAUCUCCUUAAAUUGAGGCUCAAAAAGAAGAAAAAUGGUUAAGUAGACGGAGAGAAUUAGAUGGGUAAUGGUUAAGUAGACGGAGAGAAUUAGAUGGGUAAUGGUUAAGGCUCAAACAAAGGUAGCAAAUAAAGGUCUUCGGGUAGAGAAAAAGGAAAAUGCGAGAAUAGAAAAAUGGUAAAUGGUUUGCCUUUAUCAUUUUAAUGCAUAAAAUCCCGUAAUGUGGCUUCAACAUGCAUAACAAAGCAAGUUCUAGAAUAAACAAACUAGGAUUGAUAUUCACAUAACAAAAAUAAUUAGAGCAAAGUGGUUGCUCAUAGGCUCAAAUCCUCACAAAGUUGGUAAAUUUGCCAUCAAAUCAUGUACACUCUUCAAAUGAAUCAACCAUCAAUAGUGGUGUAGAAUGAGAAGAAGGUAUGAGUGAGAUAUAAAAGGAAAGGUAAAAAGGAUAAUAAGGGAGAAAGAUGUAUGUAUUAAAAAAAUGAAAGAUAAAAUGUGAGUGAUGAAAGAGUAUGAUAGAGAAAAAAAAAUAGAUGUAAAUAAUUUGAGAUAGAUGGGAAAAGAGUAGUGAGAGAGAAAGGAAAAGAAAAUUAAUAAUAUAUGAAGCAUACUAACUCCAAAAUCAUUUAAGGAUGAGUAGAGUGAAAAUAGAUGAGCAGAGUGAAAAUAAUAAUUCCAGACAUCAAUAAUGCAAAAAUCCCUCCCCCACACCAAGAACUUACAUUGUCCCCAAUGUAAGAUAAUCAAAACUCACAUAAAAAUUAAAUCGUAAGGAUAAAAGAUUAAAGGCAAAAACUUCCCUGAAUUGUGAGCUUUGAUCCUCAUAACGUCUAUGGGCUUGGCGGAAAUGGUGAGAUAGUUGCGCACAGGCUGCUCGGUGAAGGCUAGAGCGGCUGUUGCUGCCAAAAAAAUGUUUUUUUUUUUUUUUUUUUUUUUUUUUUUUUAGUGAUGAAUCACUUGAGACACUAAAACUUUCAGAAGUACUUUUCUAAUAAGCACGUAGGCACGCCUUAAAACCAUUUUACUUUAAAAAUCACAGAAGUACUUAUUAGUUAAGACGUGGGCACGCCUUAUCAAAAAUUUUCUUCUGACCAAAAUAAGCAAACACAUUAUUUAAAAAAAUAUGAAUCAAAAUUAAAAGAAGAUAUAACAAAAACCAAAAUAAAUAAAUCAUUUGGGUUGCCUCCCAAAAAGCGCCUUUGUUUUAUGUCUUUGGCUAGACACAUUUAUGCAUCAAUCUCCAUAAUUGGGACUCUCGAGAGCCACAUCCUCCACAAUAUUCACCAAAAAACCUUCAUAAAAAGGUUUUAAGCGAUGACCAUUAACCUUAAAAACUUUGUCAGAGGUCGGACUCCGAAUCUCAACUGCACCAUGAGGAAAAACAUUAGUAACAAUAAAAGGUCCAACCCAGCAAGAACGUAAUUUACCCGGAAAAAGUUUAAGCUUAGAAUGAAAAAGAAGAACUUUUUGACCAACAGAGAACUCAUUUCUCAAAAUCAUUCUAUCAUGACAUGUCUUCGUUUUUUCCUUGUAAAUAACUUCCUGCACUAUAGGGUUAAUAACAUCCACAGAAAAUACCGAAUGUUCCUCACUAGGAUAUUUCAUGGCAUCAUUCAUAUUGAAUUCUAUAACCUCUCCAUCAAACUCCAUAGUAAGAGUCUCUUUAUGUACAUCCAUUUUAGUCCUAGCAGUCUUAAGAAAAGGUCUUCCUAGCAAAAUUGGGACAGAAUUAGAGAAGUUAUCCUCUUCCAUAUCAAGUACAUAAAAAUCAGCAGGAAAAACCAACUCAUUAACUUGUACUAGGACAUCUUCUAAUACCCCAUCAGGAUAUGCAUUAGACCUAUCAGCUAGUUGAAUUAUCACGCCAGUUUCUUUUAAUGGACCAACAUUCAAAGAUGAAUAAAUGGAACGAGGCAUGACAUUAAUAGAAGCUCCUAGAUCUAACAUAGCCUUUUCAACUUUGACAUUACCAAUUUUGCAAGGGAUAGUAAACAUACCUGGAUCCUUGCACUUAGGAGGUAGUUUCUUUUGGAGAACUGCUGAAACAUUCUCCCCCAUAUGAACCUUUUCAUCUCCUCUUAAUUUUCUCUUAGAGGUGCAAGGUGGUGACUUUUUUGGAGAAGAACUUAUUGGUUGGGCUGAGAGUGAGCACUCUUCCAAUUUGCCUAGCUCAACCAGAACUAUUCAAGCGCUUAGUGAGGUUGAAGCCUUUGUUCUUAUGGCAGAUGACUUGAAACAUGUAUUCUUACUUAGACAUUGUGACCGGGCAGCUCUUUUGUUACAAUCACGCUGGCGUUUCAGAAAGCUUUUGCGUGAUAGGAGGGCUAAGCAAAAAUCAAUCUUGAGAAGAAUGCGGAAUUGCGCAGCAGUACUACAGACUAUAGAAUAACAAUUUGAGACUGGAUUUGAAAUUAUUAUUUGUAUGAAUACUACCAAAAUGAAAAUAGGUGGUAAAAGCUGAAAAAUUAAGGGGAAAAUUGUCGAUCUCCCUUGUUCGAUUAUGCAGUCAACAAGAUCAGAAACAGUAAUCGCCAAGUUCGAUUUGGAAAUCUUAUCCAACCAAUGGUACCUUUUUCUUUUUUCUUUUUUUCCCUGAAUCAAGGACUUCACGCUUCGUUGAUGGGGAUACCAUUCCUAAAAUUAAAAGAUAUUGACCAUUACUAUCUCAAACAACAAUUAAUUAUACAUUGCCAGCACGCAAAAAUGAGCGACAAACUUCUUCAUUAACUAAUCUAUUUGAACAACUGCAUUUCUAAGCAUAUAUAUGAUCAUUUCAGAUGAAAAUAGUUUAAAGUGGUUAUAGAAGAACCGGUAGAUCACAGUUGAGAGAGUGAAGCAGAUCAUCAGGGGGCAAUCUUAAGUGUGUCACGCGGGUAGAGUGAUGUUUUGCGAAUGUUGUUGAGAUCGCAGAAAAGCAUCACCACACUCUUCAAUCCCACUUCACAUCCACUAUGUCUCGAAAGGAAUCCAAUGAUAACAUAAAGCUAACAGUUUUUAGAGGACCACACUGUUUUUCUAUUUGCGUACAAAUGGACAGUGGUUUCAGAAUAACCUUAGCAUUGUCAAGUUUAACCAGAGAGCAUGGAAACCAAAGCUAGAUCAAAAUUCAAAACCACUAUGGAGGAUGUGCAUGGAUUAAUGUAAAAUACUAUAUUCAAUUUGAACGAUAAACACAGUACAAAUAAAAAUUAUUAGAUUCCAUCUUCUAUUCUAUAAUUUUUAAUUCUUGCACUUCUUUUUCUGGGAAUCAGAUUUUUCUGAUACAGAACGUGAACCAACAAAAGCCAAAUUUUAUGAUAUUUGAUAAAAGCAACUUCCAAAAUAUACCAUAACCAUACCCAAUUAUUUUUUGUAUAAUAAUAUUUAAGCUUUUAUAGACACAGAUCGAGCUGUUAUGCUCUCAGCAUAAUAGGCUUGCGGCACUUGAUCAAACGAGAAAAAUCAGGGUAACAAUACCUGAAAUAUUCAAAGAUAUUUUCUUUACAUCAAUGCCACCUGCCUGUGCACGCUCCACCAAGAACCCGGUGUUGUGCGCGGAAUGCGGAAUCAAGCGCACCAAAAAUUACUGAAAAAUAAAGGACACAAGAAUUUACGUGGUUCGGUAAUUAAACCUACAUCCACGGAGGCAAGAAAGAAUAAUUGUUUAUUUAACAAUUAAUAGAAUACAAUAUUUGAGUAACGAAUCUCACUUCCCAGAAACCCAAAUAUACCCAGUACUCUCACACUCUGCAGGAAAGAUAAAUUCCCCAGACACACUUCUCUCACUUCUCUCAAAAGUUUAGAAACUUAUAAGCUUAACAAUUUUGGGAUGAUUUCAAAUGAAUGAAAUCCUAAGCUAUUUAUAGGAAAAAUGUUGGCACUAUGCAAAGAAUAAAAUAAUUGAAAAUAUAAUAAAUAAUUAUUAUUAUUUUCAAUACAUCCCCUUUUUCCAUUCUUUCUUUUCGGCUAACAAAAACCAAAUUGGAUUUUGCUUCUCCAAAGCCUUCAUGCUAACAAUUGCAAAGUUGGCAUUUGCUUCUGACUUUUCAACAAUUCUCCACCUCGGCGAAAAUUUAUCCAAAUAUGAGCCGAUUGACAAUGAUCCGCCAAACUUCAUCCCUCACAUGAUCCUCAAAAGGAUCCACAUUGGCUGCAUCUAUCCGACUGCCUACGUACCCAAAAUUUGGGAUCAAGCCAACCGUAGUUCAAAACAUCCCCCACAUGAUCCUCAAAAGGAUCCACAUUGGCUGCAUCUAUCCGACUGCCUACGUACCCAAAAUUUGGGAUCAAGCCAACCGUAGUUCAUAAUUCCCGAAGGACAUAUCUUAACACAAUCGAAGGAUUUGAAUUAAUUUCAAGCAAUGUUGAAACUUAACUCCAAAAACUACCUUCGUCAACAUAUCUGAUGGAUUAUCUUUGGUAUCGAUCUUUCUCAACAACACAACACCGCUCUCGAUAAUCUCUCUCACAUAAUGAUAUUUCACAUCUAUGUGCUUCGUCCGAGCGUGAUAUAUUUGAUUCUUCGCAAGGAAUAUCGCACUUUGAUUAUCACAGAAGACCGCAAUGUUCUCCUGGAUUACUCCCAAAUCACCUAACAAGCCUUUCAACCAGAUAGCUUCCUUUACAGCUUCAGUUGCUGCCAUGUACUCUGCUUCCGUAGUGGACAGAGCAAUUGUCGAUUGCAAAAUUGACCUCCAGCUAACCGGACCUCCACCCAAUGUGAAUACGUAGCCCGUUGUUGAUCUUCGCUUGUCAAGGUCUCCAGCGAAAUCAGAAUCACAAUACCCAACACAUUGUUGACCACAAUCCUUCUUGAACAAUAACCCAACAUCAACUGUCCCAUACAGAUAUCGGAAAAUCCACUUUACCGCAAGCCAUUGAUUUUUACCCGGAUUGUGCAUGUAUCUACUAACCAUGCUCACUGCUUGAGAUAUAUCGGGCCUUGUGCAUACCAUAGCAUACAUAAGACUACCCACAGCACUAGCAUAUGGAACACGAGCCAUGUAAUCGCGCUCCUCUUGAGAUCUAGGACAUGAAGAAGAGCUUAAUUUGAAAUGAGGAGCUAGAGGUGUACAUACCGGCUUAGUUUUGUUAUCCAUACCGAAUCUUUCUAGCACUUUCUUCAAAUAAGACUUUUGAGUCAACCAUACGCUCCCAUUCUUCUUGUCUCUAUGAAUCUCCAUCCCAAGUAUUCUUUGUGCAUCACCCAAGUCUUUCAUCUCGAACUCAGAAGUCAGCUGCUUCUUUAAUCUUUCGAUCUCAUCUCUAUUCUUCGAAGCUAUAAGCAUAUCGUCGACAUAGAGUAACAAAUAGAUGAAAGCUCCAUCUGGUAGUCUUCUAAAGUAAACACAAUGAUCGUGUUCACUUCUGGUGAAUUUCUGCCCUUGUAUAAAUUGAUCAAAUCUUUUGUACCACUGCCUUGGCGAUUGCUUCAGUCCGUACAAAGAUUUAAUCAACCUACACACAUGAUUCUCCUUUUCAGUAACUCUGAAACCACAAGGCUGAAUCAUAUAGAUUUCCUCCUCCAAAUCUCCAUGUAAGAACGCCGUCUUAACAUCCAACUGAGCCAACUCUAACUCAUAUUCUGCAACUAAGGCAAGUAGGAUACGAAUGGAAGUAUGUUUUACAACUGGAGAGAAAACUUCAUUGUAGUCAAUACUUUCCUUUUGAGCAAAACCUUUUGCCACGAGCCUUGCCUUGUAUCGAGGAGUUGUUUGAUUUGGAGAUCCUUGCUUUUUUGUGUAGACCCAUUUAUUGCCAAUAGCCCUUUUCCCCUUUGGUAAAUUUACAAGUUCCCAAGUCUGGUUUUGAUGGAGAGAUUUCAUCUCUUCCUCCAUGGCUAGCUUCCACUGAUCACUUUCAUUGCUGCGUAAUGCUUCACCGAAAGUAUUGGGGAUGUCAUCAUCAAUAACUGGAAGUGCAUAGGCUACCACCAUAUAUUUAGUAAGCCAUCCGGGUUUCUUUAUCUCUCUUAUUGGCCUCCUUGUUGCUAUAAAAUCAUCAUCAUCUACAUCAUCAAUUGUUUCUUCAUUUUGUGGGACGUCAGAAGAAACAACCUUUUCUUCAACUUUAGGUGUCACCUCCAUAGUUGAACCAUUCUUUGAUGUAGAACUAACUGGUACAUAUGGAGUUGCAUCAAACUCCACCCGCUGCAAUACCUCUGUGGUCUUGUUCUCCACCUGCUGAGAACUUGAAGCUUUUAUCAUUGAAGCUUCAUCAAAUGUGACAUCUCUGCUACACACAAACUUUUUGUCUUCGAGAUCCCAAAGCUUGAAGCCCUUUACUCCACCUUUGAAUCCCACAAAGAUAGAUUUUCUAGCACGAGGAUCCAGUUUACCAUCUUUGACAUGAUAAUAAGCUGGACACCCGAAUACACGAAGGGAAUCAUAGUCUUGUGCAUGCUUUCCAGACCACAUUUCCAUAGGAGUUUUACCUCCAAUUGCAGCAGAAAGCAACCGAUUUACCAAGUGACUUGCGUAGCUCACAGUUUCAGCCCAAAACUUUUUAUCUAAACCAGCAUUAGAUAACAUACAUCGUACCUUCUCCAGUAAAGUACGAUUCAUACGCUCAGCCACACCGUUCUGUUGCGGAGUAUGUCUCACCGUGAAAUGUCUUUUAAUACCCUCGUUCUGGCAUACUUGCAAGAAUGGAUCAGAAGUAUAUUCACCCCCAUUAUUAGAUCGUAAUACUUUGAUCUUUCUGCCAGUUUGAGUCUCCACCAAUUUCUUCCACUUCACGAAAAUCUCUAGAACCUCAUCCUUUGCUCGCAUGGUGUACACCCAUACACGUCUAGAGAAAUCAUCAACAAAUAUAACAAAAUAAUGGCUUCCACCAAUUGAUGCAGUCUUGGUUGGUCCCCAUACAUCACUAUGAACAUAUUCAAGGAUCUCACGAGUAUCGUGAUUAGCUGUACCAAACUUGACCCUUGUUUUCUUGCCUACUACACAAUGCUCACAGAAAUUUAAUUUACAGGUUUUGGUACCUUUUAAGAGUCCAUGCCUCAUCAGAGUUUGCAAAGACUUCUCUCCUGCAUGUCCCAGUCGUACAUGCCAUAGCUUGGUGGUGUCACUGUGCGCCUCAACAACAUUUGCUUCAUCAGUUGUACCUCCCUUCAAAUAGUACAGAUUGUGACGCCGAACCUCUUGCAGAAUCACCAUAGCCCCAUGUGUAAACUUCAUUAUACCAUCUUCAAUGGUAACCUUGUAACCUUUAGCUUCCAAAACACCCACAGAAAUUAGAUUUUUCUUUAAAGCUGGAACAAAUCUAACCUCUUUGAGUUCUCUGACCAUUCCAUCAAACAUUUUGAGCCGAAUUAUUCAUAUCCCCAUUGUGCGACAAGGUUGAUCAUUCCCCAUCACAACUGCACCGGAUUCCAGAUUACGAAAAUCCGUAAACCAUUCCUUAAUAGGACACAAAUGAUAGGUUGCUCCAGUAUCAAGUAUCCACUCGCUCGAACUAGCCACGUAUGCUGCAGGAGUAAUACUUAGUGAAUAAUCAGAGCCCUCAUCUUUCCAUGCCAUGUUUGCUGCUGCUGGUUUCUUCCCAUCUCUCUUUUGAGCCUUUGGACAAUCUUUCCUCCAAUGGCCCUUUUCAUGACAAAAGGCACACUCGUCUCGAGCUAUAUUUCUGCUUCUCGAUUUGGAUCGAGAAUUCUUUCCACCACGCUUUUUCUUUUUCUCCAUCGCCCAAUCUCUGCUCACCAAAGCUUCAGACGAUGCUCGUUCAGAAUUUUUAUUAUUAUUCUGAAUCUCCAAAUUAGUCAAUGCUGUGCAAACAUCUUUGAAGAUGAUCACACUUUUUCCAUAUAUCAAGGUAGUCACAAAAUGGCUAUAUUCCUCUGGUAGUGAGUGUAACAAAAUCAUAGCCUUGACUUCAUCCUUAAUAUCUUCAUCAAGAUUCUUCAAAUCAGCAAGUAACUUUUCAAAUCUUGAAACAUGAUCGUGCAUUGACACCCCAGACUUCAUUCGAAAGCCAUAUACUUGGCUCAUUGCAUGAAGACGAUUUUCAGGACUUUUCACCAGGUACUUCUCUUCCAAUGUACGCCACAAAGUCACUGCACACUCCUCAUCUUUCACCAAGUAUUUCACCUCCUUGGUCAAACAAGAUCUGAUCUGACCACAGGCUUUCUCGUUCAUACGAUCCCAAAUUUCUUCAUCAUACAAGUGUCUUUUAUUUUUCAGGACAACAUCGAGAUCGAUUUGAAUAAGGGCAUCCAUAACUUCGCGCCUCCACAUGCCGAAGUUGAUUUUCCCAUCAAACUUUUCAACAUCGAUCUUCUGGCCUCCUAUAACAGGUGCUGAAUAGCGAUUUGACAAAUCUCGCCUCCCACCUGAAGUGUCUCCUGAAAUAGUCUCGGUAGAUCUCUCCCCAAUUCUGGAAGUUUCACCUUCUACCAUUUUUUCAACGAACUAUUUCCACUUGAAAAACAGCCUCUAUGAUGUUAAUUUCGCGUGAAUAAAUGCACCAGGAAAGUUCCCAGGAAACUGGACGGGAACUCGGUCCCAAUUAAAAACCAGAAUCCUUAGACUCUUAUCGCCUUUGUUGACAGAACUUUCCUAGACAUGCAAAAAUACACACUACUUACAAUAGACUGUCUCCCAAGUACAAAUGGCCGUCUCCACCGUAUUCGUGAACAGUACCGUAUGUGAACACUACCGUAUACGGGAAUAGUACCGUAUACGUGAACAGUACCGUAUCCCCCCAAGUACGAACCGUCGGCUCUGAUACCACUUGUUGUGCGCGGAAUGCGGAAUCAAGCGCACCAAAAAUUACUGAAAAAUAAAGGACACAAGAAUUUACGUGGUUCGGUAAUUAAACCUACAUCCACGGAGGCAAGAAAGAAUAAUUGUUUAUUUAACAAUUAAUAGAAUACAAUAUUUGAGUAACGAAUCUCACUUCCCAGAAACCCAAAUAUACCCAGUACUCUCACACUCUGCAGGAAAGAUAAAUUCCCCAGACACACUUCUCUCACUUCUCUCAAAAGCUUAGAAACUUAUAAGCUUAACAAUUUUGGGAUGAUUUCAAAUGAAUGAAAUCCUAAGCUAUUUAUAGGAAAAAUGUUGGCACUAUGCAAAGAAUAAAAUAAUUGAAAAUAUAAUAAAUAAUAAUUAUUAUUUUCAAUACAUCCCCUUUUUCCAUUCUUUCUUUUCGGCUAACAAAAACCAAAUUGGAUUUUGCUUCUCCAAAGCCUUCAUGCUAACAGUUGCAAAGUUGGCAUUUGCUUCUGACUUUUCAACACCCUGGCAUAUCAAUACGUUGAGCACCCGAAAUUAUCUCUUCACCUAAAGAGGAGGAAGAGAUGCUCAAAAAUCCGGUCAAAUGAACAAUCACAUGAUAUUUUCAUCCAACAAGUAUGAAUGUUUGCAAUGAAAAGAAAAAUGAAAACCCGACAGAAAAUUCUUCAACACAAGGAUUUUGAAUGUGGUUAUCAUUAUAAUUAAGCAGUCAACCUAAUACAACCUUCAACCAGAGGUGAAUUCAUUUACGCCAGUCACAUGACCACUCCUAUCAACACCACUGCAAAAAAAGCACAUCCUCUUCAUUAAUAAAUGAAGUUUUGUUCCUGCUUUACUUCACCAUUCAUUUUCAUCUCAUAAAAGAGCAAUUUAUUGGAAUGCAACAUACCUCGAUUAAACUGAAAGAGGAUUAAGAUAAUUUAAAAAAUGAAAACUGCGAGACAAUGCGAGUAGUAUCAUGAUAAACUUAACUCCAGACGGACAUCCAUUUUUUAAUCGUAAUUAAUGAAACAAAUGUAGAUCGAGAUUUCCCCAAAACAACACCACAAAUACAAGUAUAUGUGCAUCCAAAAUGAAGAAGAAAUGUUUCAGCUUCAUACAUUACCUCGAAUAAAGACAUCAAAUUAGUUUCUGUAAAGAGCAUUGUCAGGAGGGGGCGCCAAACAGCCCAAGGAUAACGAUGGAGUAUAUAAAAUUCGGCGCCAUACCUGCAAUAGGAAGCAACAAUCAGGCACGUAUUGAUGAUAUACAUAGAAAUUUAGGCUUAAAAAUGAGAAAACACUUGUCAUGAGCUAAGAGCAAUGAGGCUCUUAAUUGUUUCAAAAUUUGAAACUAAUAAUAGAUGUAUGUUAUACAAACAAAUUCAUACUUCAAUACUUGUAACAAAAAUCAAGUCAGUAAAUAUGGAACCUACUUAUCUUCGUUCCAUAGGUUUGGUUGUCUUUUUUUUUUUUAAUUAAUGUUCAGAAUCGAUUAAAAAGUUUUUUAAUUCGAGUUCUUGCUAAUUUCAUUUUUUGAUUCCAUUGUGAAAUUCAAUUUUCUUAUUUAAUUUUAUUCCGAUCCUAUCUACCCAUUCGAAUUUUGGUUGCUUAAUUGUUCAGGAUGUUGGAGUUGAGAAUGAUCCUCUUGAAGACUUGAAUACUGAGGCAGAGAGGAAUUUGAUCCAACUAUUUUCCUACGAUUCUUGGGAACAGUAGAUACUACUUUUAAAGUAUUCAACCUACUAAAUGAUUCCUCCACACUUCUGUUACCCUUAAAAAUCAUCUAAUUAUUUAUUCAUACACUAAUCUAAAUAAUGGCGUGAUAAAUCAGAAACCUUUCUUCAUGAAACAUGAACUGAGGGGAUGAAAGAAAUUAAGUUACCUUGAGCAUUUGAAUCCCUUUUCCGAAUGUAAGACAAAGAGUCUUUGCCUUGUACUGCAACAUUUAGAAAAUGCCACAAUCAGGUUCAAGAAUAGAGAAAAGCUGAGGUGAUAUAUAAUUUUCCAUAUUCCAAAUAUAUCUAAACUAUACAAGAACUUCAAAAAUUAUUAUGAUAAUAGAAUUUUACGAACAAUUCAAAAUAAAUAAUGACCUUCAGAGGUUCAAACGGACACUGAUUCGCCACAUAUUCAACUUCCUUUUUGCACCUCUCAUUCUGUUAGGAAAUUGAGUUUCCUCCCAAGAUCUCUCCAAGCAAUUUAUCAAGCAACAAAUUAAUAAGAAAAAUUAAAUAAAGAAUAUACCAACCACAUAACACAAGAUUUACGUGGAAAACUCCAAAUCCGGAGAAAAACCACGGCCGUUGUCAAAAAGACAACCAGAGAAAAAAUAUUCACUAUGUGGAAAAUUAUUACAACCACACUCUCAAAAAUAAUUUUCUCUCACCUAAGCCCCAAAUACACCCCAAAGAAAUACUCUCUGAAUGAAGAAAAGAAACCGAGGAUUAGAUGCAAAAACCAAAAAAUGGGGAGCUUCCUUUAUAUAGCCAAAAUUGGCUAUUAUUUUAUUAUUUUUACCACCGUCUUCAUUCUUCUAUUUUCUUCUUUCUUCUUUUUCUUCAUUCCAAAUUUGCUGCUGCCAAAUUCUUCUUCUUCUUCUUUGAACAACAUGGAUGCUGACCAUCUAGAUGGCUGCUUCAAACCAUCUAGAUGGCUGGCUGCUUUUGACAUUUCUCCCACUUGGAGAUUUGAUUGAGAAUCAAUCAAUCUCCACACUAACCUUAAUAUUUUCCUCACCAUAGAGAAUUAUCAUACCCCACCAUAAAAGAGUAUACCACUUAGAAUUAAUUACCAAUUCUAAGAAUUUUACAUCGGCUCAUGUCGAAAUAUCCUGCUGAAAUUUAUGGUGCAACUUCCAUGUUGGCCUUCCUGGAAGUUUGUCAGCCAUCGACAUAAAUUCCACCACACACCCUGCAUCAAUGCCAACCAUGCCUUGUGUGUAAAUCUUGUGGACCCGCUAGUAGUAACAUAUCUCCUUUCAUGGUACUAGCGAUAUACCAUGAGGAUGUCAUCAUCAUCCAUUUUACAAGGGAUCAUCGUCUCCCACGAUGAUGAGAGACUUACCACUAGCAAUACUAUCAGUAUCUGAUCUGGAGCCACUUGCCGAUCCUGCUCCAUUUCUACUAUGACAAUCUCUUUUUAAGUGCCCCAAUUGUCCACACCCCCAGCAAACUCCUUUCUUCUUAGAUUUAUCUUUCUGCCAAUUCCCUACAACUGCCAAAGCCGAGACAUCUGUAGUUUUAGUACUUUCACCACCCAGUCUCCUUUCUUCUGAGAGUAAAGUACUAGUAACUUCUUCAAGAUCUAUUGUCUCAUUCCCGUACAUCAAAGUAGGUAACAAGUGUUUGUAGGAAGUUGGAAGUGACCAUAGUAACCUAAGCGCCUUGUCCUCAUCUUCAAUUUUAACUCCAAUGGCUUCUAGUUCUGACACAAUACCAUUGAGAACACUGAGGUGAUCGGAAAUUUUUGUACCUUCAGCCAUUCGCAGUGUGUGAAAUCGCUCCUUCAGGUACAAUCGAUUUGAGAUGCUCUUUGUCUGAUACAACUUUUCUAGCUUCUCCCAAAGUUCUUUCGCUGUAGGAAUUUUUCCUACAUUUGCAAGAACAUUCUUUGCUAGACACAGUCGUAUGGCACUUGCAGCUCUAUCAUCUAAUUCUUCCCAAUCUUCAUCACUUAUACUAGUUUUUCCAGAGCCACUACUGGAAGCAGGGGAUGGCUUCCCCUUCAAUGCCUUGUGUAACCCAGAUUGAAUCAACACAUCUUUGACUUGAACUUGCCACAAGCCAAAGUUAAUUCUCCCAUCGAAUUUUUCUAUUUCAAAUUUCACCGGACUUGAAAAUUUCAAUCCUGACAUAUUUGCUUUGCAGAUAAGCUUUUACUCUUCACCACGGACUGUUUGGAUUGGCUCCCACUGCUUCACGUGAAUAGUACUGUAUACGUGAACAGUACCGUAUACGUGAACAGUACUGUAUACGUGAACAAUGCCCCAACACCAAAACUUCAAUCAAUGGCUCUGAUACCACUGUUAGGAAAUUGAGUUUCCUCCCAAGAUCUCUCCAAGCAAUUUAUCAAGCAACAAAUUAAUAAGAAAAAUUAAAUAAAGAAUAUACCAACCACAUAACACAAGAUUUACGUGGAAAACUCCAAAUCCGGAGAAAAACCACGGCCGUUGUCAAAAAGACAACCAGAGAAAAAAUAUUCACUAUGUGGAAAAUUAUUACAACCACACUCUCAAAAAUAAUUUUCUCUCACCUAAGCCCCAAAUACACCCCAAAGAAAUACUCUCUGAAUGAAGAAAAGAAACCGAGGAUUAGAUGCAAAAACCAAAAAAUGGGGAGCUUCCUUUAUAUAGCCAAAAUUGGCUAUUAUUUUAUUAUUUUUACCACCGUCUUCAUUCUUCUAUUUUCUUCUUUCUUCUUUUUCUUCAUUCCAAAUUUGCUGCUGCCAAAUUCUUCUUCUUCUUCUUUGAACAACAUGGAUGCUGACCAUCUAGAUGGCUGCUUCAAACCAUCUAGAUGGCUGGCUGCUUUUGACAUUUCUCCCACUUGGAGAUUUGAUUGAGAAUCAAUCAAUCUCCACACUAACCUUAAUAUUUUCCUCACCAUAGAGAAUUAUCAUACCCCACCAUAAAAGAGUAUACCACUUAGAAUUAAUUACCAAUUCUAAGAAUUUUACAUCGGCUCAUGUCGAAAUAUCCUGCUGAAAUUUAUGGUGCAACUUCCAUGUUGGCCUUCCUGGAAGUUUGUCAGCCAUCGACAUAAAUUCCACCACACACCCUGCAUCAAUGCCAACCAUGCCUUGUGUGUAAAUCUUGUGGACCCGCUAGUAGUAACAUAUCUCCUUUCAUGGUACUAGCGAUAUACCAUGAGGAUGUCAUCAUCAUCCAUUUUACAAGGGAUCAUCGUCUCCCACGAUGAUGAGAGACUUACCACUAGCAAUACUAUCAGUAUCUGAUCUGGAGCCACUUGCCGAUCCUGCUCCAUUUCUACUAUGACAAUCUCUUUUUAAGUGCCCCAAUUGUCCACACCCCCAGCAAACUCCUUUCUUCUUAGAUUUAUCUUUCUGCCAAUUCCCUACAACUGCCAAAGCCGAGACAUCUGUAGUUUUAGUACUUUCACCACCCAGUCUCCUUUCUUCUGAGAGUAAAGUACUAGUAACUUCUUCAAGAUCUAUUGUCUCAUUCCCGUACAUCAAAGUAGGUAACAAGUGUUUGUAGGAAGUUGGAAGUGACCAUAGUAACCUAAGCGCCUUGUCCUCAUCUUCAAUUUUAACUCCAAUGGCUUCUAGUUCUGACACAAUACCAUUGAGAACACUGAGGUGAUCGGAAAUUUUUGUACCUUCAGCCAUUCGCAGUGUGUGAAAUCGCUCCUUCAGGUACAAUCGAUUUGAGAUGCUCUUUGUCUGAUACAACUUUUCUAGCUUCUCCCAAAGUUCUUUCGCUGUAGGAAUUUUUCCUACAUUUGCAAGAACAUUCUUUGCUAGACACAGUCGUAUGGCACUUGCAGCUCUAUCAUCUAAUUCUUCCCAAUCUUCAUCACUUAUACUAGUUUUUCCAGAGCCACUACUGGAAGCAGGGGAUGGCUUCCCCUUCAAUGCCUUGUGUAACCCAGAUUGAAUCAACACAUCUUUGACUUGAACUUGCCACAAGCCAAAGUUAAUUCUCCCAUCGAAUUUUUCUAUUUCAAAUUUCACCGGACUUGAAAAUUUCAAUCCUGACAUAUUUGCUUUGCAGAUAAGCUUUUACUCUUCACCACGGACUGUUUGGAUUGGCUCCCACUGCUUCACGUGAAUAGUACUGUAUACGUGAACAGUACCGUAUACGUGAACAGUACUGUAUACGUGAACAAUGCCCCAACACCAAAACUUCAAUCAAUGGCUCUGAUACCACUGUUAGGAAAUUGAGUUUCCUCCCAAGAUCUCUCCAAGCAAUUUAUCAAGCAACAAAUUAAUAAGAAAAAUUAAAUAAAGAAUAUACCAACCACAUAACACAAGAUUUACGUGGAAAACUCCAAAUCCGGAGAAAAACCACGGCCGUUGUCAAAAAGACAACCAGAGAAAAAAUAUUCACUAUGUGGAAAAUUAUUACAACCACACUCUCAAAAAUAAUUUUCUCUCACCUAAGCCCCAAAUACACCCCAAAGAAAUACUCUCUGAAUGAAGAAAAGAAACCGAGGAUUAGAUGCAAAAACCAAAAAAUGGGGAGCUUCCUUUAUAUAGCCAAAAUUGGCUAUUAUUUUAUUAUUUUUACCACCGUCUUCAUUCUUCUAUUUUCUUCUUUCUUCUUUUUCUUCAUUCCAAAUUUGCUGCUGCCAAAUUCUUCUUCUUCUUCUUUGAACAACAUGGAUGCUGACCAUCUAGAUGGCUGCUUCAAACCAUCUAGAUGGCUGGCUGCUUUUGACAUUUCUCCCACUUGGAGAUUUGAUUGAGAAUCAAUCAAUCUCCACACUAACCUUAAUAUUUUCCUCACCAUAGAGAAUUAUCAUACCCCACCAUAAAAGAGUAUACCACUUAGAAUUAAUUACCAAUUCUAAGAAUUUUACAUCGGCUCAUGUCGAAAUAUCCUGCUGAAAUUUAUGGUGCAACUUCCAUGUUGGCCUUCCUGGAAGUUUGUCAGCCAUCGACAUAAAUUCCACCACACACCCUGCAUCAAUGCCAACCAUGCCUUGUGUGUAAAUCUUGUGGACCCGCUAGUAGUAACAUAUCUCCUUUCAUGGUACUAGCGAUAUACCAUGAGGAUGUCAUCAUCAUCCAUUUUACAAGGGAUCAUCGUCUCCCACGAUGAUGAGAGACUUACCACUAGCAAUACUAUCAGUAUCUGAUCUGGAGCCACUUGCCGAUCCUGCUCCAUUUCUACUAUGACAAUCUCUUUUUAAGUGCCCCAAUUGUCCACACCCCCAGCAAACUCCUUUCUUCUUAGAUUUAUCUUUCUGCCAAUUCCCUACAACUGCCAAAGCCGAGACAUCUGUAGUUUUAGUACUUUCACCACCCAGUCUCCUUUCUUCUGAGAGUAAAGUACUAGUAACUUCUUCAAGAUCUAUUGUCUCAUUCCCGUACAUCAAAGUAGGUAACAAGUGUUUGUAGGAAGUUGGAAGUGACCAUAGUAACCUAAGCGCCUUGUCCUCAUCUUCAAUUUUAACUCCAAUGGCUUCUAGUUCUGACACAAUACCAUUGAGAACACUGAGGUGAUCGGAAAUUUUUGUACCUUCAGCCAUUCGCAGUGUGUGAAAUCGCUCCUUCAGGUACAAUCGAUUUGAGAUGCUCUUUGUCUGAUACAACUUUUCUAGCUUCUCCCAAAGUUCUUUCGCUGUAGGAAUUUUUCCUACAUUUGCAAGAACAUUCUUUGCUAGACACAGUCGUAUGGCACUUGCAGCUCUAUCAUCUAAUUCUUCCCAAUCUUCAUCACUUAUACUAGUUUUUCCAGAGCCACUACUGGAAGCAGGGGAUGGCUUCCCCUUCAAUGCCUUGUGUAACCCAGAUUGAAUCAACACAUCUUUGACUUGAACUUGCCACAAGCCAAAGUUAAUUCUCCCAUCGAAUUUUUCUAUUUCAAAUUUCACCGGACUUGAAAAUUUCAAUCCUGACAUAUUUGCUUUGCAGAUAAGCUUUUACUCUUCACCACGGACUGUUUGGAUUGGCUCCCACUGCUUCACGUGAAUAGUACUGUAUACGUGAACAGUACCGUAUACGUGAACAGUACUGUAUACGUGAACAAUGCCCCAACACCAAAACUUCAAUCAAUGGCUCUGAUACCACUGUUAGGAAAUUGAGUUUCCUCCCAAGAUCUCUCCAAGCAAUUUAUCAAGCAACAAAUUAAUAAGAAAAAUUAAAUAAAGAAUAUACCAACCACAUAACACAAGAUUUACGUGGAAAACUCCAAAUCCGGAGAAAAACCACGGCCGUUGUCAAAAAGACAACCAGAGAAAAAAUAUUCACUAUGUGGAAAAUUAUUACAACCACACUCUCAAAAAUAAUUUUCUCUCACCUAAGCCCCAAAUACACCCCAAAGAAAUACUCUCUGAAUGAAGAAAAGAAACCGAGGAUUAGAUGCAAAAACCAAAAAAUGGGGAGCUUCCUUUAUAUAGCCAAAAUUGGCUAUUGUUUUAUUAUUUUUACCACCGUCUUCAUUCUUCUAUUUUCUUCUUUCUUCUUUUUCUUCAUUCCAAAUUUACUGCUGCCAAAUUCUUCUUCUUCUUCUUUGAACAACAUGGAUGCUGACCAUCUAGAUGGCUGCUUCAAACCAUCUAGAUGGCUGGCUGCUUUUGACACAUUCAAAUCAUCAAAAAUUGUGACAAAUAAGCGGUCCACAAUAUCCAUCACCUGUAUUCAGGUGUCAUUGAAAAAUUAACCAAUAAACCCCUCCAGCUAUACCUCCGAAUAAUGCUUCUUAAUCUCCAUUUCAACAUCAAGACCGGUAAAUUAACUCACACAAAUGCCUAUGAGUGUACGAGUCCUCUGGUCUAAAAACAGAACCGGUCUCAAAAACCCGCCCAAAAUCACCGCAUAUCGAUAUUUGCUUGUGACCUUCACUUGAACCAGCUAUCAGUUUUGGCAUGUGGAUCUCAACAAAAUCCUCAGAAAACAAGAAUUGUCUGAAUAUCUGUACAUUGAUGCAAUCAUUAAGGACCAACUCAAGGCCUUACUCAUAUUCCAAUCCAAGCUGGUUAAUGGGUUAAGGUUACUUAAACAUUUUAUAUUUUUGUCUAUUCUAAGAUAAUGUUGAAUAUUAUAUAUAUAAGAAAUUUUUUGUCUAUUCUUAGACAAAUUCUUGGCGGGAAUUUAACAAACUUCAAGCCUAAUAACACUUUGCAUAACAACAUGACAGCUUGGCAGUUGACUAAGCACUCUGCUUACAUGGCAAUCUGACUCAGCAGUUUACAUAGCAAUUUGGCUCAACAUAUAUACUCUUAACAGAACCAAAUAAAUAUUAACACGCGUCUCGACGCAUACCUUGCAUAUCAUCACAUUUAUAUAUGUACGAUGAUAUCACCGCCACCUAAAUUUCUCAUUUAUUAUAUUUGAUUAUUUUCUUUUUUAUUUCAUUGAUUUUCUCGUAUAAAAGUAGAUUUACUACGAUUUACCAUUUUGUUGUUGUGCAAUGGUCACCCUUUUUGUUUGAGCUGCCUAUUGAUGUAUUGCUUUUAGAAAAACUCUCAGAAUAGCUUUACAUUAUACUUUUCUAAUUUGCAAUGAAUGCAUCCAGGAGUAUAGGAAAGAAAGAAAUAAAGGGGGAAAAAAAAAAAGAAAGAAAGAAAUACUCCCCGUGUAUCACCUAAACUAGUUUUAAAACUUCUUGAAUUGGACAAGAAUAAGUUGGCUGACAAGCUUUCCUAACUUCUCACAACUUUUAUUAUUGUUACCUUAUAUUUUCAUAAUCGUUAGAUUUUUAUACUUGAAUUGGUACCAAUCUCUCUUUUAUCAAAUUUAAACAGAGAUAAUUGAUUGAAUGAUUCAGUCUCCGUCGUCCAAAAGAAUUUUUCUUAUCUACAACGUUCUUAUUUGCUCAAACAGAUGGAAUCCAGAAAACUCAUCCAUUUGAUUCUCUUCAAUUGAAAACUCAUCACUUCCUGCAUGUAAGAGCAAUUUGAGUGCCAUAAAGCCUGUAGUGAAUCUACCUAUUUAGGGAAUAAUUUAAAUAGAAAAGUUAACAUGAAGCUCAUACCCUAAUAAAAAGCUACUCUUAAAAUAACAUGAAUCAAGAAACAGAGCAAAACAGAGUAGCUACUAAGAAGAACACCCAAAUUAACUCCUAAAAUUGACCAAACAUAACAAGCAUCAAAUCAAAGCAUUAAAGCACUAAUCAGAGACUUCACACUAAAUUGUUUUUUUUUAAAUAAUGGGAUUUCAAGAUUAUACUUAAAAAGACCUCUUUUUUUUUUUUGGGGAAGAGAAAAAUCAUCUGCAUGGUUGAAGGAUCAAAAGCUCAUGGAUGGAAUAAAAGAGAAAUUAAAGUAAACAAUGUAACUAACCGGUUCCUUGAAGAAGUUGGUUAUCGACGGAGGCCCAGUGACUUUGUCGGAGUGGUGGCAUCGCUGGGUUAGGCCUGAGUGAAGAGUGAAUAUUGGGAGAUCUCUGGCUUCGGUUCUUUGACCUUACGUUAUUUUAUUUAUUCAUUAUUUUUUUUUCUAGUAUAUGCAGAUGCUCCGCUCACUUUAAACUCUGGUGGAUGCAGUGUGGCAACUGAAGUGAUCAGUUGCUGCCCAAGAUCACAAACCAAAUCUGCCAAGAUGCUUCCAAGAUCAAACUGAUUUGAAGCUUAAUUGAUAUGUGUAAAGAAUAUAUUUCAGAAUUGAAUUUCUUGCCCCCCUUCAUUCACAAACUCAUGCACGUAUAUAUACAGAUUACAUUCCUAUAAUUAAGGGGAUAAUAUUCCUACGUAUCCCUAUAGUCUAGCAGUUGUCAUUGUUUGUUUACAACUAAUAUUCCAAUACCCCCCCUCAAGUUGGAGCAUGCAAGUCUUGAAUGCCCAACUUGCGAAUGAAGAACUCAAACCGUUGUCUACCCAAUGCCUUCGUAAAUAUAUCAGCCAGUUGUGCAUGGGUCGAGACAUAAGCUGGUUGAAUGUUACCAAAGCGAACCUCAUCACGAACAAAAUGACAGUCUAUCUCAAUAUGUUUGGUCCGCUCAUGAAACACUGGAUUUGCUGCAAAGUGUAAGGCUGCCUGAUUGUCACAGUAUACCUUCAUUGGAUUUGGAUGCUCCACGCCAAGAGUCAAUAGUAGCUCUUUUAACCAUUUUAAUUCGCAAGUGGUUGCUGCCAUAGAUCGAUAUUCUGCCUCAGCCGACGACCGAGAGACAGUAUGUUGCUUCUUCGUCUUCCAAGAGACUGGUGAAUCGCCAAGUAGAAUGAACCAUCCAGUCAAAGAACAACGAGUUAAUGGACAACUUGCCCAAUCUGAGUCACACCAAGCUGAUAGUUGCAGGUCACAGUCUGAUCGUAGCAUUAUUCCUUGACCAGGAUUCCCUUUCAAGUAACGCACAAUGCGUAAAGCAGCCGCCCAAUGUUCUUCUCGUGGUUGUUGCAUGAAUUGUGCCAACACAUGCACACUGUAAGAUAACUCGGGACGUGUAACAGAGAGAUAAAUAAGUCGGCCCACCAAACGUCUGUAACUCUCAGGUUUAGAUAAGAAAACGCCAUCGGCCAAAGCCAAAUUAUGGUUGUGCUCUAGCGGGAAAGAUGCAGGUUUAGCUCCGAGUAGACCAACCUCAGAGAUAAUAUCCAGCGCAUAUUUACGUUGGCACAAGAAAAUUCCUGUAGGACUUCGGGCUACUUCGAUUCCGAGGAAAUAUUUCAACAUUCCUAAAUCCCUCAUAUGAAAACAUUUGCUCAAAUAUUCCUUGAAAACUUUAAUGGCUGCAUGAUCAUUACCUGUCACAACAAUGUCAUCAACAUAUACAAGGACAUUGAUUUGUACCUUGCCUUGGCUCAAAGUAAAAAGAGAGGAGUCCGAGUAUGAUUGUUCGAAACCAUAACUCUUCAGAGCAGUAACCAAUUUCGCAAACCAACAUCGGGGAGCUUGUCGUAAUCCAUACAAAGACUUCUUCAAAUGACAUACCUUCCCUGGGUUCUCUGAAUGAAAACCAGGAGGCAUACGCAUGUACACUUCUUCUUCCAAAUCGCCGUGUAAGAACGCGUUAUGCACGUCCAUUUGAUGAAGUUCCCAGUGCUUAGCAGCUGCCACUGCCAAAAGAGCUCGAACUGUAACCAUUUUUGCCACUGGAGCAAACGUCUCAUUGUAGUCAAUCCCUGCAACUUACUUGUUCCCGAGAAUUACCAAUCGAGCCUUAUAGCGCUCAAUGGUUCCAUCAGCAUUAUAUUUGAUCUUGUAUACCCAUUUACAAUUUAUAGCUCGUUUUCCUGGUGGUAAGGAUUCUACAGUCCAUGUCUCAUUAUCUUCCCGUGCUUGUAUCUCUUUCUUCAUUGCAUCUCUCCAUUUUUCAUCUUUGACCGCUUCAGUAAAAGAACUGGGCUCAACACCUGCAGUGACAGCUGCCAAGAAAGCACGAUGUCGCAAUGAAAACUUAUCAUAGUUCACAUAAUGUGUUAUCGGAUAAAGACUACCUGAGGAAUGCGUGUGGCCAGGUGAGCGUGCAGAGGGGCUCGAGGAGGAGCUCAACCGUUGUACUGUGUGUAAGACACAAUCUCGCAAUCUGGUGGAUUGUUGUCGUUGCCUGCAACCACGCCCUAGCACAAUUUCAGAUUGCUCAUCGUCCAUAGUCUCAUUGGCACCCCCCCUUGCUACAGAUAUUCCUUGAUCUUGUUCAACAUAUAUAGGUGUUUCAAUAGAUUGCCCAUAAUCUAUAUCCCUUAUACCUUCUUGAUCCUCUUGGUGUGGCAUCCUAGAGUGGUGCUCCAUGUCCAAGUUAUCACUCACAGCAGCUCCCUGCAUAAUUUCCUCUUCGGCAACCAAGCUAUCUAACUCAUUAUUUUUCGUUUUGCCUUGCUCACUAGUGCCUUUGUUCUCAUAAGGAAACACAUGUUCUUUGAAUACAACAUCCCUUGAGACAAAGAGCUCACCCGAGUUCAUAUCAUACAAGCUCCAACCUUUCUUUCCAUAAGGAUACCCAAUAAAAAUGCAUUUCCUACUUCGACUGGCAAAUUUAUCUCCUCCAUGCCUUUGAUUAUGAGCAUAAGCCAAACAUCCAAACACUCGGAUAUUUUUAUACGAAGGGGUUUCACCAAACAAUAUUUCAUAAGGUGUUUUCCCUUGUAACAAGUCGGAUGGAGUUCGAUUGAUUAAGUAUGCAGCUGUCAAUAUACACUCUCCCCAAAAUUCAAUGGGCAAAUUUGCUUGGAAACGCAAUGCCCGUGCUACAUUGAGUAUAUGACGAUGUUUCCGUUCUACUCUCCCAUUUUGUUGAGGGGUCCCAACGCACGAGGUUUGAUGUAUUACACCUUUCUCCACAAAAUAACCAUCCAAGCAGAUGAACUCAGUUCCAUUAUCACUACGCACUAUUUUCACAUGUCUAUUAAAUUGCCUAUGAACCAUAGCAAAGAAAUUCUGAAUCGUUCGUGCCACCUCGGUUUUAUUAUUUAAUAAAUAAAUCCACACUGCUCUAGAGUAAUCAUCAACAAUAGUAAAAAAAAUAGUAUGAACCGCAAAAAGUUGGAGUUCUAUAAGGACCCCAUAAAUCACAAUGAAUCUUCUAAAAAACAUUAGAUGCCUUAUUAUCACUUGAUACAAACUCUUCUCGACAAUGUUUUGCUCGGACACAGACUUCACAUUCAUCAGUGCACUUAUUAUUAUUUCUAUUAACGAUGGGCAACAACCUAAUGACCUUGUUGGAAGGAUGGCCCAACCUUCGAUGCCAAAGAUCUACUGAGUCGUUUUCUGCUACUUUCAUAACUUUGACUGAUGUUAAGCUCCGAAAGUAGUAGAGCCCCUCGCGCUGCUCACCCGCACCAAUCAGCAUCCUCGAAUUGUGGUCUUGUAUAACACAAAAUUUAUUAGUGAACUGGACUAUACAAUUCGACUCCUUAAUCAACUGUGCUACUGAAAUUAAGUUACACUUUAAAUUAGGCACAUAUAACACAUUAUUUAGUUUUAGAUGUUUAUCCAAAACUAUGGUUCCUUCUUUCUCCGCUAUUGUUUCCUUCCCAUCUGGUAGCCUAACAGGACAUGAGAGGAUUUUCUUCACAUCACUUAUUGACUUAAGGCUUCCUGUCAUAUGAUGAGAGGCCCCGCUAUCAAUUAUCCACUCCAUUAUUUUAUGCUUACCGUUCAAUCUUCCUUGAUUCCCUUCUUUUUGCCCAUUUAAUAUAUUAAGCAAUAAAUUCCAUUGUUCGUUGCUUAGUCCAUUCAAUCCACUUUGUCUCCUUCGACUCUUUGUUCUUGAGCCGUGCUUCCCUGUGUUGUUACCUGCGCUGCGUUGGCCCGAAUCUGUCCACCUCGUCAUCUUCCUCCAUAUGCAGCAGGCUGCUUCUGUCCUCUUUGUCCACGACCUGUUCCACGUCCACCUCCUCCUCGAUGUCUAUCUCCCCACCAAUCGGGGUACCCAAUUAGCUGGAAACAUGAUUCUGCGACGUGUCCUGUUCUCUUGCAAUUUAAGCAUAGCACGGUUUUGUCCUUGCUCUCAGUCCGUCCUUUCAAGCUUGUUGCUGUUUGAACUGCAAAAGCCAUGGCCUCGACUUGCUGUUCCUUCCCGCGGGUUAUACUACAAACUCGCUCUUCCUGGAUAAUCAUAGCAUAUGCUCGAUUCAAGGUUGGCAAUGGUUCAGUGCUCAAGAUAUUGGACCGCACCGUCCCAUAAGUUGAGUCAUCCAAGCCCAUCAAAAACUGAUGUAGCCUUUCCUCUUCACGUCUCUUAUCUAAUUCCGCACCGAUGUUGCAUGCGCAUCCUCCACAUCGGCAUGUCGGGUAUUGCUCAUAGUUUCCCAAUUCUUCCCAGAUCAUCUUUAAUUUGCCAUAGUAACUCAUAACAGUUAUGCCUGGCUGUUUACAUUCAGCCAACUCAGAUUUAAGUUGAUGAACAGGUGGUCCGUUUUCUGCCGAGAACCGUUCCUUGAUAUCAUCCCAAAGUUCCUUUGCAACUUCCCUGUAAGUUAUAGUUGAGCGCAACGUUGGUUCAAUUGUGUUCAAGAUCCAUGAUAUCAGCAUGGAGUUAACUGUCCACCAAUCUUCUUGUGUCAUAGAAUCAUCCGAAGGCUGUAUCACGGAACCAUCGAUGAAGCCAAAUUUUUUCUUGGCCCGCAACGCCGUUCUCAUUGCUCGUGCCCAUUCAUCAUAAUUGUCACCCUUCAAUUGAACUUGCGUGAUGAUGUUCCCUGGAUUGUCGUUGGCCGAGAGAAAAUACGGUGAUGUUGCGCUCUUCGACGGCCCAUCAUCGCUGCCGUUCCUAGCCAUAUUUGUGUGGCUCUGAUACCAAUACUUUCGGUGAAGCAUUACGCAGCAGUGAAAGUGAUCAAUGGAAGUUAGCCAUGGAGGAAGAGAUGAAAUCUCUCUAUCAAAACCAAACUUGGGAACUUGUAAAGUUACCAAAGGAGAAAAGUGCUAUUGGCAAUAAAUGGGUCUACACCAAAAAGUAAGGAUCUCCGAAUCAAACAACUCCUCGAUACAAGGCAAGGCUCGUGGCAAAAGGUUUUGCUCAAAAGGAAGGUAUUGACUACAAUGAAGUUUUCUCUCCAGUUGUAAAACAUACUUCCAUUCGUAUCCUACUUGCCUUAGUUGCAGAAUAUGAGUUAGAGUUGGCUCAGUUGGAUGUUAAGACGGCGUUCUUACAUGGAGAUUUGGAGGAGGAAAUCUAUAUGAUUCAGCCUUGUGGUUUCAGAGUUGCUGGAAAGGAGAAUCAUGUGUGUAGGUUGAUUAAAUCUUUGUACGGACUGAAGCAAUCGCCAAGGCAGUGGUACAAAAGAUUUGAUCAAUUUAUACAAGGGUAGAAUUCACCAGAAGUGAACACGAUCAUUGUGUUUACUUUAGAAGACUACCAGAUAGAGCUUUCAUCUAUUUGCUACUCUAUGUCGACGAUAUGCUUAUAGCUUCGAAAAAUAGAGAUGAGAUCGAAAGAUUAAAGAAGCAGCUGGCUUUUGAGUUUGAGAUGAAAGACUUGGGUGAUGCACAGAAAAUACUUGGGAUGGAGAUUUGUAGAGACAAGAAGAAUGGGAGCGUAUGGUUGACUCAAAAGUCUUAUUUGAAGAAAGUGCUAGAAAGAUUCGGUAUGGAUGACAAAACUAAAUCGGUAUGUACACCUCUAGCUCCUCAUUUCAAAUUAGGCUCUUCUUCAUGUCCUAAAUCUCAAGAGGAGCGCGAUUACAUGGCUCGUGUUCCAUAUGCUAGUGCUGUGGGUAGUCUUAUGUAUGCUAUGGUAUGUACAAGGCCUGAUAUAUCUCAAGCAGUAAGCAUGGUUAGUAGAUACAUGCACGAUCCGGGUAAAAGUCACUGGCUUGCAGUAAAGUGGAUUCUUCGAUAUCUGUAUGGGACAGUUGAUGUUGGGUUAUUGUUCAAGAAGGAUUGUGGUUAACAAUGUGUUGGGUAUUGUGAUUCUGAUUUCGCUGGAGACCUUGACAAGCGAAGAUCAACAACGGGCUACGUAUUCACAUUGGGUGGAGGCCCGGUUAGUUGGAGGUCAAUUUUACAAUCGACAAUUGCUCUGUCCACUACGGAAGCAGAGUACAUGGCAGCAACUGAAGCUGUAAAGGAAGCUAUCUGGUUGAAAGGCUUGUUAGGUGAUUUGGGAGUAAUCCAGGAGAACAUUACGGUCUUCUGUGAUAAUCAAAGUGCGAUAUUCCUUGCGAAGAAUCAAACAUAUCACGCUCGGACGAAACACAUAGAUGUGAAAUAUCAUUAUGUGAGAGAGAUUAUCGAGAGCGGUGUUGUGUUGUUGAGAAAGAUCGAUACCAAAGAUAAUCCAUCAGAUAUGUUGACGAAGGUAGUUUCUGGAGUUAAGUUUCAACAUUGCUUGAAAUUAAUUCAAAUCCUUCGAUUGUGUUAAAGAUAUGUCCUUCGGGAAUUUUGAACUACGGUUGGCUUGAUCCCAAAUUUUGGGUACGUAGGCAAUCGAAACGACACAGCCAUUCUGGAUCCUUAUUGAAGGAUCACUUUGGGGAUGAGGGUUCGUUGGUAGUCGGCUCAGAUUUGGACAAAUUUUCGCCGAGGUGGAGAAUUGUUGAAAAGUCAUGCACGUGACAUUGAAAUUCAAAAAUGAAUGCAAAAUUUCAAAUGGCUACCAAACAUUUGAAGAAAAAAUGGAAAGUUGGCAAAUUUGUCAAAUUUGCCAAAUGGACACCAUUGACUAUUGGCUUAGGUUAGGUGGAAUAGUAAAGGGGUUGGUGCAAUAGUGCCAUUAUUUUCCCUAUAAAUAGAUGGCACUUCUUCCAUUCUAUAUCAUCCCAAAAUUGUUAAGCUUAUAAGUUUCUAAGCUUUUGAGAGAAGUGAGAGAAGUCAGAAGUGUGUCUGAGGAAUUUAUCUUUCCUGCAGAGUGUGAGAGUACUGGGUAUAUUUGGGUUUCUGGGAAGUGAGAUUCGUUACUCAAAUAUUGUACUCUAUUAAUUGUUAAAUAAACAAUUAUUCUUUCUUGCCUCCGUGGAUGUAGGUUUAAUUACCGAACCACGUAAUUCUUGUGUCCUUUAUUUUUCUAUAAUUAUUUGGUGCGCUUGAUUCCUCAUUCCGCGUACAACAGCUAGCAGGUCAUGUAAGUUGAUAAAGCACCAUUCAUGUAAGUCUAUUUAUAUUGACUUAUAUGCACAAGCCUAUAAUACAAACAGCAUUAUUGUAAUACAAAUUUGUUUCGGAAUUCAUGGCCUAUAAUACGCCAUUUAUGUCCUAGACUUACUUGUCAACCUUGCAAAAUUUUUGUGCUUGGCAAUUGGUUUUGUUGAUGCCGAAAUCCGGAUGAAUUGGUUAGUGACUCGAUCUCAUAUUCCUGCAUCAACAUUAAAUUUAUUUGGUGGGAAGCUGUUGGUUGAUCUCUAAGAAAAUCCUCCGACUAUGAGCAGAACAUUCAUGAGCUGUUGAUCAGUGAGCACCGAGAGCAGAUAAUUGAUGAGCAGAUGACCAAUGAGCAGAUGAUCCAUGAGUAGAUAAUCCGCGAGCCUGCGAGCACAAAAAAUAGUCAGGGGGUGCCGGAAGUUUUUCCGACGUAAACCCUCUGACACUCAAGUCAGCGAUUUGGGUCUACUUGGAAAAACUCAUACCACAAUUCACAUGGUUUAACUAUGAUUGUUUUAAACAAAAAGAUUUUAAAAAAAUUUAAAGGAAAAUAAUUGAAAAUAAUCAAUCUUAAAGAAAUCAUAAGCGAAAGAGAAAUUUUCCAGUGGUAGAGAGAGAAAAAGAUUCAAUGGAUUCAGUCACCCAAAGGGACAGAAGAAAAAGAAUCCCCCAUUUUCCCAUGGGUUUUAUAAGAAAUUAUAGCGGUUUUUAUCCUCUUCCCUAGAAUUCUCAAGAAAAUUACUAAUUUUGAGCCCACUAAAAACAUGGUUUCUAAUAUUUCAAAGAACAUAAGUGAGAUUUGUUUUGACUGAGUCGUGUUUUCUAAUAACAUCUUGGUCGAGGUGAUGUGGUCAAGAUAACCAAAUAACAUCCUGAUCGAGGUGUUGCUCAUUUUUUACUUAGAGGAGAGCACAAUAAUGUAUAAACAAACAUUUUAUCUUGGUCACCUUAUUAUAUUCCCCAAACAGGUUUGUCGGUCCUCCAGGUAUUUGGAGCCUUAUGAUACCUUUUUGCCAUGGAAAAAGUUAGAGGAUGUCAGGAAGGAAGCCCGCAUAAUUAAUUGAGCUGGAUGCAAACACAGUUCGUUUUACUGUGAAGACAGAGUUUAGGAGACGACAGAAAAUUUCUAAAUGACUUGUGCGGCAUAAAUAAUUUUGGAUAAUGUAAUGAUGCUCUUGAGUCUGGCAUUGUGGAGGUGACUGAUUUUUCAAAGAAAUUGUUACAUUGUUUACAAUGGGGCCUGCAAAAUUUCAGGUUAAUUUGCUCAUACAACAAUAUAUUUUCCUUGCGUGUGUUGCAUAAUACGAUUAAUUCUUGCGUUACAGGUUCUUCAUUUUGGAAAAUUGAGUUAAAGAAGUAAUGCUAACAGUACAUUAUAUCUCUUUUAGAUAUUUAAUAACACUUAGGGGCAAAAAUUUUAACUGAUAGUUGUGUUAACGGCACAAUCAAUUUUUUUGAAUGUCAAAGGUAGUCAAGGGCUUGAGUGAUAAGUUUUUUCUACAGAGGAUGUAAGUGAGGAAUUUAUGAAACAUUUUGAUAAAAAGAAUUAUCUAGGAUAAGCAAUUGAGCAGAAUUCUUUUACAGUGCAUUUUUGCAAUUCACAUAACCAACGUAGGGGUGGUGCUGUUUGUGUUUUUAAUCGGCAAGAUGCAGUUUGACUCAGCAAGAUCACAGAAGAUAAGACAGAAGUGGAAGGAGAUGAAGCAGUGGCCAAAUUUUGAGUAUAUUUCUUCUGAUGUGCGGGGGGCAGUUAAGGAAAUACAAGCUAUACAAAUGGCAAGAAACCAAACGUGUUCGUGUUGAUAAUUUGGUGAAUGAUCUUCCUGACGAACUUGGCAACGAAAUGAAAUGUCUGCAUUAAAGUGCUCAAGAAUGUGACGUUGAACUAUUCAAUCACUCAGUGAGGUUGAAGCCAUUACUCUUAUGGCUGAUAACUUUAAACAUGUAUUAUCUACCAUUCACACAUUCCAAUCGGCCCGCUCUUUUGUUACAAUCAUACCGGCGUUUUGGGAAGCUUUUACUUUGAUAGAAGGAAGGCUAAACAAAGAAAAUAAACAAAGUGGGACAUGUAACAACGACACAAUACAAGAAAAUUUAACGGUACUUGUGACUAAAUCAUUGAUGACAAACUGUUUAUUCUUUAUAUUUACAUGUGAAACCGCAGAAAAGGGCCAAAAUUGUAGUUUGAAAUUUUACAAUUGAUUUUGUCGUCAAUUGAUGAGCUCAUAGCGACAUUAAUUUAUUGAAUGAUAAAAUAAUAAUUUUAUAUUCAGUAAACAUAUGAAAUAUUACUUAAAUUGAAAAUUUGAGAUCUUAAUACAUUGGAGUUACAUUGAGUUGGGAGACGAACUUUGACUCUGAAUGAGACAGCACUUAAUGUGUCAUUUAUUUAUUAAAUUUGUUAAUGGUAUGAUAUUAUCUCAUUACGCAGAAAUAUUAAAUUGCAAUGAGUCUAGUCAAUUGGGAAAACAUUUUUUGCGCGAGUAUCUCAAUUUCCAAUAUAAAAAUUACAAGACAAAAUUAAAAAGGAGAAUGAUACUUUAUACCUGUUUAGAAGCCAUUGGUUAUUUGGUCAUAUUCAAAACCUAUUUUAACCACGUAAGUCCAUGAUAAAAGUUACAAGAGAAAAAGAAGAAUGAUACUUUAUAGUUUAUACCUGUUUAGAAGCCAUUGGAUAUUUUGAUCAUAUUUGAUAAAAGUUACGGGACAAAAUUAAAAAGAAGAAUGAUACUUUAUACCUGUUUAGAAGCCAUUGGAUAUUUUGAUCAUAUUUGAUAAAAGUUACGGGACAAAAUUAAAAAGAAGAAUGAUACUUUAUACCUGUUUAGAAGCCAUUGGAUAUUUUUAUCAUAUUUGAUCAAAGUUACAAGACAAAAUUAAAAAGAAGAAUGAUACUUUAUACCUGUUUAGAAGCCAUCGGAUAUAUUGGUCAUAUUCAAAACCUGUUUUAACCACGUAUGUCCAUGAUAAAAGUUUAAAAUACCUUUUGUGGAAAGGAUAAGUAUGAUAUUUUUUAAUAAAUAAAUAAAUUUAUUUAGUCAAUAGAUUAGGUGAAUAAUUUAGUGAGUUUAAAUAAUUUCGAUUAAUUUAUACGCGAAGAGUGAAGCUAAUGGCACCCUUCAUUAUUUUUAUAAAUCUCCACUUUAAAUAAAAUUAUAUUUAAGGACAAAUAAGAAUUAAACACAUUUAAGAAUUUUCACAAUAAAUUACUUUCAUAAUCAAUUCUUUUUUUUUUUUGCAUUCAUAAUCAAUUCUUUUUUUUUAUUUUCUACUUGCCACUUCUCUCUAAUCAAAAUAAAUUACAAAAAUUUAUAAUAAUUUAUUUUUCUUUUCUUAUUUCUUAAUAAUUGAGUAUUUUUAUACCUAUUACUUUCAAAUUAUAAUUUAAAAUGUGUCAUAUCUAUAACAUAAUAAUGUUUUGAGUUUUAAUAAUAUACAAAUUCAAUUAAAAAACAAAAUAAUGUAUUUAAAAGGGAAAAAAGGACGUUUUUGAAAUUAAAUACAAAUAUUCCAAUUGUUACUGUGAAAAUGUGAUAUUUUCAGCACUAGAGCUACCACUUUAUUGCAUAUCCGACCCGAGAGGAACUGAUGUGGUCCAACAGUGCUCGGAUCGGAUCGGUUGCCGUCAUAAUCUGAUCACAUUUAGGUAACUUUUCAGUUUUGUCCAGGAGAAAGGCUAUCGAUUAUGUCUCCCUAAGAAACACGUCACAUAGAUGAUGUAAUCAGAUUUUAUCAUGCGUUUGUUCCCCUUCAAACGUCACAUAGAUGAUGUAAUCAAAUUUUAUCAUGCGUUUGUUCCUCUUAAAUCGAGUACUUGUCACAUCCUGAGUGUUUGUGAAUCUACAUUAUUUUUUAAGGGUAUGUUUAUAUUGGAACCGUUCUAAGAUAAAAUAUCUUUUAUAACUACAUAAUUAAAAUAUAUAUAUAUUAAUUUCAGAUUUAAAACAAAUGAAGUCUUUGUUUUUAUUUGCAAGACUUUUAUAACACAUUAAUAUGUAACACUUCAAAUUUCACGGUAGAUUAGAUACAAAUUUUUUAUCCUUAUACUAGACACGUGAAGAGUAGUAAGAAACAAGUUAAAAAACAAAAAAAACACACUCUGAUGUAGUUAUUUUUAUCUUAAAGUAUUAAAAUCUAUAUUUCUUUUAAUCUUUUAACUUGUUUUUUACGAUAUUAAAAUAAGAAAAUCCUUUGAAAAUAAGAAAAUCCUUACUAAAAGUAAAAGGGGACUUGCAUGUCAUGUGCACAGUGUACAAUAUGUUUCAAAUGUUACUUGAUAGAAAUUACUGAAAGCAUUGUAUCAUUGGAAAACUCUUGCUGCAUGCUACUAAUUUGACAGUUUAUCAAAUAUUUUUUGCUGCUUGCUACUUAUGAAUCACGUUUAGUCCCCUUUGAAUUGUGUGCAUCCACCAUCUGUUAAAUUUAUCUUUGAACCCAAGCACGUUCAAAUCCCCGAGUUGUAAAAUUUACAAGAUGCAAAAAUCUCGUAGAAACCUCAGCUGAUGAACUCUGUAAAGAAUAUCGUCAUUCAUUCAGCUAACCCGUUGAACCAAAAUGCAAAAUCAUCCUCAAUAAGUACAAGAAACAAAAACUUUACAGGAAUAACUUGUGAAACUUGAUAAAUUUCUGCGGAGACUACAACGUCAUUUCAAUUUGUGAGGUAAUUAUUUGAUGCCAUGAUGCUGACUGAAUCUCAUUAAAUUAAUGAACAUAAUACAACAAGUGGUACGAUAACUCCAAAUCAGCUAUCACAUUAUGUAACCACUCGGGCAGUAGCCCGAGUGGCCAGGGCUGCUGCCCUCCAACUUGGAGGGCAGCAGUUCGAACCCCCACAAAAGCAUUGUGGGGGUAUUUCCUUCUUCAAUUAAUUUGAGUGAAGGUAGUCUUCUCCCUUACCCAUGAGUGAGGAGUAGACAUCCCUCGAAUAUUUGUGAGGGUUAAAAUCUGGGCAGAGCUCCAUUAGCAUUGAUGUCAGUUGGUCCCAGUAAUAGUCUAAUUUGUAAAUAUCAGUAAUAGUCUCAUGUAUAUGAGUUGUAAUCUGAGCAAUAGUCUCAUGUAAUCAAAAAAAAAAAAAAAAAAAAAAAGCUAUCACAUUAUGUAUUUGAUUCAAAUAAGAGAACAAAAUUUGCAUUAUUGAUAGAUAUUAUAUUGUUUCUUGUAACUGUCUCUUGACAAAUCGCCCAUUAAUGCAGUCAUUUCACCAAGAUAGCAAGCUGAUAGAGAAAUCUGACAAUGCAAUGCAUGUCAUCCUCACACUUCAUUUUAAUCGAAAAUGGGUGAGCCAUUUUGUUCAACUUUCACCUCCGGAAGUCGAAAAGGACAUGAAUGCAAUUAUGCAAGUCCUUAUCAAAGAUGCAAUGAAUGACGCCUAAACUCCUAUAGAGCAGAGUUAAGCUAUUAAUCACUGCACCGAUACAUCAAAAAUUAAGUAUAUGGAUCAAAGACAUCUUCAUUCAAGAAUCUCGAAAUUUCAAAGCAAUGCUUGUCAUUUACAUAUCAAGCAAAGGGACCAAAGAUGGUGGUGCUCUAAUAUUUGGUAAUUAUUUGAUGCCAUGAUGCUGACUGAAUCUCAUUAAAUUAAUGAACAUAAUACAACAAGUGGUACGAUAACUCCAAAUCAGCUAUCACAUUAUGUAUUUGAUUCAAAUAAGAGAACAAAAUUUGCAUUAUUGAUAGGUAUUAUAUUGUUUCUUGAAACUGUCUCUUGACAAAUCGCCCAUUAAUGCAGUCAUUGCCGACAAAACAACUUUGUGAAAAAGUUCACCAAGAUAGCAAGCUGAUAGAGAAAUCUGACAAUGCAAUGCAUGCCAUCCUCACACUUCAAUUUCAUCGAAAAUGGAUGAGCCAUUUUGUUCAACUUUCACCUCCGGAAGUUGAAAAGGACAUGAAUGCAAUUAUCCAAGUCCUUAUCAAAGAUGCAAUGAAUGACGCCUAAACUCCAAUAGAGUAGAGUUAAGCUAUUAAUCACUGCACCGAUACAUCAAAAAUUAAGUAUAUGGAUCAAAGACAUCUUCAUUCAAGAAUCUCGAAAUUUCAAAGCAAUGCUUGUCAUUUACAUAUCAAGCAAAGGGACCAAAGAUGGUGGUGCUCUAAUAUUUUGUCUAGUCAGAUUUCAGAUUUACCUUGUUCAUGUCUUUUUCUUUGGUGCAGAAGUUCCCCGCGGCCUAUUUCAACAUCAUUCGUCAUCCUCUCAAUCUCCUCCUUUUUCACUGGCAGAACCAAAAAUAUCUUGCACCUCAGUGAAAUAUCAUUGGAGACAAAAAAGUUUCUCCAGCUUAUUCAACAACCAAAACCAGCCAAAUAUCAUCUCCAGCCACAAAGCAAUGAGCCAAGUGAUUAAAUUUCCUUGAUGCAGGCUGAGGAAAGCCAAUAAGCAAUCAAAGGAGAUGGAAGAAUAGCACUAUUAAUUCAAGACCAACAAAGUUUGCAGCAAAACUGAUAGUAUUUAAGAUUUUGCAAAAGUCAAUCUUGUCUGGUUAUCAACACUGCAAUUAUAGCUUUUGUGCACCUCAGUUAGCCUUAAAUUGUGAAAGUUUCAGCCAAACCAACAAUUUCUAACCUACAUCUCAUGGUUAUACAAGCUAACUGCUAGCAUCUGCUUCACUGCAUUAUGCUUCAAAAACAAUCAUACUAAAUGUCACAAUUCUGGUAUAUAAAAGUUCAGCCGUCUACGCCAUUCAAGUUGAGCAUUUGACUGCAUCUCUAUGGGUACUAUUAAGGGAUGGCAAUAAUCAGUUAUGAUACGAAUAAUUGACAUCCGUAAUCCGAUAUAUCCGUCCGCACCCAUGUCUAAUUUUAGAGGUUUGAUAUGGAUAUUGAUUUUUGUUUAUAUGGAUAUUGAUAGGCAUAGAUAUUCGGGAAAAAAAAUUCUACUUAACACUAUAACGAAUAGGAUACUUCUUUUAUUAGAGCGUUGUCAUGCUGAUGAUGUGCAAGAUAUCAUAAAUAAAGGGGAUCGUAGGGAACGAAAUGAAAGAAGUUUAAAGAAUUUGAAAGAAACUGAUUAUUCUCUUAUUCAACAACUCGGUGUGCAAUUACAUUUUACACGAGGUCCAUGUAAUUAUAUUUGUCAUUAAGAAUGAGCAUUUGCCAAAAGAAGAGACACAUGUCAUGACAAUGAGUGAUUGACAAGUGACAAAAUUGAUAGACACCCGCCGAAUAUGUCAUAACACAAACUUCUUACUGCCUGAAACAACAUGGCUGGAGCAGAGAUUUUUCUAUCAAAGCGUGUCCAGGAAAUGGUCCUCAAUGGUGAAGAACCGCCAGCACCACAUAUUUGUAGAGAUGGUGAUUCAAUUCAAGAGGUUUCUGCUCCAUUAUCUCCGGUUCCGAUCAUUGACCUCAAUCUGCUCUCAUCUUCAACACCAUACGCCAAGCAAGAAGAAGAACUGCAGAAAUUAAGAUCAUUGACCUCAGUCUCAUCUUUAACACCAUACGCCGGUUCCGAUCAUUGAUCAUUGACCUCAGUCACUCCUUCAUGACCACAUAAUAAGGAGUGGCUAUUAAUUUAAAAUAUGAAGUGGAAAAUUGAAUUAAUUUAUUUGAAAUAGAAAUGGUCACAUGAAAAAUUUGAAUUAAUUUCUUGAAACAGGAUCCUACAAAUGAAGUGUUUUAAUUUCGUAAUUUAAUAUUAUUAUUGUUAUUUUGUUUUUAAAUAUUAAAAAAAGAAAAGAAAAAUUGGGUUGUCUUUAGUUUCUAGCGGACAUCAGAUUCAUCAUAAUAAGCGUACCCUUGUCCAUGUAUAAAUUGCAUUUGCCUCUGAAUUCUUCAAUAACUAGAAAAUAGAAUCGUGCUUCAUGCGGCUUUGAAAAAUGAAUUUAGUAUUAUCUUUUUUCUUAGUUUACACUUGAUGAAACUGAUAAAAAAUAUGAAUUGAUUUUUUUUUAAGAUGAGGUAGCCGUAUAAAAAACAAAAAAAAAAAACUAUUAGUCAGCAACACAAAUAAAGAAGCAACGCAAGAUAAAGAAUACAAUGAGAGAAUAUAUUAUAGAGUGAUUUUAUUCAUUCCAAUUGUGUGUGUACAAAACAAAAAGAUGAGCUCUCCUUUUAUAGUUACAUAAUCACUCUAUGAAAGUAAUGAAAAAUUAUGGAUCAUAAUUCCUUAUGAGAUAGUGGGAGUUAUAGGGAAGUUAAAGGUUGCUAAUGGGAGAUAGUAAGGAGACUAAGAGAUAUAUGUUAUAAACAUCUAUAUUUAUUUUAAUAAAUUCAUAACACUCUCCCUUGGAUGUUUAUUACAAAGAAUAUGUCUCAUUAAAAUCUUUACAUAAUUGUUAUUGUAUAAUAACAAUCAAAUUAAUUAUGAGAAGAUAAAAAGCCAAAUUUAAAAGAAAAUUUAUCUAUUUAUUAGAUAAUAGAGAAUAGAGAAUAUACAAAGAUGAGAAAUAGUGAUGCCACAUCACCUCCUCAAGUCCCAACUUUAUAUAUAUAUAUAUAUAUAUUGAAAAAGAUGGGUGCUCGUGGGACACUCUCAUUUAUGAUACAAUUUAGGAAUAAGAACUUAAUGACGCAACCAUCACCAGCAGCCUCUUUUUUGGAGGUACUCGGAUGGCCAUUAUUGCCAUUUAAAAGAUAACAUAAAUAUUAUAGAUUGCCAGCUAUGGCCGAGCUUUUAAAUUUUAAUUAUUUUUUUUUAGAGAAGAAGAAAAAUAGCCAUUCAAAAGAUAACAUAAAUUUUCUAGAUAGCUAGUUAAGUUUGAGUUUUCAAAAUUUUUUGAGAAAAAAGAUACUUAUGUCUUUGAAAUUUAGAAAAAUGAUCACACAAAUUCUCAAAUUUUUAAUAAGAUAAAUCAAGACCCCAUUUUAUUAUAAUAUCUUUUAAUUCUAUAACUAAAAAAAUUGACUAUAAUAUUUUAUAAUAAAAAAAUAACUGAAAUGACUCGCCCCGAAUCCCUGGACGAGUCUAUCUAAUAUUGCCAAUUGAAUUAAUAAUAAUCUAAUAUUUAGAAUUUUACCAAAAAUUCGGCAGAGUCUCCUAUAUAAUUAUGACAUUCCCAAACCUACAAUUUAUAAAAUUUAACACUCCUAAAAAAUGAUACAAUAUUCAAUCAACCUCCACAACCAACUUCUUCAAUCAAAUACCAAUAUCCUUCAAACAUAUAAUGUCAAGAAUACAAUAAUUUAUCUUUAAUCACAAAUAAGUAAUAAAUUAUAAAAUUCAAAAUAUCCCAACAAAACAUCUAUGAUUCCUAACAUCAUCAUAUGAUCAUAAUUCUAAAUUUAACUAUCGUUGUUGGGUCGACUGAUGUACCUACAUAUCUCUUGUGGAGAGGGGUGUAUAUAAUAAAAAAAAGAUGAGUAUAAAAUUCAGUGAGCUCAGUUGAGUAUAGUGUGAAAAAAAUAAAUUUACUUCAAAUAAUCUAAUCUUUCCCAAAUCAAUAUCAUCAAAAUAUUAUAAGAACUUAAAUAAACUUAUUUAAUUUAAAUCAUGUUUUGAUAUAACAAUAAUACAUAAUACGUCAUGAAAUCAAGGAAAACGUGAUACUUAUAAUAGCAAACACCAAAUACCGAAUCUAUCACCAAAUAAGUACCCAGGGGAAUAUCUCACCAUAUCCAGACCUCGACGGAUCUGUAAUCAGGGAACCAUCAUGGCCCGAAGCUACACGGAUAGACAAGGAGUAUUAUCUCAUAUCUCAUCAUAUCUGUGCAUGCAUAAUCUAGUCUCCAAAGGACAAGGCGCCCGAGAACACGGUCCAAAGCUUCUGUGUGUACUUAGAGGGGCCCCAAAGACCUAUAUUUCAUCUGUAUCAUCAUAUCUCAUAUGUAUCAUCUGUAUCUCAAUAUCUGUAUCUCUGUAAUCAUCAGACUGCAUGCAUAUGCCCCUAAAAGGCAAAAACGUCCAAACACACGGCCUAAAACCUCUAUGUGUGUUCAAGCGGGCCCCAAAGGCCUCUCAUCUCAUAUGUAUCACUGUAUCUAGAGGGAAAGGCUACUGUCUAAUGAUUUUAAAAACAACAUCUUAUACACAUAUACAUAAACAUAAAAUGACACUUAAAUCUCAUUUCUUUUUCAUGUAACAUACUUUAAAUCUAUUUUAUUCUCUUUAAAACCAUUACCAUGCAUUUACUCAAAAAUGAUAAUAAAAUCAUGAAUCAAACUCAUUUUUAAUAAUAAUAAAUAUCAGCAUGUAGACAAAAAUCCAUUUUCUAGAAAGUUAUUAAACUCGAGUAUUAAAUACUUAUUUAUCAAACAUGUUGUACUGUAUCGUAAAAUCAUAAUAUAUUAUGAAAAUAUGUUUUGUAUAUUCCACUCACAGUGACGAUGUUCGAGCUCGGUAUCGUCAACGUCUGUGGGUUGAUUCUCAUUCAUGGAUCCUCCUAAUAUAAAGAAAUAACAUAAUCAUUCUCCGUAAAUAUGAAAUACAACUAAUUUUACGCGAUAAAUCUCGAAACGAAUAUCUAUCUGUAAUAAACUAUUCCCUUAUGCAUAAAAUUACCAAAAUACCCCCUGCAUGCUAAAAUUACCAAAAUGCUCCCGAUAUCAAUAUUUACCAAAUUAUCCUCAUAAUCCUAAAUUACCAAGCUGAUGUUACGAAAUUACUCUUAGAGUGUAAAAUUACCAAUAUGCCCUUAAUAACAUAAAUUACUGAAUUACCCCUAAAAUCUCAAAUUACCUAACUGCCCUAGUCCAAAAUUACUAAAGUAUCCACCAAUUUUGAAAAUCACAAAAUUAUGCCCCACAGUUUUGUAAAUUACCGAACUACUCCUGCCGGUUAACGGUGACCGGACUUCAGUCAACGGUGACGAGAAGCUCAAAUAUGAUAGUUCUAAUCUCAGUGAGUCCAAUGGCGCCGGCGAUGACCACCCACGCUCGGCGACGGCGGUAGAUCGAGCUUCUCUAGCUGCCAGCUUUCCGAUGGUCGAUCGGUGGAAUUCCAGCCGUUUCAGGCAGCGAGUUUGGUUGGAAAAUGAUGAGGGUGAGCUGAGGAACAAGAUCCAUGCAGUGGCGUGGCCUAAUUCUGGCGAAAUCAACAUUGAUGAAAACGAGUUGAGCUGCGGGUUUUUCAAGCUUGAUUGCCGGCAUUCUACCCAUUUUUCGAUGAGGUGGUCGGAAUCGGUGGCUGGAGUUGGGUCGGGUUGCGCGAGUUCGGGUCGAGUAAGGUCAAACUCGGUCAGCUUCUCUCUUUCUCUCUCUCCCUCUCCCUUUCUCAAUUUAUGCAACCAAUUCUCUUUUUUUUUUCAAAGCUUAAUACAAAUUAAGCUAAUACCGAAUCCAUAUUGAAAAUAUAAUCCGACUACCUGACCUUUUAAUCGCGCUCGAUUUGUCUUGAUUUAUUGUCGUGACAAAUUUAAAAUAAUCUAAACACAAUAUAUAUUAAUAAAUAUGUAACAUUUAACAACCAUCCCCCAUAAUAUUCGAAAAAAAUUGAGUUGCAUCAACUUCACUGUAAAAAUUCGUAACAAGUCUGCUAAAUUUAAAAUUAAUGCCGAAGGAGAAAAAUUAAAUGAUACACUUAAUUAGCAAAUUUAAAGCACAUAUAUUACAAUAACAUUAAAAUAAAUGAAAUAAUAUGUACAUUUAAAAAUUAUUUUUAUAUUUACAAUCUAUUAGAUAUAUUUUAUUCUAUUAAAGAAAAUUUUUAAUGAUAAAUAGAAACUUAAUAUUGAAUAUUUUGUACAAUUUUAACAUUAUUAAUGAAGAGAUUUUGUUAAUUUUAAAAUCUAUUUAACUCAAAUAUUUAUUUAAAAUCUUUGUAAUAAAUCCAAAUAUAUUAUUAAAUUUAAUAAUUUUAAAUGUAAAAAAUAAUUUAAUAUUACUACUCUACUAGAUAUAUUUUAUUAUUUUAUAUUAUUUUUGUAUUAAUUAAAAAUAUAUAAAGUCAAUUUUUUUAGUUACUAUAUUCAAAGUGUAUUAUGAUUAAAAAAGGAUCCUAAAGUAUAUAUAAUCAUUUUUCAAAAUUUUAGGAGUGUAAGUGUCGAUUUUUCUUUUUUUUUAUAAUUCUUUUCGUACAAAAAUUAUGUUCACGUUCUUUUAACUUCUCAUUAAUGCAUUUUCAUUGCCAGGGUUUCUGCGUUUUCAAUCAAAAAUCUAGUGAAGAAACUGGAAAAUGUUGGAGGAAACGCUAAUGCAUUAUACGUACAACCUAAUAAACAAAUUGUUGGAGCGUACGGCUAUAGCAAUUUGUUUAUGGUCAUCUGUGCUUGUGUAUACUAUUAGUAAAUCUAUUUUGAAAUGAACCCAAAUAAUCAAAUUGUCCAGUGGCACUUACGGUCCAUGGAUCUAAUAAUUUUUGCUUCUUUUUAUUUAUUUAUUUAUUGCAUAUCAUAACCUGUCAGUCUCAUAAUAUUGUCCAACAAGAUUGCCUUUUUGAAAAAUUUCAAAUAAAUCGGACACGGGUGAUUAUGUUAUCCUUUCUUUUUUCUAACAAAUAUAAUUUUCACUGUCAUUUUGUGUUUUGGACAGCUGGAAUGACAGUGACCUGACUAAAAAAUAUUUUAUCUGGACGACGAACGACCAAGUCAAAGUCUUUUAAGUGUACAGUCCAACUCCUUUUAAAUAGCAAUUGAAUUCUGCACUUUAAGCAAUAAGUCACUCGGCCAAAUUUGCAGAAAUAUUUCAAAGUUUAAUUCUGCACUUGGAUUUUUCAUUGCUGAUCAUGUAAGUUAGUUAGUUAUUAUUAUUAUUAUUUUUUUCACCACGGUAACUCUUGUGCUUACACUUUUCGCGGAGCUAGUUCUAUUUUCUUAAUGUUCUAAUUUUCAAUGAAUAUAUUUGGACAAAGCCACGAACUUGUCUUUUAGAGGGCUUAACUUGUAUUAAUAUUGCUGAUAUAUUCCUUAUAAAUCAAAAAGAGCAAACAAAGUUCUUAUAAAGGAAUCUCUAAUCUGCCGAAAUGACUUUAUACACAUUUGUAGAAAUCAAUUUCUUGAUUAUUGCUUGUCAAUUAUAUGUAAGUUAUACCAUCUGUUAGUUUUUUAGUUGGCAUUUUUGAUAUUUUUCAACCAAAAUUCACCUUGAUUGGGAAAAUAAACCAUUUCCUACUCAUGUUUUUUAAUCCUACUCCAAAAUUCUCAUCUUAUUUGGUGAAAAUUUUCUUGAUGUUAACAAACUUAUGUUAACUGUCAACUAUUGUAAAAAUUAAGUCAAUUUGUUUUUCAACUAUCGGACCGGAAAAGAGUACCUAAUAACAUGUAACGUUAGGAGAGUUUUGGUGAGGUUUA